rnacentral:lncRNA from 1 species
UCAAAUGGCCAACGGGAAGUAUGCCGUGGCUAUGUUAUUUCUCACCACCAUUGUGGCCGUGGCGGCCAUAAGGCCAGCCGAGACCUAUGGCGUUGCGGAGGAGAACACAUUGAAGAUGGCUCCCCCCAACAGAAAAGGAGUUGACUCUACCUUGGUAGCUACACAUGUUGUUGCCGCCGAGAAGCCCAUCAAGAAGGCCGAAACCGCCACCAUACCUGAAGAGGCCGCGGCUUCCAAGCAAGAUGGAGCAAAAUCUACUUCUGUUGCAUCAAAGUACAAUGCCAUAUCUCAGCAGGAAACUAGUAAAGGUUCUUCUACCUCCCCUGGCAGGAAAGAAGCCGCCGCUACUUUAGCCGCUACGCACUAUGCUGCCGCCGAGAAGUCCAUCAAGAAGGCCAAAACUGCCACGACACCUGAAGAGGCCGCGGCUGCCAAGCGAGAUGCAGCAAAGUCUGUUGCUGAUGCACUAAAGUUUGGUGCCAUCUCUCGGCAAGCAGCUGGCACAAGUUCUUCAACCUCUCCCAACAGCAAAGAAGCCACCAAUGACUUAGCAGCCAUGCACAUUGCUGCUGCCAAGAUGUUCACCAAGAAGGCUGAAACUGCUACCACACGUGAAGAGGCCGCGGCUGCCAAGCGAGCUGCAGCCAAGUCUACUGCUGCUGCAUCCAAGUAUGGUGUCAUUUCUCAGCAAGCAGCUCGUACAAGUUCUUCUACCUCCCCCAACAGGGAAGAAGUUGCCACUACCUUAGCGGGUGUGCACAUUGACGAUGCCGAGAAGUCCAUCAAGAAGGCUGAAACUGCCACCACAUCUAAAGAGGCCAUGACUGCCAAGAAAGAGGCAGCAAAGUCUACAGCUGCCGCAUCAAAAUAUGAUGUAAUCUCUCAGCAGAAAGCUAGUAUAAGUUCUUCUACCUCCCCUAGCACGAAAGCAGGUGUGCACAUUGCCGCUGCCGAGAAGUCCAUCAAGAAGGCUGAAACCGCCACCAUGCCUGAAGAGGCAGCAUCCGCUAAGAAAGAUGUUGCGAAACCUGUGGCCGAUGCAAUGAAGUACGGAGCCAUGUCUCAACAGGCUGCCAGCAAAAAUGGUGCUUGAGUGAUUCCUUAUACACGUAUUCAUGGGCAACAUCAUCUGCAUACUACCAUGCAUGCAAAAUAGCAUUGGAUAUCCCAUUAUGCUAAUUCUCAUGCAUGCACGCUUUGUUUAAAUGUUUCCAUUGCGAAUCAUGUUGUAAUGUCUUGCUUGUUUUACUUCUAGUGGUAAGACACGUCUGACUUGUUAAAAACAAUACAAUGAUCGAUGUAUACAUGUAUUAUGUGAAAAUUAAUAAUAUGAGUUCCACCGUAAUUUGUGUUUUUAUGUCAUAAAUUGGGUGCUGUCAAUGCACAUAUCCAAUACACAAAAUUGGAGGAGUCAAUGUAUUUUGUAACCAUGGAGCCGUGGAUCAUGCUUUAAUGUCUUGCUUGUUUUACUUUUAGUAGUAAGAUACGCUUGACUUGCUUUAAUAAAAUAUAAUGAUCGACAUAUACAUGCAUUAUAUGAAUCCACCGUAAUUCACAUUUUUGUUAUAAUUUGGGUGCAAUCAAUGCACAAAUCCAAUACACAAAAUUGAAGAAGUCAAUGUAUUAUGGCACCAUGGAUCGGCAUAAUGAUAUAAUAUAUACAUUCACUACUUUAAAAACAACUUAAGGUUUCAUCAUACAUCUGCCCUUCCUACAACCUCCGUCUUGGGAUAAUUGGAUAAAUGCCACUCGAAUAUGACGAUUCUGAGAACGCCAUUGUAAUUUCCAAAUUUUGAAAAAUGCCGUUGCAGAUUUUGGCGAACUUUGAAAAACACCACUGCCGACUUCGAGAAAUUCCACGGGAAAUGGCAUUUUUCAAAGCUUGAAAAUUGCAGUGACGUUUCUUAGAAUCACCAGAAUUCGAGUGGCAUUUAUCCAAUUAACCCUUGACACCCCCACCCCCACCCCUCACACACAAAUCAAUUGUACCUAAAAAGAGCCUCAAAUGUCACAUGUUUACUGUAUAUGUCGAGUGGUUGUGAUGAGACGACGGUUCGACGCUUUAGCUUUUCAGCUUCUGACUACCAUCAUUUCGAUAAUUAUAAGAAAGUAGCCGAUUAUCGUUACCAGCCACAAAGUUAUGUUUUCUCCUCUUAACCAAGGUUUGUAUACAUUGUGUGUAGGUCUUAAUGCAUGCCAACGUUCUCAACUCCAUGUACAAUCACUCACAAAUCACAAUUUCUUUGUUCAUCAAGCUUGUGUACUUUUUUUGAGGGGUGUGUUUGUGGGGGGUGGGGUGGGGGCACCUCAGGUAAUAUUGAAAUUCCACAAUAGUACAUAUCACCCUAGAAGUAAUUAAAAGGUCAUGAGACCACACAACGACCAUAGUUCUCACUGGAGCGAGUUGAAGAUGUACUGGGACUCUUCGUUUAUGGUCCUCUUUACAAUGCAUGGAGAAUCAAGACAUGUUUACAAACGUGUGUACACGAUUGGAGGCUACAACGAGGGAUACUUUUAUCCAACAUGGGUGGCAGCAUGAUCUCAGGAUUGGCCCCCCUUUUCUUUAGGCGUUAUACGGACUCUACAUGUUUCUUUGUAUCUUGCUGUUUUAUUUUUCGAAUCUGAGAGAGAAUAUUAUUUGAUUAUGUGUGUAUUAGUUAUUCAGAGGCCGAGUGUAAUACUUAAAUCCUUUAAUUAAGUAAUAAAGCCCCCCUUUUCAAAAAGUAGUUGGAAGCAACAUCCUUGUUAAGGCGACCAUAGCAACCGAGAAGUCCUCAAACUUUGGCCACAAAAGAACAAUACCCAAAAAAAUUGUCUUGUCUAAGGAAUCUUCGUUGAAACCAGAGAUCCAACUUACCAGAACCCAACCCCCACACCGUCGAUGGAGCAAUCAUCGGUGCAAUGAGAAAGAAGAAGGAGGGGGACGAUACUCGCAUAGGCAGGUCGCUGCCUUCAGCUCGCCGACUAGUGUAAGGAUCCAACAACUCGCAUGAUCCAAAGACCAUGAGCAGCAAAAUUUCCUCCCAAACCUUUGAUGCCACCAAUGGAAGAGGGAGCAUAGAGAUUGCCUGAUCCAUAGACCGACAAGAGAAGAAUGUCGUCUCAAGUCGGCAGCAUUGUCAAGAGGAAGGAUGGACAGCCGAUUUAUUUGAACCAUCGCGAUGAAACCUUAACCAUUAUGUCGUCGUCAAGGACUAUAGUUACCCUAUCUACACAACGUCCCAAGAGAAAUAGAUCCCCACCUCCUCCACCAUUGAAGCAAGCGGAGGAGGUAGGGAUUUGCACCCUCACCGACGGGAAGAGGGGAUUUGCUUGACCGCUCCCUUUUCGUUUCUCUUAGUAGGAAAGUAAACCAAAUCCUGUAUCAACAAUACAAUCAACCUGAACCAUGUGUAUUUACUGUGAACCAACAUGAAAUUGGAUGGUUAGAAAGAUAGUGAUAAGUUCUAGAUUUGACACUUGUGCUUGCAUUUUCCUGAUUUAAUUAUUUCAAGCCAUACGACGAUGUGCGUUCAAUGGGAGGAGCCGUCCUUGUCGACUACGAAGACAUAUAUGGCCACUUCAUUAAUCUUUGAAAUGCUCAUAAAGAUAAGAUGUUAUAUUUAUAGGGUGAAUGUGCAUGUAGAAGCGUGUGCAUUAACUUUGACCUUUCUUGUCUUGUAACCCGAGAAAAUGAAUGUUCAGUCACUUAUAGCACCGUAGAUGAAAAUUAGAAAAUAUGCCCAUAGUGAGCAGAGAGGCGCACAUGAUAUAUUCUCCCUAGUGGGUGACAUGAGGGUUGCUUCGAUGGGCGAUGGGUCGAGGUUACAAAGGAUGAAUACGAGAAGGAUUCAAACAACUGAAAAUUUUGAAUAUGAUAUGAAUAAAAUAUGCAUCCAGUUAUCAAACUAGGUGUGCCUGUCUUUUAUGUUCAUGGCACUUAAGAUCAUUGUACUUACAACUCAAAUAUCGCCACCCACUAGGCAUUUUCUACCCAUCUUACAAAAAUGGAACAAAAAGAAAUCCAUGUUGAAAUAUAUUUCCCGCCUCUCUUCAUCAGUUCAGACUUUUGGAUCAGUUGGGUGGAGCACGAAUUCAAUGUGGUAUCAGAGCCAUCUCGCGUAGCUGCAUCGAUGGGAUCUCCAUACGCUCCCGCCUUUUCCUCCACCACCAUGACCACCAUCUCUCUGCCCGCCUCUUUCGGCGGCCCGCCUGCUCGGCUGGCCCUGCUCCUUCUGCUAGCCUCAUCACCGCCAAGCUCAUUGCCGAAACAGUCCUCCCUCCUCUGUGCAUCGCCGGUGCUAUAGGCUACAUCGACGGCACUCUUCCUGCUCCAGUGCGGCUCCUGGACGCUGACAACAUGGAGGUGCGUGCUCCCAACCCUGAGUAUGCCAUAUGGUACCAUUCCUAUGUUGAUGAACUAGCUGCUGUUGAUCGUGUUGAUAUUUUCCAAGUGCAAGGAAUCAUCCUAGCACUUUCCAAAGAUGAAAGUGGUAAGUAUGGAGUGUCGAACCCACAAGAAGCUAAAGGUAAGCUCAAUAUUCUCUCAAGUCCUAUCUGCCACCGAUACGACUCUACGCACAUCAAGUGUUUGCUUCUAUCUAGUAACAAGAAAUAAAAUUACGUAUUCGGUAUGAAGAGGAUAGCUUUGCAUAAUAUUGGAGAACUAAAAUAUGAAAUUAGUUACUACAUUAUAUAGAGUUAGAACAUAUCUAUCUAUCUAUCUAUCUAUUUUAUAUACUAGCAAAAGAGCCCGUGUAUUGCAACGGAAAAGAAAAUAACACAUGCUCUGAACGCAAUAUAUUUUCACAUGGCAUCACAUUUGUGUUGCCGACAAUGGUUUUAGUGCUCACACAACGAAAAUGCGUUUGAAUGUACAGUCACUCGGAAUAAGAUGAGAAAUAUGUUGUUUCUCCCCCACAAGGUUUUUCAAAGGUGUGCAUGUGUGGUUAACGAUGUUUUCAUUCCUCUCAAUUUGGUUUUAAUUUAAUGGAUGUUUAUUGCAAUUUGUAUCGUCGCCGGAAAGAGAGAAAAAAAGGACCGUACAAUACAGAUUAAGUUUGCAUCAAAAAUAAUAUUUAAGAAUUAUUCAACAUGUAAAAAUAACAUCCUAUUUAGAUUCUACACAAUUUUUUAAUCAAAUUUCAUAUAUAACAUGUUAAAAUCGGAGUUACGGUUUAAAAGAUAUGGAUAAUUUUGUUUUAGAUAAAAUUUGGAUUGAUUAAUUGAAAAGUUAGGGUCUUUUUGUUAAAAUACGAAGGACGGGUUGAUUACGUGAAACAUCAGGGGGUUUUCUGAACAAUGCAAAAAGCCGAUUCAUUUUCUGACUUAAAUUCAGACUGCAGGUUGAUUACCUGAAACAUCAAGGGUUUUCUGAAAAAUGCAAAAAAUGAUUCGUUUCCUGACUUAAAUCUGGGCUGCGGGUUGAUUUCAAAAAACGUCGAAGGUUUUUUUAUAAAAAUGGCACGACGGACGGCAGAAGCAAUCGACGCUUUAUUAUUAGGAGGAAAAGACUUAAAACAAUAGAAAAUUAACGACGGUGAUUUGACACUCUAAUACUAAGAUGUAUCAACGGCAAAUACCACACGUCAAAAAAGUCUUCAUAAGGCAAAUACCACACGUCAAAAAAGUCUCAGAAGGCAAGUACCACACGUCAAAAGAAUCUGUACAGGAAUCCUAAUUGUACACGGGGCUAGAUACAUUAGGCAAGUACUACACACGUCAACAAGACCUAAGAUUAACGUAAAAAUGAGAUUAGGCAAGUAAACACGUCAAAUAAAUUCGUACAUGUCUAGAAAUACAUUAUACUCUCUCCGUCCCAAAAUAAAUGUCUUAACUUUAUACUAGCUCCAAUACAAAAUUGUAUUAAGGUUGAGACACUUAUUUCGGGACGGAGGGAGUAUAUUAUUAUGCAUCAAUCAGGUCCUACUAGCUAGCAAUGAACAACCUUCUAUAGAUGAAAAAAAAACUGUGGCACGUACGUGCCUUUUAAGGGAAAAUCAAAACCGCUUCAUAUACGUGCUAAUCAAAGGCACUAAUUUCUUUUUUUUUUUUUUUUUGCCAGGUGAAAGGCACUCAUUUUCUUUUGAUAUGGAUUGGGCAAUCCUCGUGGGUCAAUCCUAAGUUAAAGUCGAGACAACCAUACGUCCCUACAUUGAUCCCGAAAAAAAAAUACUCGUACGUCUAUGCAAAUACCAUUGAUCAGACUGUUGUAAAUAAUACUUACCCUCAAGUUAAGCUAUACGUCCGUACAUUGAUCUGAAAAAAAAGCCUCCUACAUCGCGGGAGAUACCAGUGAUCAUACUGUUGUAAAAAAUACUGGUCAAACUGUUUUGGAAAAAAAUACCGGUAUGACUUUACACCAAUAGGUGCAUACGUGUUUUAUUUUACCUGAAAAUAGAUACAUGCAGAAGGUACUUCCCAUUGAUUCUAAUUAUAACGCUGGAGAAUAAAAGAUGGAAAAUGUACGUACAAAAUCUACUGCAUACAAUUUUUUGGCAACAUAAAAAUAAGUCUUAUGAUUUUUUUGAGGGGUAAUAAGUCUUUUGAUUGACACAUAUAAGCCAGUCUAUUAUAUACACAUAUGGAAUAAGAUAAUCUAUACAAGGAAAAAUACAAACGGGCCACCUAAACAUGUGCAUGCUGAUGAAAAGAACGCCUGAGGAGCUGAAGUUCAAUUCCAGAUUAGAUUUGGUAAACACGGCCAACUAAUUGUUCUGCCAAAUUUAGCUCCUUUCUUUCGUUCUUACAUCUGACUAUGCAAAUUAAACCUAUGAUGUAAUUCCCCUGUCGUGUGGUGUGGAACCACAUGCACAUAUAUUCACAUUUGAAUUAGAUAAUUAAGCAACAAAGUAAAUCAGAAGAAGAUUAUCACAGUUGAAAGUACGCUGGCCAUGAAAUAGAAUAAAUAAAAACUGCAACUACAAUACGUCCAAUGAGGAUGUCGCUGGUAGACAGUGGAGACAAGGUUUAUUUACAGCUAUAAAAUAGUAAGAUUUAGAAGAAGAAAUAUGUAAAAUCUAACUUUGUUGAAGAUCUCCUAAUAAAAUGACGACAGAAAGAAAUCAAUGAAUGAAGAGGAAGAGAUAUAAAGGCACACCCUCAGUUUCACUAUAUUUUUCCUCAUGCCACCAUGGACAUAGAGAAAGCUAGCAAUAAAUACAAGAGAUAUUUAAUUAAAGAUUUAAGAUGUUAAAAACAAAGUAGAACCAUUCAUGCAUUUCCAAAUCAACGAAAUAUGGGUACAAAGUUAUUAUGGAAUAACCACAAUAUUAUUGGUAUUCUCUCCACAAAUACAAACUUUUGUACCAAGAACCGGAUACAUUUAGUGAGAUCCUUUUCAUAAAUGUGGGGGGGGGGGGGGNNNNNNNNNNNNNNNNNNNNNNNNNNNNNNNNNNNNNNNNNNNNNNNNNNNNNNNNNNNNNNNNNNNNNNNNNNNNNNNNNNNNNNNNNNNNNNNNNNNNNNNNNNNNNNNNNNNNNNNNNNNNNNNNNNNNNNNNNNNNNGGGGGGGGGAAUGUGUCCUUAAUAUAGUAUUCACAUAUUUGUACUAUAUUCUACUUAUUUUUGGAAAACUACACUUUAUCCAUGGCAAACCAUAUAUGUUCAUUUUUCAACCUUAGAUCCUUUAUUCACAUGAUUCUAAGAUGCAGGAAAGAAAACAUGUGAUUAGAAUAUCAUACCUACUCAAUUUGUACAAGACCCUGGUUGCACGGAAGUUUGUUUGGUUUCCCCAUAGGACAAACAAAGGAAAUUCUUAAGAUUUCUAAGUGGAUGAAACACUACAUAUGAAAUAUAGUGUGAAGCAAACCUUAGAAAAAAUUAUAGGAUAUAAAACUACAAUCAAAAUCCUCAAAAGAAAAAAAAUCCUAAAUAUUCCAAUGCUCCAAAAUAACUGGAGAAAUAAUCCUGAAUCAAAUAUACCAUGCACUACUGAAUCCACGUUUCGUACCUCCGCUCUAUCCGAGGGUGUGUUUUGUUAUGAUACUACAGUAUGUGUCAUCAUUGAUACACACAUUAGUAACUUUAGUAGAAUGAAAAUGGAGAAUAUUAGGAAAAUAUAAAUUUAAAAGUGAUAAAUACGUUUAGUUAAAAAAUUAUUAUAUUUAGGAGAUUUAUAAUAUUCUAAUUGGAAAAACAAUCAAUAGUGUGUUGAAGGGUUUCAUUUUCUCCAUUACAUAUUAAUUUUCCGUGUGUUCUAUAUUUUUAAAGUAAGGUGCUAAGUUGAAUAACAAUAGCUUGAGGUUGAAAAGUGGAUUGUUUUUUGUAUUACUUCAAGUAAAACAUCUUUUGUUGGUUUAAUAACCAGAUAAGAAAUCAUGGAGAAUAAGGGUGUGUUUGGUUGGAGGGAUAUCCUCUUAGGGACAGGGAUAGCCUUUUUUCGGUGGCUGCAAACCCAUUUGGUUCUGGGGCAAAGAAGGAUAGAGGCAACCAGAUACCCCGAAUAUUCCUCAAAAACUGGGAUGGGGAAACCCGCGAAAAACGAGCGGGUGGUGGCAACCACCCCGCGCGCUUCGUUCUCUCCUCUGGAUCCCGGGCUCGAGCGAGGAUGCGGCGGCAGGAGGCCGGCGCGGAAGGAGGCCAGGGCUGCGGCAGGAGGCAAUGCCGGCGCGGCUGGAUCCNNNNNNNNNNNNNNNNNNNNNNNNNNNNNNNNNNNNNNNNNNNNNNNNNNNNNNNNNNNNNNNNNNNNNNNNNNNNNNNNNNNNNNNNNNNNNNNNNNNNGAGCACACACCCUAAAUAAUAACUCUGUCGGCUCAUAAGGUCGCAACAGGAUGACAAAAUUGAUCUCAAUGAAGAAGCCCCCAAGUCGGGAAGCAUUUUAAUUUUAUUACUUCAUAAUGAAACUGAAAAACUUACAAAAUGCAGAGCUUAAGAGCUCAAGUGUAAUAAGGCCGCAAGUGGGCAAUAUUCCAGGGGCGAGUUGACUCAGCCUCCAUGGUUGGCCGAUUAGGUCGAAGAUCCACCAGAUAAUAAGAGCCGUUGCGAAGAUUCUUGCUGACGAUGAACGGUCCUUCCCAUGGUGGUGAAAACUUAUGCAUGCCAGCACGAUCUUGUAUCAACCGAAGAACUAAGUCGCCUUCCUGAAAGGUCCGUCUCUUAACCCGACGGUUGUGAUAACAUCGUAGAUCCUGCUGAUAGAUGGCUGAACGGGCCGCAGCCAGGUCAUGUGCCUCCUCUAAGGCGUCCAAGGAGUCUUGAUGCGCCAGCUCAUUGUCUUGAUCCACAUAUGCGGCGACUCUAGGUGAGUCAUGCCUUAUGUCAGUAGGAAGAACGGCUUCUGCUCCGUAGACCAAAAAGAAAGGGGUGAAACCCGUGGACCGGUUCGGGGUGGUCCGGAUACUCCACAGUACUGAAGGCAAUUCUUCAACCCAACAUCUUGGGGUUUUCUCCAGGGGAACCAUGAGUCGGGGCUUAGCUCCUCGCAAAACCUCCUCAUUCGCCCGUUCCGCCUGCCCAUUAGAUUGUGGGUGAGCGACCGCAGAAACAUCAAGCCGGAUAUGUUCUCGAUGGCAAAACUCCUGCAUCGCCCCUUGGGACAAGUUAGUACCAUUAUCAGUAAUGAUACUGUGUGGGUAUCCAAACCGGAAGAUCAGCUUCUUCAAGAAUUUGACCGCUGUCUCCGCAUCGCAAGUUCCAAUAGGUUCUGCCUCAACCCACUUGGUGAACUUAUCAACCGCCACCAGCAAAUGGGUUUUCUUAUUGGAUAAAAUUUUAAAGGGGCCGACCAUGUCUAACCCCCAGACCGCAAAAGGCCAAGUGAUGGGAAUCGUUCUUAAUUCUUGAGCCGGCACAUGAGCGUGUCGUCCAUAACGCUGGCAUCCCUCGCACCGACGAACUAUAUCUUCUGCGUCUGCAUGAGCCAUCAACCAAAAGAAACCAUGACGGAAUGCUUUUGACACCAAAGAGUGUGACCCGACAUGAUGCCCACAGUCUCCGGAAUGAAUGUCAUUUAAGAUUAUGCAUCCUUCUUCGGAAGAAACGCAUCGUUGAAAGACUCCAGAGGCGCUCCACUUAUAUAACUCGCCAUUGGUGAUCACCAUGGAUUUACUGCGCCGAACGAUUUGACGGGACGAAACUUCAUCUGUUGGUAACUCGCCCCGGGCGAGAUAAGCCAGAUAGGGAAGAACCCAAUCCGGAGUGAUNNNNNNNNNNNNNNNNNNNNNNNNNNNNNNNNNNNNNNNNNNNNNNNNNNNNNNNNNNNNNNNNNNNNNNNNNNNNNNNNNNNNNNNNNNNNNNNNNNNNCAGGACCGGCGGGUUAACCAAUUGCCGUUUCAAGGCUUCGAGCGCCUCGUCUGCCUCAUUUGUCCAAACAAACCGGUCAGAUUUCUUUAGUAACUGAUAAAGAGGAAUCGCCUUUUCACCCAGGCGACUUACGAAGCGACUUAGAGCCGCAAUGCGACCCGCCAGCCGUUGAACUUGAUUAACGUUUGCCGGCUUUCCAAGGGAUGUAACCGCUUCGAUUUUGUCCGGGUUAGCUUCAAUGCCACGCUCCGACACCAGGAAGCCCAACAAUUUCCCUGCAGGAACACCAAAAACACACUUGGUAGGAUUUAGCUUCAUCUGAUAUACCCGCAGAUUAUCAAAAGUUUCCUUGAGAUCCCCCAGUAGCGUCUCCCCCUGGCGGGUUUUUAUCACAAUAUCGUCGACAUAGGCGUGAACGUUGCGACCGAUUUGGCUGCGAAGGCAAUUCUGGAUGCAGCGCUGAUAAGUCGCCCCCGCACUCUUGAGUCCAAAAGGCAUGGACACAUAGCAAAAAGCCCCAAAGGGGGUUAUAAAAGCUGUUUUCUCUUGAUCCUCCACGACCAUCUUGAUCUGGUGAUAUCCUGAGUAGGCGUCCAAAAAGCACAAUCGUUCGCAUCCCGCCACCGAGUCAAUGAUCUGGUCGAUGUGGGGAAGAGCGAAAGGAUCUUUCGGACAAUCUUUGUUGAGGUCCGUGUAAUCAAUGCACAUACGGAAGGUACCGUUCUUCUUGAGUACCAAAACCGGGUUAGCCAACCAUUUGGGGUGGAAAACUUCCACGAUGAAUCCGGCGGCUAAGAGACGGGCGACCUCUUCCCCGAUCGCCUUGCGUCGCUCCUCGUUAACCCUGCGAAGAUACUGCUGGAUGGGUUUUGCCUUUGGGUCAACAUUAGGAUGGUGCUCAGCAAAUUCUCUCGGCACACCAGGCAUGUCAGAAGGUUUCCAUGCGAAGAUGUCCCAAUUCUCACGGAUGAAUUCNNNNNNNNNNNNNNNNNNNNNNNNNNNNNNNNNNNNNNNNNNNNNNNNNNNNNNNNNNNNNNNNNNNNNNNNNNNNNNNNNNNNNNNNNNNNNNNNNNNNGGGCGAGUCAGAUUUGGCGUCACUACUGGGCGGACGUACCUGGCCAGCUCGACGAUGUCGGUGGAGAUGUCCAGCUCAGGCACGGAUGAUCCGAUCAUGCCGAUGAAGAUGUUGAUCUUGCCGAAGGAGACACUAUAACCAGAUUCGAUCGAAUCCGCCUCGGGCCCCCAUUGCUGGUUGUCGAUGUAGGUCUUCCCGCGGCGGCUCCGGGUCAUGAGCCCCGCCGCGUAACUCCCAAACCCUGGUAGGGCUCCCUUUGAGAACUCAACUCCACCGUGCGUAGGCCCCACGGUGGGCACCAACUGUCGUGGUUUUGUCACGGCAGAUGUCCUCGUGAAAGGACUUAGUACUGGAGCCAUCGCACCUUGGUGGCGACUCAAAGGGGUUGAGCAGGAGAAACACGGCGAUUUACCCAGGUUCGGCCCCUCGUGAGGAGGUAAAAGCCUACGUCCUGCUUUGAGUUGUAUUGAUGUGGUUUCGAUUACAAGGAGGGCGUAACUCGCCAAACCUAGCACUCGAUGAUUUCUAACCUGCCCUAUGCUUCCCUGGGAUUCGCCUUUAUAUGCAGGUCGAAUCCCUAGGGUUUACAAGGGUACUUUCCUUCCUACAAAUCGUGACCUCUACGAUCUCCAAGUCGCCAUCUUCCAAAGCUUGGAAACCUUCCGGAAAUUGUAAACCGCCACACAACCUUCGGCCUCGCCAAGCCAAGGCCCGAACCAUGCUCAGAUGAAUCGCCUGAUUCAGUGACUCGACCCAACUAGGGCGGGUUAUUAACAGGUAAUAUAUCCAACAUUAGGCCCCAGAUUGACUUGAAUUCUCUUCACGCCAAUAUUCUUGCUCAAUUAAAGGCGAUUCAUCCUUUAUCCUUCUUUUGACAUCGGAAACUUUAACCCGCCACCUGUCAUGGAAGAUCUUUAAAUCGCCAAACCAUUUCUCGUUGGCAUUUUCUUGUCCCUUGAAUUCCGGGAAGACUGACGUAAUCCUAACGGAUCCUUUGAUAUCGUUAUUCCAAAAUUUUCGGAGCGCUAUUAUAGCGAAUCUUUUUAUCCUUCGGCGGUUCCCGCUCACGGCGCCUCGAUUCCAGCGCCUGCCCUGUUAAAUAGGUGGGGGGACAGGACUAGUGCAUCUCACCUACCAGUCUCGUCAAUCUCCUCCCCAUUAUCGCCUUCCGAGAGCUUCGCCACCGACCGCAGCUCCUGUCGCCGCCCGAAAGCUUUGGCGCCGCCCACGGAUCUUGUCUCCGUCAAGCAUCUCCCCGCGGCCGAGCUGCUCGUCGCCAUCGACCAUUUCAUCGCCGUCGACCACCUCGCCAUUGUCAGGCACUUCGACGCCGCCGGAGAUCCCUGCGCCCGACCGAGAUUUUCGUGCUCCUCCAAAAGCCUCCGUCGCCGUCGACCACUUCCAACCGAACUCAUCAGGUUAGGUCACCGCUCACUUAAGAAAAAAUCCCCAUCCCUUCACUUAUCCGCCCUUGAUUUGCGUGUUUAGAGCAAUACUUCAUCAAACGAACAACAUUAUCUUAUCCUGGUAGUAAGUUGCCGUGUCCAGUCAUUUUCCUCAUGUUUUUUCGGCUGUCCAGUAGAUCCAUAGUUUACCGCUCAUUGCGUAAAAGUUGUUUGUAGUCUUCCCACUUCACCAUUUUGAACAAAUGUCUCUGAUGCUUUAAUAGACAACUCUCGCGAGUAGCCAAACCUCGUAAGUCGCCAAAGCAACCCGACCCGGAUCUUUGUAUGGCGGGUCAAGAUUUUUCCUCAGUCCGUGAACAAAUUACUUGGCGAGUUAAAUGAACUUAUUUCACCCCUUACGGUAGAUGUUCAAGCGUGUAAAUUCACCCGUAUUUCACUCCUUUGUAGCAUGGGCACUGUCUUCAAAAGUGACUGGCUCCCUACCAAAGUCAACGACACCAUACUAGCAAAUUAUGUGAAAACGGGCAACUUGGACCCUCAGGAUGUUAUCGGUUGGCGUACCGGGUUCGGAGAGGAUAUCCCCAACCCCAAAGAAGGGGAGAUAGUCGUUUCCGUCGAACACCUUGAGCGAGGUUUUAAGCCGCCCGGAUCAAAGUUCCUUAGAGAUGCCAUGGCUUUCAUGAACGUCCGCCUCCAGGAUCUGGGACCUAAUUCGAUAAGUAACCUAUGCCAGUUCCUAGUGUUCUGUGAGGCUUACCUGCGGAUAGAACCCUCAGUUCCCUUAUUCUGGCACUUUUUCCACUUAAAUCGCCAAACGGAAUUUCACAACGGCCCCAGCCUGGAACUUGGUGGUGUAAAUGUUCAGCGCCGCAGGGAUAGCCCGUUUCCCUCAAUCGCCAUGCCAAGCCAUCCCAAAGGCUAGGGCGAGUCUUGUUCUAUUGUCAAGAGACCUCACCUGCAGGCGAAAACAAACUUCUGGGCUAUAGGAAAGAUCGCCUUCCAACGAAUUUCAAGCUUCCGGACAAGCUCACCGAAGAGGAGGAAUCAGAUUUUAUCCCAGUAUUGUCCGAGUUAAGAUCUUUGACAAAUAACGGCCUUACUAGGGUCGACUUGAUCCGCUGUUGGGUCGAAUGGCGCAUCCUCCCUUUGAGUCGCCGGGACGGGCUAAUGUGAGAAUUUGAUGGCACCUUAGAUCAUCCUAAAUGUUAUUUCCAUACGGCUUUAACGGAAAAGGAUAUUGUUACCAUCAUCAAGAAGCUGACCGGCGAGCCUGCGGGAAAAUGCGGCCAAAUCGGCCUCCAACCCUUCUGCAAAAUUAAUCCGGUGCCCAAGGUAAGCAAUUUUAACCCGCCUUUUGUCUUUACUUCUUAUGUUUCAUUCGAAUUGUGGCCUUUUAUAACAUAUGCCAUUCCAGAAAGGUGAUAAAUUUUGGUCCAAGAAACCCAAAAGGCCAGCCAUGAAGCAUGCUAAGCCGCCCCCAAAGAAAACCAAGGGCAAGGGCAAAGCUGCUGUGGCCGAGCCAUCCGAAGCCGAUGAAUCUCAAGUCGGCGACACACCUUUAGAGGUAAAAAACCUAUCCUCUUUUCAUUCGCCAUCCGCUACUGUUAAUUUUAUAUUUAUGUCUCUGCCUUUCUUGAAUAGGAUGAAGACAACAAAAGCCAAGAGGAUUCUGUAAAGGUAAUUUCUGUUUCCUCCGAUUCAUCUCCUUCUCCACAUAAGCCGGCCAGGCGAAUUUGUGGGAAAGUUCCCUUCUCACAUCCAAAUGCUUGUUUGGACCCCAAUUUUNNNNNNNNNNNNNNNNNNNNNNNNNNNNNNNNNNNNNNNNNNNNNNNNNNNNNNNNNNNNNNNNNNNNNNNNNNNNNNNNNNNNNNNNNNNNNNNNNNNNGUAAUUAUCACUGGUACCAGCUUCUCUAAACCGGCCACAACGGUUUUGUCAAAGCAUGUGCCAGCACCCUCUCAAACCAUUCCUGAGUCUGGACUCUCCAAGGCUAAGAUUUCUGAGUAUGAACAUCUGGAAUUCAAAGAACUCUGCUCUAGUUUUGCAAGUCGCCUGGAGGCGAGUUAUGAGAUGGAGAAAAGCCUCCUCCGGAUGCUAAAAAAUAAACAUAAGGUAAGUCUUGUUAUAUUAUAUUACUCCCAUUAACCCCCAAGGGCCGGGUCAUAAGUAAAAAGAUGAGUCGGGACUUGAUUAUUUUAGAAAAACUUUCGACCAGUAACCCCCAAGGGCCGGGUCAUCAGUAAAAAGAUGAGCCGGGUCUUGAUUACUUGGAAAAACUUUCGACCAGUAACCCCCAAGGGCCGGGUCAUCAGUAAAAAGAUGAGCCGGGUCUUGAUAACUUAGAAAAUCUUUCAACUAGUAACCCCCAAGGGCCGGGUCAUCAGUAAAAAGAUGAGUCGGGUCUUGAUAACUUAGAAAAACUUUCGACCAGUAACCCCCAAGGGCCGGGUCAUCAGUAAAAAGAUGAGCUGGGUCUUGAUGUUGUAUAAUUUUGUUUGAAAAAAUUAUACAUUAGCCCCCAAGUGUCAGGGAUAUUGCUUGCAAUAGUUCUGAGACUUGCCCUUUAUCAUGUAUGUCCACAGGAAACUCUUAUUCAGACUGAAUCAGCACUUGGCGACUUGAAGAAAAACUUAUCUGAUCAGCAAGAUGCCCGAACCAAAUCGGAGGAAAAGUAUCAGUUGGUCUUAGCUGAGAUGGAAAAGCUAAAGGCCGAUUUAGAAAGGGCUCAAGCUGACCAAGAUGCUGCGACAAAACGAGCAGAGAAAGCUGAAGCCAAGCUGGCUACUGUGCAACAAGAACUGUCCGGCUUGAAGCGUCAUAUCUCAAACAUGGCGCAAGCCGUCUUUGGUAAAAUACUCAAACCUUUGAUCUUUUUUUGAACCAAUAACUCUUAUCCCGAGUCGUUGAUUAUCAUUACCCCUUGCACAGGUCCGAGAGCCGCCAACCUUCAGGAUGAUUGCGUGCUGAUGUCGAAGGCGAUUUACACGCUGACAAAGCAGCUGUAUACUGGCAGUGUGCUAACUGUUAAAGCAGUGAUGGACGCCAAGGAGCCUAUAACCUCCAUAAACAAGAUGUUCGGCUGCCUAUCCACGCUUCCUCCCCAGAUUGGCGAGUUGACUCGGUCAGCCGCCCAGAAGGGAGUGCUGACUGCAUUAAGUCGCUGCUUGGCGUAUGCUCCAGAGAUCAACCCGGAAGAAGUAGCGGCGGGCUUUCCUCAACUCAAAGAUGACGGAUCAGAAUUCGUCGAAGAGGACUAUCAGCGUGUCGUCAAGGACUACCGGCUGGCGGCGACUCAACUUGCUGCAAGUCUGGACUUAUCAAAGUAUCAGGCUCCUUAUGAUAGCAAGAACAAGAAGGUCAACCCGCCAGCCUUUGUGACGACCAGCUUAACUCCACGGUGACCCAAGAACCCUUUUGACUUGGACGCAGAUCUUUCAUCAAUCUUGACCGAUGAAUAUGACUUCGCGGCUCUGGCGAAGUGUAACUGGGUACUAGGCGACUUGCAAAUUGAAGUCGGCCAAAGCUCGCAGCAAAACGAUCCAAGGGCGCCAGCAGAAUAAACUUCAUUGAUUUGGCCCUAAGAGCCAUGUAGUAGGUCUUUUUUAGGAAUAGAUACUGCUUUUGUGAUACUUUCGAAAAGAAUCCUUAUGUCGCCCUUAAGGCGAUUUGAAAUACUGGAUCCACCGUUUGAAAAUCCUUUAUAAUGCUUAAUCCGCCAUGGAUGAAGUAAUUUUGAUCAUCAACCUGUUUUAAGCUUUAAAUAAACAUAUGUGAAAUCAAAUAAAUGAUAACAAAUCUUUUUAGGAUGAAUUAGGAAAAAGGUUUGGAAAACCUUCUGGCAGUGCCAUGAAGGAAAAUAAAAAAUAGCAAUUUCGUCGGCUCAUAAGNGGCUGAGCCUGACUCAUCGCACUUGGAUUGAGAACUCCGCCCUCGCCACGUCCGCCUUGAGGACUCCGACUUGACGAUAAAGAAUCCCCCCUUAUAUUAUAAAAUAACCAACCGAUACAUUCACCACGUUGGGCCGUAGCACAAACUAUACCAAAAGAAAAUAUGAGAGAAGAAAGAAAGAGAAACAAAUGCUAUUAUCGCUUCCAGUAAGUUAGUCCACCUGCGAACUUUGUUUCCACAAGAUGUUCUCACGAUGGUAUAGUACCACGAGCUGAUUAGUGAUUUUUAAUUCCUAGGUAGACGGUCCCGUAUGACCCGGAACCCCUCUUAAGAUUUCUAGUUCAUACUUAAUUUUUCUAAUCUCCCUCCUGACAUUGCCGAAUGUCUCUAGAUCCCAACCCGAGACAUUCAUCGAGAUUUGUUUCAAUUUUUCCUAAAGUUCCAUGACUCACAUGCUGCUCGGUCUAUAUUUCCACCCCGCAUCGAUGAAAUGCAUAAGAUCCGGUUGUGUUUCUCACAUNNNNNNNNNNNNNNNNNNNNNNNNNNNNNNNNNNNNNNNNNNNNNNNNNNNNNNNNNNNNNNNNNNNNNNNNNNNNNNNNNNNNNNNNNNNNNNNNNNNNNNNNNNNNNNNNNNNNNNNNNNNNNNNNNNNNNNNNNNNNNNNNNNNNNNNNNNNNNNNNNNNNNNNNNNNNNNNNNNNNNNNNNNNNNNNNNNNNNNNNNNNNNNNNNNNNNNNNNNNNNNNNNNNNNNNNNNNNNNNNNNNNNNNNNNNNNNNNNNNNNNNNNNNNNNNNNNNNNNNNNNNNNNNNNNNNNNNNNNNNNNNNNNNNNNNNNNNNNNNNNNNNNNNNNNNNNNNNNNNNNNNNNNNNNNNNNNNNNNNNNNNNNNNNNNNNNNNNNGACACACAUCAAGGGCUUCUCUGGAAUCGUCCAGCUAUGCUUGGCUUCACUGACCUAUCCCUUCAUACUACAAGUGGUGGAGAACUUCAAAGCAAUCGCUGAUAACAACCCAUGGUUCUUCGGUCAUAACUACCAGAUUGCAUAUUGUGUCCCAGGUUUUGCAUCUCUCCAGAACCCGAGCCUCACUGUACACACAUGAUAUCCUCCACGGAACUAAAGUCUUGCCCUCAACUACGAGGACAGGUAAGGAACUGCCAUCUAGCUCUGCACUUGAUUCACCUUCAGUUAUGAGUAAGUUUGCGACACCACCUCCUGCUAGAAAUCUUGACAUGUCGCCUAUGCUUUAUGAUGCUACUUCUGCUGCCCAUGAUGCUCAUAAUGAUGCUAUGCUUGAUACUAUGCCUGAUGAUGCUAUGCCUGAUACUGCUUUGCCACUAGGUGCAUUCCUUGAUGCACAAAUUGAUAGAGUUGCUUCUGGAUGUGAUGAUACUUCUGAAACUGCUGAUACUAUUGAAGUAGAACCUGCUAUUUUGCCUGCUAGAACUAGCUCUCCUAUGCCUGAAUUGCCUGAUAUGCCUGAUACGCGUUAUGUUAUGGAGGGAGAGAUAGCUGAGGAUUUUCUUGCGUGUAAGGAUAGCUAUGAUGUUGAGAAUUUACUGCGCAAGUGGAAAGAAAAAUAUCUGAACGCUAGGAUGAAAUACGACCUGAAGUUUGCUACUUCGCCUAUCUUUGUGACCGAUAAGGACUAUGAAUUCUCUGUUGACCCUGAGUUAAUCACUCUGGUCGAAUCUGAUCCUUUUCACGGUUAUGAGUCUGAAACGGUUGUAGCCCAUCUUACCAAACUGCACGAUAUAGCCACCCUAUUCGCUAGUGAGGAAAAGAUCCACCACUACUAUAUACUCAACUUGUUUCCUUUCUUGCUAAAGGAUGAUGCUAAGACCUGGUUCACUUCUCUUGCUCCUGGUUGUGUGCGUAGCCCCCAGGAUAUGGUCUACUAAUUCUCUGAAAAAUAUUUCCCUGCCCAUAAGAAGCAAGCUGCCUUGCAGGAAAUAUACAACUUUGCUCAAGUUGAAGAACAGAGCCUCCCACAAGCUUGGGGGAGGCUCAUCCAGCUACUGAAUGCUUUGCCUGAUCACCCUCUUGAGAAGAAUGAAAUACUUGAUAUCUUCUAUAAUGGACUUACCGAUGCUUCUAAAGACCACCUAGAUAGUUGUGUCGGUUGUGUUAAUAGGGAACGAACCGUAGAACAAGCUGAGAUCCUAUUGAAUAAUAUCUUGUGCAAUGAGAAUGCUUGGACUAUUCCCGAACCACCUCCUAAGACAACUCCGAAGAAAAGAGGUAUUCUAUUCCUCAGUCCUGAAGAUAUGCAAGAAGCUAGAAAUCUAUGCGAGAGAAAGGCGUUAAAUAUGAAGAUGUCAAAAAUCUACCACCUAUCGAAGAGAUCCAUGGUCUUGAUAACCCGAUGCAGGUAGUAGAAGUAAAUUCUUUGCGUAGGUUUGAUGAGAGUGAUAUUCCUUUUCAUAAACCUGCUAGCUUAUGCCUGGAUGAAUUUGAUAACUUCGUUGCCAAACAACAAAGUUUCAAUGAUUAUGUUAGCAGACAAUUGGAACAGAAUGCUCGUAUGCUUAGUCAUUUAAGUGCUUGUGUGGAUAGAAAUGCCAACGAUCUUAAACUUCUGAGUAAACAUGCCUCUAUGGUUACUACUCAAGUAGAACAAGUACUUAAAGCUCAGAAUGACUUGCUCAAUGAGUUGAAUGACAAUUCCAUUAGAGUCGUCACUAGAGGCGGUAGAAUGACUCAGGAACCUUUGUAUCCCGAGGGUCAUCCAAAGAGAAUUGAACAAGAUUCCCAAGAAGUUAGCACUGAUGCACCUAGUAAUCCUAGGAAGAAGAAGAAAGAUGAUAGGGAUUUGCACGCUAGCAACCCUGUUGCUGCUACACCUGAGAGUCCAAAAGAUGUCUCUGUCUUUGAUGCUGAAACACAAUCUGGUGAUGAACAUGAGCCUAAUGAUAAUAUCAAUAGUGAUGUUCAUGUUGAUGCUCACCUAGCAAUGAUAAGGAUGUGGAGAUUGAACCUGUUGAUCUUGAUAACCCACAGGCUAAGAAGAAGAGAUACGAUAAGAACGACUUCGCUGCUAGGAAGUAUGGUAAAGAAAGGGAACCAUGGGUUUAGAAACCCAUGCCCUUUCCUCCCAAACCAUCCAAGAAAAAGGAUGAUGAGGAUUUUGAGCGCUUUGUUGAAAUGAUUAGACCUGUCUUUCUGCAAAUGCGUUUGACAGAUAUGCUCAAAAUAUCUCCGUAUGCUAAGUACAUGAAGGAUAUUGUGACCAAUAAGAGGAGGAUACCUGAGGUUGAGAUUUCCACCAUGCUUGCUAACUAUACCUUCAAGGGUGGAACUCCUAAGAAACUAGGUGAUCCCGGUGUGCCCACUAUACCUUGCUCCAUUAAAGGCAACUACGUUAGAACUGUGUUAUGCGACCUUGGAGCCGGUGUUAGUGUUAUGCCUAUCUCUCUUUAUCGUAGGCUUGAACUGGAUAAGUUGACACCCACUGAAAUCUCUCUGCAAAUGGCCGACAAAUCAACUGCUUUCCCUAUCGGCAUUUCCGAGGAUGUGCCUGUUGUGGUUGCCAAUGUCACUAUCUUAACAGACUUUGUUAUCUUGGAUAUUCCAGAGGACGAUGCCAUGGCGUUCAUCCUCGGAAGACCCUUUCUAAACACUGCAGGGGCUGUUAUAGAUUGCAACAAAGGCAAUUCACUUUCCUUGUNNNNNNNNNNNNNNNNNNNNNNNNNNNNNNNNNNNNNNNNNNNNNNNNNNNNNNNNNNNNNNNNNNNNNNNNNNNNNNNNNNNNNNNNNNNNNNNNNNNNCACGGCGCGACGGCGAGGAGGACGGCACGGCGGCGAGGAGGACGGCGCGAGGCAAGGAGGACGGUGCGACGGCGAGUAGGACGGCGGGCAGCCUGACGGCGUCGAUUAGUUCGUCGUUGUGCCACGCCGGGCAAGAAACGAGAGGAAGAAGAAGAGAAAUGGACGAAUUGGGUUGGAAAUUUUCAAAGUCCUGCUUAUAUAGGUGGAUCUUUAGUCUCGGUGCGUGGCUCGAACCGGGACUAAAGACCCCCUUUAGUCCCGGGUGGAGCCACGGCCCGGGACUGAAGCCCCUUGUUUCCCGCCUCCUCGCCUGCCGAAAAGGGGUCUUUAGUCCCGGGGCGUGGCUCCAACCGGGACUNNNNNNNNNNNNNNNNNNNNNNNNNNNNNNNNNNNNNNNNNNNNNNNNNNNNNNNNNNNNNNNNNNNNNNNNNNNNNNNNNNNNNNNNNNNNNNNNNNNNNNNNNNNNNNNNNNNNNNNNNNNNNNNNNNNNNNNNNNNNNNNNNNNNNNNNNNNNCCGGGACUAAAGCCCCUCCUCGGCUGCACGAUAAGUUUAGUCCCACCUCGCCCAGCGAGGGGGACUAACACUUGUUUAUAAGCCCCGUCGCAGCUUCUUCAUCGAGCUCCUCUCUAAAGCAGGCUUACGGGCCUAAACUCAGUGAAAAUUGAAACUAUAUUNNNNNNNNNNNNNNNNNNNNNNNNNNNNNNNNNNNNNNNNNNNNNNNNNNNNNNNNNNNNNNNNNNNNNNNNNNNNNNNNNNNNNNNNNNNNNNNNNNNNAGGUAUACGGAUACUGAUGAUCGAAUAUCGGGCAAGUAACAUACCGAAGGACAAAGGGAAUGACAUACGGGAUUAUAUGAAUCCUUGGCACUGAGGUUUAAACGAUAAGAUCUUCGUAGAAUAUGUAGGAUCCAAUAUGGGCAUCCAGGUCCCGCUAUUGGAUAUUGACCGAGGAGUCUCUCGAGUCAUGUCUACAUAGUUCUUGAAUCCGCGGGGUCUGCACACUUAAGGUUCGACGUUGUUUUAUGCGUAUUUGAGUUAUAUGGUUGGUUACCGAAUGUUGUUCGGAGUCCCGGAUGAGAUCACGGACGUCACGAGGGUUUGCAGAAUGGUCCGGAAACGAAGAUUGAUAUAUAGGAUGACCUCAUUUGAUUACCGGAAGGUUUUCUGAGUUACCCGGAAUGUACCGGGAAUGACGAAUGGGUUCCGGGAGUUCACCGGGGGGGCCACCCACCCCGGGGAAGCCCAUAGGUAUUGGGGGUGCCGCGCCAGCCCUUAGUGGGCUGGUGGGACAGCCCAAAAUGGGCCUAUGCGCAUUGGAAAGAAAAUCAAAGAGAAAAAAAAGGAGGAGGUGGGAAAGGGAAGAAGGACUCCACCUUCCAAACCAAGUAGGACUCGGUUUGGGAGGGGAAUCCUUCCCCCCUUGGCUCGGCCGACCCCUUGGGGGUUCUUGGACCCCAAGGCAAGGCUCCCCCCUCUCCCUCCUAUAUAUAGUGGGGUUUUAGGGCUGAUUUGAGACAACUUUGCCACGGCAGCCCGACCACAUAUCUCCACGGUUUUACCUCUAGAUCGCAUUUCUGCGGAGCUCGGGCGGAGCCCUGCUGAGACGAGAUCAUCACCAACCUCCGGAGCACCGUUACGCUGCCGGAGAACUCUUCUACCUCUCCGUCUCUCUUGCUGGAUCAAGAAGGCCGAGAUCAUCGUCGAGCUGUACGUGUGCUGAACGCGGAGGUGUCGUCCGUUCGGCACUAGAUCGUGGGACUGAUCGCGGGACGGUUCGCGGGGCGGAUCGAGGGACGUGAGGACGUUCCACUACAUCAACCGCGUUCACUAACGCUUCUGCUGUACGGUCUACAAGGGUACAUAGAUCAACCAUCCCCUCUCAUAGAUGGACAUCACCAUGAUAGGUCUUCGUGCGCGUAGGAAAUUUUUUAUUUCCCAUGCGACGUUCCCCAACAGUGGCAUCAUGAGCUAGGUUCAUGCGUAGAUGUCUUCUCGAGUAGAACACAAAAGUUUUUGUGGGCGGUGAUGUGCGUUUUUCUGCCCUCCUUAGUCUUUUCUUGAUUCCGCGGUAUUGUUGGAUCGAAGCGGCUCGGACCGACAUUACUCGUACGCUUACGAGAGACUGGUUUCAUCGCUACGAGUAACUCCGUUGCUCAAAGAUGACUGGCGGGUGUCAGUUUCUCCAACUUUAGUUGAAUCGGAUUUGACCGAGGAGGUCCUUGGAUGAGGUUAAAUAGCAACUCAUAUAUCUCCAUUGUGGUGUUUGCGUAAGUAAGAUGCGAUCCUACUAGAUACCCAUGGUCACCACGUAAAACAUGCAACAACAAAAUUAGAGGACGUCUAACUUGUUUUUGCAGGGUAUGCUUGUGAUGUGAUAUGGCCAACGAUGUGAUGUGAUAUAUUGGAUGUAUGAGAUGAUCAUGUUGUAAUAGAUAAUAUCAACUUGCACGUCGAUGGUACGGCAACCGGCAGGAGCCAUAGGGUUGUCUUUAUACUAACGUUUGUGCUUGCAGAUGCGUUUACUAUUUUGCUACGAUGUAGCUUUAGUAGUAAUAGCAUGAGUAGCACGACAACCCCGAUGGCGACACGUUGAUGGAGAUCAUGAUGAUCGAGAUCAUGGUGUGAUGCCGGUGACAAGAAGAUCGUGCCGGUUCUUUGGUGAUGGAGAUCAAGAAGCACAUGAUGAUGGCCAUAUCAUGUCACUUAUGAAUUGCAUGUGAUGUUAAUCAUUUUAUGCACCUUAUCUUGCUUAGAACGACGGUAGCAUUAUGAGGUGAUCUCUCACUAAAAUUUCAAGACGAAAUUGUGUUCUCCCCGACUGUGCACCGUUGCGAUAGUUCUUCGUUUCGAGACACCACGUGAUGAUCGGGUGUGAUAGACUCAACGUUCACAUACAACGGGUACAAAACAGUUGCACACGCAGAACACUCGGAUUAAGCUUGACGAGCCUAGCAUGUGCAGACAUAGCCUCGGAACACAUGAGACCGAAAGGUCGAGCAUGAAUCGUAUAGUUGAUAUGAUUAGCAUAGAGAUGCUUACCACUGAAACUAUUCUCGACUCACGUGGUGAUCGGACUUGAGAUAGUGGAUUUGGAUCAUGUACCACUCAAAUGACUAGAGAGAUGUAUUUUUUGAGUGGGAGUUCUUAAGUAAUAUGAUUAAUUGAACUAAUUGUCAUGAACAUAGUCUAAUGGUCUUUGCGAAUUACGAUGUAGCUUGCGCUAUAGCUCUACUGUUUUAUAUGUUCCUAGAGAAAAUUUAGUCGAAAGUUGAUAGUAGCAACCUUUGCAGACUAAGUUUGUAAAACGGAGGAUUGUCCUCGUUGCUGCGCAGAAGGCUUAUGUCCUUAAUGCACCACUCGGUGUGCUGCACCUCGAGCGUCGUCUAUGGAUGCUGUGAACAUCCGACAUACACGUUUCUGAUGACUACACGAUAGUUCAGUGCAAAGUACUUAAUGGCUUAGAAUCAAGGCGCCGAAAACGUUUUAAAACGUCACGGAACAUAAGUGAUGUUCUACAAAGAUGAAAUUGUGAUUUCAUGCUUGUGCCCUUGUUAAGAGGUACGAGACCUCCAACAAGAUUCUUUGUCCACAAAGUAAAGGAGAAAAGCUCAAUCGUUGAGCAUGUGCUCAGAUUGUCUGAAUACGACAAUCACUUGAAUCAAGUGGGAGUUAAUCUUCCAGAUGAGAUAGUGAUGGUUCUCCAAAGUCACUGCCACCAAGCUGUGAGAGCUUCGUGAUGAACUAUAACAUAUCAAGGAUAGAUACAAUGAUCCUUGAGCGAUUCGCGAUGUUUUGACACUGCAAAAGUAGAAAUCAAGAAGGAGCAUCAAUAGUUGAUGGUUUUUAAAACCACUAAGUUUCAAGAAAGGCAAGGGCUAGAAGGGAUACUUCGUGAAACGGCAAAACAGUUGCUGCACUAAUGAAGAGACCCAAGAUUAAACCCAAACCCGAGACUAAGUGCUUCUGUAAUGAGGGGAACAGUCACUGAGGCAGAGAAACUCUAGAUACUUGGUAGAUAAGAAGACUGGCAAAAGUCGAAAGAAGUAUAUUUGAUAUACAUGAUGUUGAUGUGUACUUUACUAGUACUCCUAGUAGCAUGAGGGUAUUGGAUACCGGUUCGGUUGCUAAGUGAUUAGUAACACGAAAUGAAAGCUACGGCAUAAACGGAGACUAGCUAAAGGCGAGGUGACGAUAUGUGUUGGAAGUGUUUCCAAGGUUGAUAUGAUCAAACGUCGCACGCUCCCUCUACCAUCGGGAUUGGUGUUAAACCUAAAUAAUUGUUAUUUGGUGCUUGCGUUAAGCAUGAACAUGAUUGGAUCGUGUUUAUUGCAAUACGAUUAUUCAUUUAAAUAGAAUAAUGGUUACUCUAUUUGCUUGAAUAAUCACCUUCAAUGGUUUAUUGAAUCUCGAUCGUAGUGCUACACAUGUUCAUGAUACUGGUGCCAAAAGAUACGAGGUAAUGAUGAUAGUACCACUUACUUGUGGCACUGCCGCUUGAGUCAUGUUGGUAUAAAUUGCAUGAAGAGGCUCCAUGCUGAUGGAUCCUUAUACUCACUUGAUUUUGAAUCACUAGUGACAUGCAAAUCAUACUACAUGAGCAAGGCCUUGUUUUCAUUGAGAUGAAACAAGAUAGUAACUUGUUGGAAGUGAUACAUUUUGAUGUAUGCAGUCCAAUGGGUGCUGAGGCACGCAGUGGAUAUCAUUAUGUUCUUGCUUCAAUGACGAUUUGAGUAGAUACAAGAGUGUUUACUUAAUGAAUCACAAGUCUGAAAUAUUGAAAAGUUCAAUUCUGUUUCAGAGUGAAGUUCGUCGUAACAAGAGGAUAAACUGUCUACGAUAUGAUCAUAGAAAUGAAUAUCUGAGUUACGAGUUUUGGUACACAAUUAAGACAAUGUGGAAAUUUUUUCGCAGUUCAUGCCACCUGGAACAUCAUAGUGUGAUGAUGUGUCUGAACGUCAUAGCCACACACUAUUUGGCAUGGUGCAUGCUAUGAUGUCUCUUAUCGAAAUACCACUAUCGUUUAUGGGUUAUGCAUUAGAGACAACCGCAUUCACUUUAAAUAGGGCACCGCGUAUUUCCGUUGAGAUGACACAGUAUAGACUGAGGUUUAGAGAAAUCUAAACUGUCGUUUCUUAAAAGUUUGGGGCUUCGACACUUAUGUGGAAAAGUUUCAGUCUGAUAAGCUCGAACCCAAAGCGGAUAAAUGCAUCUUCAUAGGAUAUCCAAAACAGUUGGGUACAUCUCCUAUCUCAGAUCCGAAAGCAAAGUGUUUGUUUCUAGAAACGGAUCCUUUCUCGAGGAAAGGUUUCUCUCGAAAGAAUUGAGUGGGAGGGUGGUAGAACUUGAUGAGGUUAUUGAACCAUCACUUCAACCAAUGUGUAGCAGGGCGCAGGAAGUUGUUCCUGUGGCGCCUACACCAAUUGAAGUGAAAGCUGAUAAUGGUGAUCAUCGAGCAUCGGAUCAAGUUACUACAAACCUCGUAGGUUGACAAGGUCGCGUACUACUACAGAGUGGUACGGUAACCCUGUCUUGGAGGUCAUGUUGUUGAACAAUAAUGAACCUACGAGCUGUGGAGAAGCGAUGGUGGGCCCGGAUUCUGACAAAUGGCUGGAGGCCAUUAAAUCCGAGAGAGGAUCCAUGUAUGAAAACAAAGUGUAGACUUUGAAGAACUACUUGAUGGUCAUAGGACUAUUGAGUAAAAAAAUGGAUCUUUAAAAGGAAGACAGACGAUGAUGGUGAUAAGUCACUAUUAAGAAAAACUUGUCGCAAAGAUGUUUCCGACAAGUUCAAAUAGUUGACUAUGAUGAGACUUUCUCACUCGUAGCAAUGCUAAAAGUCUGUUAGAAUUAUGUUAGUAGUUGCUGCAUUAUUUAUGAAAUAUUGCACGUAGGAUGUCAGAACAUUGUUUCCUCGACGGUUUCCUUGAGCAAACAUUGUAUGUGAUACAACCAGGAGGUUUUGUCGAUCCUAAAGAUACUAGCAAGUAUGCAAGCUCCAGUGAUCCUUCAAAUGGACUGGUGCAAGCAUCUUGGAGUUGGAAUAUACACUUUGAUGAGAUGAUCAAAGAUUUUGGGUUUGUACAAGGUUUACGAGAAACUUGUAUUUCCAAAGAAGUGAGUGGGAGCACUAUAGAAUUUCUGAUAAGUAUAUGUGGUUGACAUAUUGUUGAUCAGAAGUAAUGUAGAAUUUCUGUGAAGCAUAAAAGGUUGUUUGAAAGGAGUUUCUCAAAGGAGUACCUGGAUUGUGCUACUUGAACGUUGAGCAUCAAAGAUCUAUGGAGAUAGAUCGAAAGCGCUUAAUAGAAGUUUCAACAAGAUGCAUGCCUUGACAAGUUUUUGAAAGAGUUUAAAAUAGAUCAGCAAAGAAGGAGUUCUUGGUUGCGUUGUAAGGUGUGAAUUUGAGUAAGACUCAAAACCUGACCACGACAGAAUAAGAGAAUAGAUGAAGGUCGUCUUCUAUGCCUUAGCCAUUGACUCUAAAGUAUGUCAUGCUGAGUACCGCACCUGAUAUGUGCCUUACAGCAAGUCUGUUAAGAGGUACACAGAGUGAUCCAGGAUUGAAUCACUGAUCAGCGGUCAAAGUUAUCCUUAGUAACUAAAUAGACUAAGGAAUUUUUUCUCGAUUAUGGAGGUGGUUAAAGAGUUCGUCGUAAAGGGUUACGUCGAUGCAAGCUUUGACACUAAUCCGAAUAACUAUGAGUAGUGAAACGGAUUCGUAUAGUAGAGUAGAUAUUUGGAAUAUUUCCGAAUAGCACAUAGUAGCAGCAUCAAUAAGAUGACAUAAAGAUUUGUAAAGAACACAUGGAUCUGAAAGUUUCAGAACCAUUGACUAAAACCUCUCUCACGAGCAAGACGUGAUCAGACCCCAGAACUAUAUGGGUGUUGGAUUCGUUGGAAUCACAUGGUGAUGUGAACUAGAUUAUUGACUCUAGUGCAAGUGGGAGACUGUUGGAAAUAUGCCCUAGAGGAAAUAAUAAAUUAGUUAUUAUUAUAUUUCUUAGUUCAUGAUAAUCGUUUAUUAUCCAUGCUAUAAUUGUAUUGAUUGGAAACACAAUACUUGUGUGGAUAUAUAGACAAAACACUGUCNNNNNNNNNNNNNNNNNNNNNNNNNNNNNNNNNNNNNNNNNNNNNNNNNNNNNNNNNNNNNNNNNNNNNNNNNNNNNNNNNNNNNNNNNNNNNNNNNNNNGUGCACCAUCCCGAGACCGCCACUCAUUUGUCCAAAUGGACUUUCAUGUAAGUUCUGCCCGCGACCUUUUUCUCAAAAGUCCAUUGCCUCCCUACGUGUCCCAGAUCAGUAAGGCCACACACAUCGAGGGCAUCUCUGAAAUCGUCAAGCUGUACUUGGCUUCACUGGCCUAUGCCUUUAUACUCCUAAUGGUGGAGAACUUCAUUGAAAUUGCUGUUUACAACCCAUGGUUCUGUGGUCGAAACGCAGGUUGCGUUGUGUGUCCCAGGUUUUGCAUCUCUCCGGAACCUGAGCUUCACCGUACACACAUGAUAACCUCCACGGAACUGAGCCUACAUCGGCCACCUUUGCAUCGAUGUGAUACUUUGAGUAACCAGAAACUUCCAAUUUUUUUAAUUGUUCCAGUAAAUUACAAGGCCUCCACUCCUACCGUAACUACUAACCGAAAAGGAUUUAUUGUAACAAAAAAAAGAGCUAAAUCUUCAGUGCGUGCACUCUGCAAUUGAUCUCAACUAUGUUGGUCGGUAAUCUGCAAACCUCUCGAACUGUCUCAAGAUUACCCAAACCACGACAGUUCCGACAUAAGAUAGUCAUUGUUCUCGGCGGCCUCCCUUGGAGGGAGCCAUCGAUGCAUCGUUCUUCAUUGCCAUCAUAAUAGUGAUCAUAGAUGUACCCUCAACGCUUUUUGGUUUCUCUUUGUUGGCAUUUUUCCGAGGGGUUCCAUACGGCUCCACCGUAUCCAUAUUUCGAUCAAACUGAUCCACCAUAGCUGCAACUUUUGUCNNNNNNNNNNNNNNNNNNNNNNNNNNNNNNNNNNNNNNNNNNNNNNNNNNNNNNNNNNNNNNNNNNNNNNNNNNNNNNNNNNNNNNNNNNNNNNNNNNNNAGGGAACCAACUAUGAUAGAAACAAAUAAACUUAUACAAUGUCAUUAUCUUGGAUCAAAGGAAGCCUCAAAACUUACUUCGCCCAUUGGAAGAUCAAGACAUGGCUUGCGAAGCAUAUCUGGAUGACGGCAACACCGCGUUGAUCGGCCGUGUACUCUAGAUCAAGCCCGAAGAACUUCUCAUGAUCCGGUGCGUGGUUAAACCAUCGUUCCUUCAACUGUUGAAGGAAAAACGGCACCUCCGUGCUCAGGUUCGUGUACACGACACUGAGCUUCGUCGUGCCAUGCGCGACCACCUCAUGAAAGGUAGUUGGCAUGGUGGAAGAAGAGAAGGGAAGAAGAGAGGAGAAGAACAGAGAGGGCGACGCGAGAGAGAAGAAGAACAGAGAGGGCGAUGCGAGAGAGAAGAAGAACAGAGAAAUGGCGACUGUACGCUUCGGUUCGUGCUUUUCAUCGCCCGAAACGACGCGGGAUGCAAACCGUUUNNNNNNNNNNNNNNNNNNNNNNNNNNNNNNNNNNNNNNNNNNNNNNNNNNNNNNNNNNNNNNNNNNNNNNNNNNNNNNNNNNNNNNNNNNNNNNNNNNNNNNNNNNNNNNNNNNNNNNNNNNNNNNNNNNNNNNNNNNNNNNNNNNNNNNNNNNNNNNNNNNNNNNNNNNNNNNNNNNNNNNNNNNNNNNNNNNNNNNNNNNNNNNNNNNNNNNNNNNNNNNNNNNNNNNNNNNNNNNNNNNNNNNNNNNNNNNNNNNNNNNNNNNNNNNNNNNNNNNNNNNNNNNNNNNNNNNNNCAGGCCACGUGUUUAGUCCUUUAGUCCCGGGUUGAGCCACCAACCGGGACUAAAGGGGGUUACGAACGGUUGCAACCACCACUGCCCGCCGCGUAGCCCUUUAGUCCCGGUUUGGGACACGAACCGGGACUAAAGGCUCCUUACGGGUCGGGACUAAAGCCUCGAGGGAGGCAUUGAGAAUUGGGGCGACGUGGCCGGGCCUUUAGUCCCGGCCCAGAGGCACUCCGGGACUAAAUGGUCCAGGCCAAAGGCCCGUUUUCUACUAGUGCNNNNNNNNNNNNNNNNNNNNNNNNNNNNNNNNNNNNNNNNNNNNNNNNNNNNNNNNNNNNNNNNNNNNNNNNNNNNNNNNNNNNNNNNNNNNNNNNNNNNCCCCCACACACACACAUACAUACCCCUCAAAAAAAGUACACAAGGUUGAUGAACAAAAAAUUGUGAUUUGUGAUUGAUUGUACAUUGAGUUGAGAACAUUGGCGUCAAGACCUACACGCAUUCUAUGCAACCCUUGGUUAAGGCAAGAAAACAUAACUUUGUGGCCGGUAACGAUAAUCGGCUACUUUCUUACAAUCCUCGAAAGGAUGGCAGUCAAAAGGUGAAAAUCUGAAGCGUGGAACCAUAGUAUCAUCGCAACCACUCGACCAAUACAGUAAAUGUGUGACAUUUGAGGCUCUUUUUAGGUACAACUGAUGUGUGUGUGUGGGGGGGGAGGGGGGGUCAAGGGUUAACUGGAUAAAUGCCACUUGAAUUCUGGUGAUUCCGAGCACGCUUUGAAAGAUGCCAUUUCGAGUGGAAUUUUUCGAAGUCGGCACUGGUGUUUUUUAGAGUUUUCCAAAAUUUGCAACGACUUUUUUCAAAGUUUGGAAAUUACAUUGACAUUUCUCAGAAUCGUCAUAUUCGAGUGGCAUUUAUCCAAUUAUCCCAAAAUCAAAGAUGGGAGAAAAAGAUCAAAACAUGAAGGAGAUAGAUAGGGAGGUUGGAGGAAGGGCAAAUGUAUGAUGAAACCUUAAGUUGUUUCUAAAGUAGUGAUGUAUAAAUUAUAUCAUUAUGUCGAUCCAUGGUGNNNNNNNNNNNNNNNNNNNNNNNNNNNNNNNNNNNNNNNNNNNNNNNNNNNNNNNNNNNNNNNNNNNNNNNNNNNNNNNNNNNNNNNNNNNNNNNNNNNNGCCGCCGAGAACAAUGAGUAUCUUAUGUCGGAAUUGUCGUGGUUUGGGUAAUCUUGAGACAGUUCGAUAGGUUUGCAGAUUACCGACCAACAUAGUUGAGAUCAAUUGCAGAGUGCACGCACUGAAGAUUUAGCUCUUUUUUUGUUACAAUAAAUCCUUUUCGGUUAGUAGUUACGGUAGGAGUGGAGGCCUUGUAAUUUACUGGAACAAUUAAAAAAAUUGGAAGUUUCUGGUUACUCAAAGUAUCACAUCGAUGCAAAGGUGGCCGAUGUAGGCUCAGUUCCGUGGAGGUUAUCAUGUGUGUACGGUGAAGCUCAGGUUCCGGAGAGAUGCAAAACCUGGGACACACAACGCAACCUGCGUUUCGACCACAGAACCAUGGGUUGUAAACAGCAAUUUCAAUGAAGUUCUCCACCAUUAGGAGUAUAAAGGCAUAGGCCAGUGAAGCCAAGUACAGCUUGACGAUUUCAGAGAUGCCCUCGAUGUGUGUGGCCUUACUGAUCUGGGAUACGUAGGGAGGCAAUGGACUUUUGAGAAAAAGGUCGCGGGCAGAACUUACAUGAAAGUCCAUUUGGACAAAUGAGUGGCAGUCUCGGGAUGGUGCACNNNNNNNNNNNNNNNNNNNNNNNNNNNNNNNNNNNNNNNNNNNNNNNNNNNNNNNNNNNNNNNNNNNNNNNNNNNNNNNNNNNNNNNNNNNNNNNNNNNNUAUUAGUACGCAAAAUAGUUCAUGUGGUCAUGAGGAAAUAAGAGAAUGGCAUGUUCUGCAACUCUAGGCGGUGUGGGAGAGUUGGUGGUACUAGCAAAUGGAAAAACUUUCUCAUCAAAGAUAACAUCGUGAGAGAUGUAAACAUGAGCUGUUGGUAGAUGAACCCAUUUAAACCCUUUGUGGCGGAUGCUAUAGCCAACAAACACACACUGUUGAGAUCGAAAGGCAAGUUUGUGAGUGUUGUAUGGGCGUACAUUCGGCCAACACGCACAGCCAAACAUACGGAGUGACGUAUAGUCAGGUUUGUUGUUAAACAACUUUUCCAGAGGACUAGAAUUACCAAUAACACCGGUGGAAAGUCGAUUGAUAAGAUAACACACCAAAAGGUAUGCCACAUCCCAGAACCGUCGAGGCAUAUACGCAUGUGAUAAGAGGGACAUCCCCAUGUCAACGAUGUGACGGUGUUUCCUUUUAGUAGAACCAUUUUGUUGAUGUGUGUGUGGACAUGAUACAUGAUGCGAGACACCAAGUUGACGGAAGAAUGUGUUGCUAAGUUUUUCGUACUCCCCNNNNNNNNNNNNNNNNNNNNNNNNNNNNNNNNNNNNNNNNNNNNNNNNNNNNNNNNNNNNNNNNNNNNNNNNNNNNNNNNNNNNNNNNNNNNNNNNNNNNUCAGUAUCCGUAUACCUAUUUCAAUCUCGUUUACUGGCAAGUCUCUUUACUCGUUCCGUAAUACAAGAUCCCGCAACUUACACUAAGUCACAUUGCUUGCAAGGCUUGUGUGUGAUGUUGUAUUACCGAGUGGGCCCCGAGAUACCUCUCCGUCACACGGAGUGACAAAUCCCAGUAUCGAUCCAUACUAACUCAACGAACACCUUCGGAGAUACCUGUAGAGCAUCUUUAUAGUCACCCAGUUACGUUGCGACGUUUGAUACACACAAAGCAUUCCUCCGGUGUCCGUGAGUUAUAUGAUCUCAUGGUCAUAGGAACAAAUACUUGACACGCAGAAAAUAGUAGCAAUAAAAUGACACGAUCAACAUGCUACGUCUAUUAGUUUGGGUCUAGUCCAUCACAUGAUUCUCCUAAUGAUGUGAUCCCGUUAUCAAGUGACAACACUUGCCUAUGGCCAGGAAACCUUGACCAUCUUUGAUCAACGAGCUAGUCAACUAGAGGCUUACUAGGGACAGUGUUUUGUCUAUNNNNNNNNNNNNNNNNNNNNNNNNNNNNNNNNNNNNNNNNNNNNNNNNNNNNNNNNNNNNNNNNNNNNNNNNNNNNNNNNNNNNNNNNNNNNNNNNNNNNUAGGGCGAAUUCCGCUGGUGGAUUUUAUUUUGUCUCAACUCCAGCUCCCUACUGAAUUAUUGCUGCUCCAUGUGAUCUUGUUGCUUCAUGCGACGAUACUCUCGUUUCCAAAGAAAAAAGACGAUCAAUCAGUACAUGAUUGCUUUUGCUUGCGAGCUAGCUUGCACUCGGGGAUUCAAAUAGUGCAUGCAUCAUCGGUGUUUCGGUCGGUGAAGAAAUUAUCACAGACAUACACACCUUGUGCAUACCCAAAUGGGAAUGAUUGGGUAAACAAACAAACGGGAAUUAUUGUGUAAACAAAUGGGAAUUAUUGGAGGUAAUACGGUCUACGUACACUCAUGGACAAGGGUCAGUGAUGCCAGGCCCAAUCCCAGGGAUCUGUGCAUUUUAUUAGAUGGAUAGAGAAAGGAAGAUUGGAGUGGAAGAUUUGAGCUGGCAAUGGCAUGUGGACUGCAAAUCAGUGAGAGCGUGAGGUUACCAAGGAUGCUCAUGAUAAUAAGAUUCUGGAUCUUCUCCACCACUCACCUGACGGCUGGAAUUAUUGGCCACCAGCAGCGUGGAUCUAGUAUCCGCCUACUCCAUGGGUGCUGUCAUGGAUACCUGUUCUUGCCUUAUGCAUGCAUGUUGGUUGGUGUGCUUGGUGUUUUAGAAAGGAAAAAUAAAGUAGCACCCCAACCGGCUUAGUCAGAAUUUCAUGUAGUUUGCACAACUUCACCGUGUUCUCUUCAUGAAACUACAUGAAAGUUUGCAUAUGAAGCUAGUUGUUCAUAUGCAAACCUUUGUAGCGUCUACUACAUGCUAGUUUAUCGGAAGUCUGUAUUUCGUGAAACCCAAUUAAUCAGCAAAGAAAAGAAAAAAAGACACAUGAUCACAACCGGUUUGUGUGGUUCCUGCCUUGCUAUUGUUGUCCACAAACAAAACUGAAUCAUUGCCACGUCGAACAAUGCAUUAUUGCACAUGCAUUAGUUGCUUCCAAGUUUGCUCCAAAGAGGUUAUAAUCGACAAAGACAAAUAGACACAACCUGAGAGUCAACAAGGUAACAACACACACACACACCCAUGUGUGCAUGCCAAGCGGAUGCAUGGUUCAUUCUUAACCUUGUUGAGUUAUCCACACUACAUACAUAUUGAUCCACACGUCUAUACGUGUUGAUAUGUGGCGGGUAAGUGGGCAACAUCACACAAAAACGAGCAUAGGUGGUGUAAAAAAAACUAUAAGCUGGCUGCCAAGCAGUAGAGUUUGCCAUGUCAACUAGUAUUAUGACUGACUGCAAUAAUAUGUUGCCAUUUGUCACACGUCGCCUUGUCGGCGUUGAGCUCCAAGCAUCGAGGUUACAACGCCCAUGUGCGUUCAUUUCUAUGGCCAACUUUCAUCGCAUUGGUAGAUAACUACGGCCGGUAGCCUCUUCACAUGACUUCCUAAUCAUUGGUAGAUAUAUCAACUAUAGCCACUUGUUAUGUUGCGCGAGCACGCAACGUUUGUGUGCCCACCGCCAAAAGAGAAAUGACAUCUCACAUGGCAUGGAUCUUAUAGAGCGACACGUGGAGAGAGCCACGUCUAGAAGUUUGGAUUUCAUGGAUGGGCCGGGUUUGAGAAUUUGCAUGACUAAAAAUAGAGUCUGGUCAAGAUUCAUUGUCCCUACCUCUGGAUGCAUUAUUGUACCUGCGUGAUGCCGAUGAAUCUUCUUGAAACCAUAGGACAAUGACACUCCCUCAGACACACACACACACACACACACACACGCAGGAUGCACCCCUCUUUGUGUGUCGUGUGGGCUCCCGGCCUCUCUUCCCAUAUCCAUUAUUCAUAGUUGUUGAAUAUCUUUUGACUGUGAUGUUGAUCUUCUUGUUAGUUGUUAGUCCUUGAUGGAUGACAAGCUAGCAGCUAGCUGCCAUCAAUGGUUGCCACCUGUUACACCCUGCCCUGUCACAUGGUUAGUAAGAGUUAAAAAGGAAUUGCUGAUGUGGUAGCACCCACCAGCCAACAGAACACUAAUCGAUCGAGCUGAAACUUGGAGAGGUCCGCUGCCACGAGCGUAGUUUGAUUCUAUCUAAAGAAAUUUAGAUGAUUGAUCUCGUAAUUUUCUUGCAGGGAAUCUCUUGAUUAGCAUUAGCUUAGCUACUACUCACUCUGUAAACAAAUACUAUGAGACAUUUGAGGCUGGCUAGCGACACGUAAACCUGUAUUAUUGUACUGGCAAUGAUGUCGAAUCUGCAAUUACUUGUUUCUCGUUCGGUUGGUUCCACGGAGAGCAAGACCCUUGAAGCUUAAUUGGCGUAGCCAGCUCCCUUGGGUACGUACUAUAGCUCCAAAUUUCUCUUAUCCAUGACGGAUUGGCCAUUUGAUCAUCCACCCAUCCAUUCAUGUUUGUUUUCUUGUGAUUAUGUGGAGCUGAAGCACUCUAGAGGACCACUACUACCUACUGUACCCUAGAAAGAAAAUGUUGCUUGGCCUGGAUAGCUAGCUGCUGCUGAUUGGCUCCGGUAGUUACGUCCAGAUGGAUGCAUCUCUGUACAGCUCCCACCGCUAAUGUCGAGCUGUGCAUGUGGCGUCCGAGCGGUGUGUCUGCAUGCGUGGCAAAGUGUACGAGAGGCCAUGAAUUGUCGCCCAAGGGGACAUGAGUAAGUGAGGAGGGUGUCCGGUACAAAUCCACAUCGAACUAGCUGUGACCCAAACGGUACCUGCCAGUGCCACCACCACCAGCCAUUGCUAGCUUAACCAGGCCACACAUCUAUACAUUCCUGAUCAAUUUUGUGUGGUUUGGUUUGGUGAUGCAGAUAAUAAGAAAUGUCAUAGGAGAGUAAGGUAGGUGGGUGCCCAUGCUGGUGGUACAAGAGGGUCCGACAAAAACACCAUCGGUUUCGGUUUGCUGCAUUAUUUGUGGGGCCUAUUCAUUCCAUGGAAUCUACAUCCUCAUUUUUUGUUUGUCAAAAAUUGUAUUUCCAUGUUGUAGCCAUAUAGUUGCCACGAAUCUGGGUCGUCCGGGUCGAGGAACGAGGAACGGGGUCGUGGGUCGCCACCCUUCCGGUAUUAGAUGCAACGCGGGGUAUACAUCUUCGAAACAUUAUUUUGGCACGUGGAUUGCAUUACUGAUAAUUUUGGGUCGAUUACCUGGUACGGUAAAAUGACAUGGAUUGAAAUGUUUUGUUGUUUUUCUCUAAAAUAUUAAGAUUUCCUUGUGAUUCUUUCCUAAUACCACGCAGAGGGAAAACCCGCGAUGGAAAUGAUUUUGCAUCUAUGACAACCCACUAUGACGACAAAUCUUCUCAUUUCGUAUUACUUUUCCCCCAUGAAGCAUUAGUCCCCAAACCUCCUCACUUAGAAACCAUUACAAGGUAACAACCACACCCCCCCCCCCCCCCAAUGUGUGCAUGCAAACUGUAUGUAUGGCUUGUUCUUAACCUCCUCGAGUUAUCUUUCUGAUUGCACACCACAUACAUAUUGAUUCACACGUCUAACAUGUUGAUAUGUGGCGAGUAAGUGGGCAACAUCACACAAGGAGCAUAGGUGGGGUAAAAAUACUAAGCUGGCUGCCAAGCAGUAGAGUUUGCCAGGUCAACUUUUCUAGUGUGGAUAGCUUGAAUGUUGAUGAAGGUUCCAUGGUGGUGACUUGGGAUUAUGACUGUCUGCAAUAAUAUGUUGCCACUUGUCACGUGUCGCCUUGUCACCUGUUAUGUUGCGCGAGCACGUAAUAUUGGUGUGUCCACCACAAAAAGAGAAAUGACAUCUCACAUGGCAUGGACCUUAUAGAGCGACACGUGGAGAGAGCCAUGACCAGAAGUUUGGAUUCCAUGGAUGGGCCGGCUUUGAGAAUUUGCAUGACUAAAAUAGAGUCUGAUCAAGAUUCAUUGUCCCUACCUCUGCAUGCAUUAUUGUACCUGCGUGAUGCCGAUGAAUCUUUAUGAAACCAUAGAGGACAAUGACACAACCUCACACACAUAUGCAGGAUGCACCCCUCUUUGUGUGUCGUGUGGGGCCCUGGCCUUUCUUCCUAUAUCCAUUAUUGUUAGUUAUUGGUUUUUUUUGUAUUGUGAUGUUGAUUUUGUUGUUGGUGUUAGCAUUUUAUGCAUGACAAGCUUGCAAGUUACUACAAUGACUAGCUAGCUAGCUGCCAUCAAUUAUGGCCACCCUUUACAUCCUGCCUCGUCACAUGGUUAGUAAGAGUUAAAAAGGGAUGGCUGACGUGGUUGGAACCUCCAGACAACAAAAUUAAUGGAUUGAGGUGAACCUUGGUGAGGUCCGCAGGCACGAGCGUAGUUUGAUUCUAUCGUAAGAAAUUUAGAUGAUUGAUCUCUUGAGUAGCAUAAGCAUUAUCUAUAUUACACCCGUUCUGGUUUAGUUGCCCCCUUUGUAUUUUGUCAUAAAUUUUGAUCUUAAAUUUAAUUAAUAAAAUAUUAGUAUAUGUCAUAAAAAUUAUAUCAUUGGAUUCGUAUUUAAACAUAGCUUUUAAUGAUAUUAUUUUUGUGGCAUGCAUUAACAUUUUGUUUGUUAAUUUAAGGUCAAAAUUAGGCAAAUAAUACAUACAGUGCAAAUGGAACUACAUAGAGUGCAAAUGGAUCUACAUUUUGUUGGUUAACCAGGACGAAUAUAGUAACAACUAGGAUGGGUUCCGUUCGACACGUGGACCUACAUUAUUGUACUAGCAAUGAUGUUGAAUCUGCAACCAGUAAUUCCCGGCGGAAGGAAUACAUGUUUCUCGUUUGGUUGGUUCCAGGGAGAGCAAGACCCUUGAAGUUUAAUUGGCGUAGCUAGAACAGUGUCCACCCAAAGCCAGCUCCCUUGGGUACUAUAGCUCCAAAUUUCUCUUAUCCAUGACGGAUUGGCCAUUUGAUCAUCCACCCAUUCAUGCUUGUUUUCUUGUGAUUAUGAGGAGCUGAAGCACUCUAGAGGACCACUACUACCUACUGUACCCCACAAAGAAAUUGUUGCUUGGCCUGGUUAGCUAGCUGCUGCUGAUUGGCUCCGGUAGGUACGUCCAGAUGGAUGCAUCUCUGUACAGCUCCCACCACCAAUGGUGAGUCAGCACCUUGCUGAUUGUCACCGGAGUACUACCCCGGCAUGCACUCCAUGCGAGCGGUGCAUGUGGCAUCCGAGCGGUAUGUGUGCAUGCGUGGCAAAGUGUAGGAGAGGCCAUGAAUUGUCGCCCAAGGGGACAGGAGUAAGUGAGGAGGGUGUCCGGUACAAAUCCACAUCGAACUAGUUGUGACCCAAACGGUACCUACCAGUGCCACCACCACCAGCCAUUGCUAGCUUAACCAGGCCACACACCUAUACAUUCCUGAUCCAUUUUGUGUGGGGUUGGUUUGCUGAUGCAGAUAAUAAGAAAGGUCAUAGGAGAGUAAGGUAGGUGGGUCCGACAAAAACACCAUCGGUUUCGGUUUGCUGCAUUAUUUGUGGGGCCUGCUUUUUGGUUCCAUGGAAUCUGCUUUCUCAUGUAUUUUGUUUGUAAAAAAUUUUAUUUCCAUGUUUUAGCCAUGAUUGUCAGGGAAUGUGGGUCGCUCGGGUUGUGGAACGAGGAACGGGGUUGUGGCUCGCCACCCUUCCUGGAGGAGGUGCGGCGUGGGGUAUACAUCUUCGGGACUUUAUUUUGGAACGUGGAUCGUGUUCCCGAUAGUUUUUGGUCGAUUACCCGGUACAAUUAGCAUGUGAUUCUAUCCUAAUACCGUGUAGAGGGAAAAACCGUGACGGAAAUUUCACAUGCAUCACAACCCUGUGCGAUGCCACUAUGACCUCAAAUCUUUUGAUUUCCUAGUACUUGUCCCCACGAAGCAUUAGUCCUCAAACCUCUUCACCCUCAAACCUUUCCACCAAAAGGUACUACCUCCGUUCUAAAAUAAGUGUCAUAAGCUUAGUACAACUUUGCACUAGAGGUAGUACAAAGUUAAGACAGUUAUUUUAAGACAGAGGGAGUAGUUUCUAAUCUCCAACAUGGUGUUGCGUUGGAGCCCAUGGUACGAGGAACACUGCUGGGUCGCUGUUCAUCUGCCUCCUCCAGACCUUCUGGCCGGCGUACUCGGUCUUGGCAGUGCUGCGAGAGUCAUGUGGCAGCUUGUUUUUUUUUAGGGAAACGUGUGUGGCAGCUUGUUGAGCAGACGACAUACAUGCACACUCCGAAAUCAUGACGACAAUCGCCUGGUAAAGCUCCAUAACUCAUGCCAUAGGUGUUCUUGUAAGCAUUUCUUUGUGGACAUAGAAUCAUCCCAUUGAUUUCGGUUCACGAUCCAUCCAAUGACCCCGUCCGAUCCUGUGUCUUUCCCGACCCUCGAUCUGCGUGGAUCGACCCUGGAUUAGGAAACCCAUUAUCGUACCACGAACCCGUCUACCGUGGAUUAGGAAACCCACUAUCGUACCUGCGAAUGAAUCUUGUGUACAUGUUACUAGUAACUGUCAUCGAUCCCACACCAUUUCUUCUUGCCGUCUUGGAUCAUCCAUGAUCCAAUGCAUAUUGUUAGGCCUUGUCAGCAUCAUUUCAAACGUUCUACAACGUCAAGCUUGCGUCUCUGCAGUGCAAAGUUCCAUGAACAAUGCUCCACGGACGGGUUGUUGUACGUUGUCGAUUGAUGGAGUGACAAUAUGUGGCACCUGCCAGAUGGAGUCCUACCACGUGGCGUGAUCCACAACCACAACCAGGAGUAGCUAGUUUCCAUCCAGCUCAGAGAACAUUGGAAGAAAAGCUUUAACUGGCACCGCAUCCAUGGAGCAAACGUUUCUAUCCUAAUUCCAAUAGACGUCUGCAUUAUUGGGUAUUAUGGUACUAGUGCAAUGAUGUGGAUGCUGGAUCUACAAGAGCUUCUUGGUUGAUUGGUUCUGUGGAAAAGGCUGUCCUCUCCUCUAUCCAUUACUAUUACUAGUACUCCUAUUACAAUCACCAAAAAUAAUAACUACCCUUGUUGUCUAGUUUCUUCUGACUGACUAGUAAUAUGUGUGGAGCCUGAUUGCUACUUAUUGGUAGUUAGCAUUAUGCAUCAACAGCAGGAGUGCAGGACCAGAACUUGUUUCUUGCUUAACUAGCUGCUGAGUGGCUCUGGUGCAGCGUCUAGAAUCUCUUGCCGACAAUGGUGAGUCAGCACCUCGUGGAUCCUCAUAUGAGUAUGCUGGUACUCCAUGCACUUGGCAUUGCUUAACUACACGUUCAUGGAUCCUCCCCCCACCAUCUUCUAGUGUUCGUUGAUGGUUUAGUGUAACUCACGGGAGAAGUAGAUUACAGUUAGCUGGCUGUACCCAUCUGUUUCUGUUUGCCAAAUUCAUUCUCAACGGAAUUAAUCUAUGGCUUCUGGGUUUCAGUUCGCCGAAUUGGUACCGGGAUAUAUUGUUUUAGGCAUACCCACUGUACACAUAUGCUCUCAUAUGUACACUGAUGAACCAAUGGGUGAUACAACAAGGACAUGAACACGGCGGAGCCGCUGGUGGAGAAUCUACUCCUUUCGAUCCAUAUUAAUUAUUAUUGGUUUAGUAUACAACUUUACACUAAAUCGUUGACAGUUAAUAUAGACUGGAAGGAGUAAAUGUUUUUCCAGAGUUGGUAGUGGAGAAACUAAUUUAGUAAGUAGUUUUGAGUUGUUACUUUAGCCUACAAAAUCGUCUUAUAGUUUGAGACGGAGGUAGUAGCUGCUUGUUCACUCGGCAAAAUUGCACUAUUUCCAUUUCAAGAAAAAAAAUCACCACCUAAAGAACCGCCACCUCUCGCCGUUGACGGCAUCUCCGGUGUCAUGUCCACGCCCAUUACCUAGCUCCGCUAUGUCUAUCGCCGCCUUGCGAGCCUCCUCAUGUCAUCGCCAUCCCAUGAGUCCCCCAAUGGUUAAAUUUCAGAGAUGGGUUAGAUGCACCCUCCUCGUGCACAUGUCUUUUUUCAUGGAGCAACCAACAUGAGAGCUCUGCCUUUUCGAAGAGAAAUGGCCAAGGAUUGGCGGAGAACUGGUUUAUGGAUGAUUUCUUGACAACUACUCCCUCCUUUCGAAAUUAUUUGUCACACAAAUGAAUAAAAAUGAAUGUAUCCAUAACUAAAAUACAUCUAGAUAUAUUCAUUUCUAUGAUAAAUAUUUCCAAACAAAGGGAGUACUAAAAGUGCUCUAACCGGCCGAAAACCGGUUUAUAGAUGCUCUAACAAUGUUAGCGAACAUGAAGGGAAGAGCUUAAGCCGACAUUGCAGCGGCCAGCCAAUCCAACUGGUUUUCGGCUAUUCCCUUCUUCUCAGUUUACGGGGCAUGCAUGUAGUUUUACGCUGACAAUUUAACUAGCUAAAUAUGCAUCAUAUGAAAAACAUAUAAUGUUCAGAAACUACGUCUGCUUAAAAAUCUAAUGGUAUAAUUUGUAGACAUAUAAUGCACAUGUCUUUGUAAACUGAAAUGGAGGGAGUAACAGAGCAAGCGUGUCUUGCGCUAAAUAACAAUUAUUAGCCCAACCGGAUCAUGCAUGGAAGAACCCCGAUCAUGUACAGAAUCAUGAGAUCCAGCGGGGUACUAGUAUUAUUAGUUUGUUUCUCGGAACAAUGAGUAAUCAUGAUCGAGCUGGAUAACAUGGCCUCCAUGGACACUCCGCGCCGGCCAAUGGGGCGGAGCCAGGUAGGCCGUUAACGAGCGGCAUGGAGACUAUAAAUGUCGUCAGACGCACAGGCACACACCAAUACAAUAGCUUCAUCUCUUGUGGAGAAGAUUAGCAGAGGUGAUAAUUUGAUCAGUCCCACCGAUAAUUCCUCUCCCUUCUCUGGUCUCCGUCGAGAUCGAGGGCGUCCUUCUUCUCCUCCGACGAUCUCUUUCCAUGCCAACGAUGGACACCACAGACCGCGGCUCCUACGCGCAGCUGCCGGACGAUGCCGAGGCCGGGACCGCGCACCGGCGCAGGACCGGGCCUCUCUGUGCCGCGAUUCUCCUUACUUCGGCCGCGCUGCUGCUCGCUGUGGCCGCGCUCGCCGGCCAGCUGCCCGUAGCCGGCGUCAUCAUGUCCGGCCAGCCAACGACAGUAGACGUGGCGCCGACGACGAGCACCAGCAGCCGGGGCCCGGAGUACGGCGUCUCGGAGAAGACGUCCGGCGCCGGCGCCCACGGUGGCAUGCUGGGCGCGGACGCCGGCAACGCGUUCCCGUGGAGCAAUGCCAUGCUCCAGUGGCAGCGCACGGGGUUCCACUUCCAGCCCGAGAAGAACUGGAUGAACGACCCCAACGGUAAGCAACAUUUCCUCCAUCCUCCACCAUUACUACAUUAAGGGGGUGGUUAUUGAUGUAAAACUCAUUUGUUUGAUCUUGAUGCAAAAUGCAAAUGCAGGUCCGGUUUACUACAAGGGGUGGUACCACCUCUUCUACCAGUACAACCCCGACGGCGCCAUUUGGGGCAACAAGAUAGCGUGGGGCCAUGCCGCCUCCCGCGACCUCCUCCGAUGGCGCCACCUCCCCGUCGCCAUGUCACCGGACCAGUGGUACGACAUCAACGGCGUUUGGUCGGGCUCCGCUACCGUCCUUCCCGACGGCCGCAUCGUCAUGCUCUACACCGGCUCCACCAACGCCUCCGUCCAGGUCCAAUGCCUCGCCUUCCCCACUGAUCCCUCAGACCCGUUGCUAAUCAACUGGACCAAGUAUGAGAACAACCCAGUGAUGUACCCGCCACCGGGUGUCGGAGAGAAGGACUUUAGGGACCCGACCACUGCAUGGUUUGACGGCUCCGAUGACACGUGGCGGCUCGUCAUCGGCUCCAAGGAUGACCGCCAUGCCGGCAUGGUCAUGACCUACAAGACCAAGGAUUUCAUCGACUACGAGCUUGUCCCGGGAUUGCUUCACCGGGUGCCGGGGACAGGGAUGUGGGAGUGCAUCGACCUGUACCCGGUCGGAGGCGUGAGAGGCAUCGACAUGACAGAGGCGGUGGCGGCAGCCUCCGCCAAUGGCGGUGACGAUGUGUUGCACGUGAUGAAGGAGAGCUCUGACGAUGACCGACACGACUACUAUGCGUUGGGGAGGUAUGACGCGGCAAAGAACACAUGGACACCGCUGGAUGUCGACGCCGAUCUCGGCAUCGGGUUGAGGUACGACUGGGGGAAGUUCUACGCAUCCAAGACCUUCUAUGAUCCGGCAAAGAAGAGGCGUGUGUUAUGGGGGUGGGUCGGCGAGACUGACUCCGAGCGCGCCGACGUCGCCAAGGGAUGGGCCUCGCUUCAGGUACUUAACUUCUUCAUCAUAUUCGUGUACAACAUGUCAAAGUCAAUUGAUUGAUUAACCUGCAUUUAGUUGAUUCUUAAGAAAAUGUUGCUUUGUGAGUUACUUAAUUUGCUUGUCUGGGAGCUUGUAUGCUUCCUUUGCUGGCAACGGCCGGUGGGCCAUGGUCAAUGAGUGCAAACAACAAUAGCAACCACAUGGGAUGAAUCAUGGAUAGAUAGCAGCUACAUCAAUGUUGCUGUCAUCCCGUUGUCAAGUGUCUCCUAGCUUCCUUUAGCCUAGUUCAAGUUAGUUGCGGAUACCUUCAACCUAGUGGCAUGCCAAGAAUGGUAAUCUGGUCCAAGAACCUGCCUAUAACUGGACAAUAACAAGUAUAAAAAAAUUCUGUUAGCAUGAACCAAACUGGGAUGAGAUAAGAAAAGGGUGUGUCCUACAAACUCUGCUUACCCAAGAAUCAAUCGUGUGGUAGCAUGUGAUCUAGUGGCAGGCAAAAAGUUGUUAACUUUUUUUUUUUAAAUGUAAAAAAGUUGUUAACUUGGUAGUACCAACAAACCAAAAACUAAAUAUUUUUUGUUAGAACCAACCAAACUGGGAUUAGACAAGGAAAAGGGCUGUCUUGUCUGCUUACCCCAUAGUUAGGUACACUAUUUAUUUGCUAUCAAUGAUUGAUACCUAGGAUUCUUUGCUGAAUAAUCAAUUAUUGUCAAUGGGUAAUUAAUGUUUUAUUUUGUGAUUGUUGCAGUCGACCCCUCGCACGGUGGUGCUGGACACUAAGACAGGAAGCAACCUCCUUCAGUGGCCGGUGGACGAGGUGGAGACGCUCCGGACCAACUCCACUGACCUUGGCGGCGUCACCAUUGACCGCGGCUCCGUCUUUGCACUCAACCUUCAUCGAGCCACCCAGCUAGACAUCGAGGCCUCCUUCCGCAUUGACCAGCUAGACAUCGCCGCCUCCAACGAGGCCGAUGUCGGCUACAAUUGCAGCACCAGCGGUGGCGCCACAGGGCGGGGCAUGCUCGGCCCAUUUGGCCUCCUUGUGCUUGCCGAUGCCAGGCGCCAUGGAGGUGACGCGGAGCGCACCGCCGUCUACUUCUAUGUCGCCAGGGGCCUUGACGGUGGCUUGCAUACACACUUCUGCCACGAUGAGACGCGCUCAUCUCAUGCCAACGACAUUGUCAAGAGGGUUGUAGGCAAUACCGUGCCGGUGCUUGAUGGCGAAGAGCUGUCAGUGAGGGUGCUGGUGGAUCAUUCGAUCGUUGAGAGCUUUGCGAUGGGUGGUAGGUUGACCGCAACAUCACGAGUGUACCCGACGGAGGCCAUCUACGCCAACGCUGGGGUGUACCUCUUCAACAAUGCCACUGGAAUUCGGGUCACCACCACUAGACUCGUGGUCCACGAGAUGGAUUCUUCCUACAACCAAGCCUACAUGGCACUGUAAAAACAAAAUGGGAUAACGUAUUUUUGUUCAGAAAAAAAGGUGAUAGAUAGCACAUUGUACGCAUGUUUUUACACAAAGGAAGUUCUCUCAUUUUUGUUGCUUCGUUUCUGUGUUAUCUGAUAGGUCCCGACUUACCUUGAUGAUGCAUAAUGAUAUACUUCCUCUGUCUCAAAAUUCUUGCCUUAGUUUUUUUUAGAAAUGGAUGCAUUUAGAUACUAAAACGUGAGUAGAUACAACCAUAUCUAGACAAAUUCAAGACAAAAAUUUUAGAACGGAGGAAGUACAUGUUACAUACUCACAUUUCUGACACUAUAUCCAAGAAAACUAAUUUUAGAGUACGACUAGUUGUUUUAUUCAUAUUUUUUAGUAGUCUUGCCUGUGUUUUAAUUAGGCAUUGGCUGAGGUAGUCGGCUAUUCUCCAGGGAGUCCAUGAGAUUGCCUCCGCUUGUUUGCCCCUCCAAAGUCAAAAGUGCAAUUGCUUCGUUCGGUUUUCUUUCAUGACGCCAACUAUGUCUGAUUUUUCUUCAUAGCUCACCAUCAGAGACGAAGCUGCGUUAUGCGAUCACACGUUCCAGUGUUUUAGGUGGUAUUUUAAUUUUUUCAUAUAGCUGCACUGAUCUCUUCAAUGUGUGUUGGGUCGACGAUGGCCUACGGUGGAGCCUGAGUCAUUUGCUUAGAGUUUAGGGAUAAUGAAAAUGCCUUCUAGGGAAGGAGUAAUGAUGCCACAUAUCUGUUGUCUCGACAGGAUCCUCUUUGAAGAAGUGUGUAUGGGAUAUCAUGUGUGUGUCGUUCAGGAGUCAGAAUCAUUUUCUCGGUUCAUGGAUGGUAAUGACGUAUUCUUGGGAGGCAGUAAUGAAGAGGACACCUAAGUGUUGUCUGGACGAUGCCCAGUUUGGAAAGGUUUGUGUGGUAUCAUGUUUGUGCCGCUCAGUGGUUUGUGAUGGUCUUCAUCUGAUUUUUUGUAAUUAGCUGGGCGAUCUUGUUUUUGCAUGGUUUUCUUAAUUAAUUGAACAUAUAUUUUCUUCUUAAUGAAUGCAAGAUUUUCAUGCCAUUUUAAGAGAGAAAAAAACUUAACUCUAAAGUACAAGUAGGUGCUUUAUUCAUAUUUUUCUUACUAGUCUUGCCGUUGUUUUACACUCAUGAACAGGUGUCAUUGAUGCCGCCGUCAACUCUAAGAAGAGCAUUGCAUCUGGAUUAUAUUGGAUGGAUAGAGAUUAGAGAGAGAAAGAUUGGACCGGAAGAUUUGAGCUGGCAAUGCCAUGUGGGCUGCAAAUUAGAGAGACCGUGAGCUAAUCAAAGGCGCCGGUCAUAAGAUUCCGGUCUUCUCGUAGCUGUGUCCCUGGCCGCCACCCACCUCACGGCCGUGAUUAUUGGCCACCAGCGGGGUCGAUCUGUCCCUCCGCCAUUCCUGACAAGGAGCCAUGCAUACUGGUUCUUGUAUAAACUUUGACCAUCUAGGGUUUAUGUAUAUAUAAAGUAAAAUGAGCAAAUCUAGACUCUAAAAUACAUACAUAUACACACAUACACACACACACAUCCAUAUGUAGUCCAUCUUAAAAUCUUUAAAAAAUAUUAUAUUUUGAAACAGAGGAAGUAUAAAGUAUGUGCUAAAAAGAUAUACAACUCUUUCCGAGACAUAUUACUUGUCGCUUAUGGGGAUGUAUCUAGACUAUACGAAUUAGAGAGGGAGUCUUUUACUUAUCUUCAAAAUAGGUUAUUCAAGGUAUACUUCUUCUCACAUAUAAUUUGCAUUUUUUAGUUACAUUUUUAGUCAAACUUUGGCCUAAAUAAGAGGGGCCUUAAGAAACCUGGAUGAAGGAAGCACGGGUUAAUUUGUCAGAAAUACGUAAAUUGUGAACCCAAUUAAACAGCAAGAACAAAGGGGAUGAAGGAAGCACUGGUUAAUUUGUCAGAAAUACGUAAAUUGUGAACCCAAUUAAACAACAAGAACAAAGGCACGCCGGUGGUUUUGUGUGGUUCAUGUAAUGCUCGUGUUGUCGACAAGAAAACUGAAUCAUUGCCACGUCGGACGAUGCAUUAUUGCAACUUGCAUUGUUCCUUGCAAGUUUCGUCUAGUUAGAUUGUCCUUGACAAAGAUGGGUAGACACAACUGAAGAGCUAACAAGGUAAACAACCACACACACCCGUGUGUGCAUGCCAAGUGCAUGCAUAACUUAUUCUUAACUUUAUCGGAUUAUAUUUUUUAUAAUCACGCAUUUUCAUAAAUAUUUUUUCACGCUACUGUUUAUAUGUGGAGGUAAAGUGCGCAACAUCACACGGUGAGCAUGGGUGGGAUCAACUAAGGUGGCGUGCUAGCAAUCAAGUUGACUAAUGGAGCGACACAUGGCGAGAGCCACAGCCAGAAAUUUGGAUUCCAUGGAUGGGUGUGAGAAUUUGCAAGGCUAAAAUCGAGUCUGGUGAUAGAUUCAUGGUCCCUGCCUUCUCCCACAUCAUUGUACUGCCUCAUGACGAAGAAUCUUCAAGAAACAAUGCCUAUGGAUGAUGAAAGACAGCAUAGCUAGGACAAUGACACUCGUUCACACACACAGAGAGGCACCCAUCUUUGCGUGUCAUGUAGCCCCCCGUUCUCUUUUCCUAUAUCCAUUAUUGCUAGUUGUUGCAAUGUUUUUUUACUUUGAUGUUGAUUUUGUUGUUGAUUGUUAGUACUUGAUGGAUGAUAAGCUUGCAAGUUACUACGACUAGCGAGCUAGCUAGUAUCAAUUAUCGCCACCUAUUGCAUCCUGCCAAGUCACAAAAUCGGUAAGGGUUACAAAUGGAUUAAGGACGUGGUAGCACCCUCCAGCCAGCAAAAUUAGUUGAUCAAGCUGACACUUGGCGAGGUCCACAGCCAGGAGUGCAACUUCAUUCUAUCCUAAAAUUCCCAUAAUAUAAGAUGUUAUUACAAGGGUGUCAUCUGUUUUUUGCGGAAGUCAUAGGUCUUUAUUCCUUAAUAACAGAAUUACAAUCCUUAGCAACGAGAUCGCUUGCGAAAGGAGGAGGAUGACCCAGCCAACAUGUUGUACUAUCCCCACAUCGACCAUAGUUUGCUAGGCAGUCUGCAACUCUAUUUUGCUCGUGUGAAACUUUUACAGGAAUAAAAACCCUAUCACUUAGAAGGAACUUAAUCUCUUUGAUCAUAUGACCAUAAGCUGAAUUAUCCAACGAUGCGUCUGUUAGGGCGUUGAUAGCCGCCACACAAUCCGAUUGGAGCAUGAUAGUGGCAUCUGAAUGCUACGUAGCUAGUUUAAUACCCUCCAAAACAGCUUGUAACUCCGCUUCAAGCGCGUCACUGCAGUGAAAUAGCUUGCGAUAGGCAGCAAAUAUUACCUCACCCGUUGAUUUCCUCAUAAUCAUCCCCGAGCCAGCUAAUCCAUCAGAUAUGCCAUAAGAACCAUCAACUGACAGCGCCACCAUUCCAUCCGGAGGAGGAGGCCAUGGUAACCUUGGUGCCGAUUUGCACGGGAGGCGGAUCAAAUCAGGAGCCACAGGCGCUUUCCCUUUAAUGAUGUCAUCCACCCUCCUUGAGAUCUGGGAAUAGGUACUCUAGUAACUCUGCAGGAAUGAACAAGAUACAUCUUGCGGUGGAGGAUCCUUACCAUGUAGAAUUUCGUUCCUAACAUACCAGGAAUGCCAGAGGACCAUGAUGAUUCUGCUGCAAACAGAGACAUGUGAUUCUUCGAGGAGCUGAAGGAGCCAUUCUUUGCAUGUCCAUUUGAUCAGAGACCUAUCAGGCAACGUCCAGUGAAGGCGCAUUACGUCCCACAAGGCUGCAGCAUUCGGGCAAGCGAGAAGAGCAUGAAAUGAUGAUUCAUGCUCCCGAUCCCAUACUUGGCAGAAGCCAUUCAGAUCGAAAUGCCGCCUCUUUUUCUCAGCAUCUGUAGGAAGGGAUCCCGAGACAACUUGCCAUGCAAAGAUCUUUAGUUUUGGAGGAACCUCUGCGCCCCAUAUUAGCCUCCAAAGUGGUCUAUCCCCAGCUGGGUUUGCACUAGAUGAUCCUGGAUUGAACUGAUCAUAGUGAAUCGCCAUCGCUACAUGAUAUGCACUCUUCACUGUCAAAACCCCUGAUCUCUCCCAUAGCCAAGAAAUAAAAUCCUCCCACAAUCUCGGAGACGUUCUGAUCUUUAAGAUGGAUUCCACAUCAGGUUGCCAGAAGUGUUGACGGAGCAGCUCCACCCUCCAACAACCAUGAUCAUCCAGGAGAUCGCUCACUCGGUUUAACCGACAGUUCUGCUUUGGUGUGAUGGGUGUAAACGGCGUCCCCCUGGGGAUCCAAGGGUCCCUCCAAAACCUGAUAUUAGAUCCAUUACCCACCCUCCAUAGCAUUCCUUUCUUAACAAGUCCAAGCCCAUGUUCAAGACUACGCCAAACCGCCGAACCAUUCCCAGUGAAAACCGUGUCAACCAAGUUCCCAUUAGGAUAAUAUUUAGCACGAAGGAGCGAUGCGCACAGAGAAGUUGGUGUCAUCAGUAAACGCCACACCUGCUUGGCUAACAGGGCUUGGUUAUAGGCCCUCAUGUCACGAAACCCUAGUCCACCCUGAGCUUUUGGUAGGAUUAACUUAUCCCAAGACAUCCAUGCCAUUUUCUGCCGCCCCUUCUCCACCCCCACCAAUAUUGCCGAAUCAUUUUGGUAAGCUCAUCGCACACCGAGAAGGGGAGUUUGAAAAUGCUCAUAACAUACAUUGGGAUAGCUUGCACCACUGCCUUGAUCAACACUUGUUUACUUGCUUGUGAAGCAUACUUUUCACUCCAUUCAAUUAGCCUCUUGCUUAAGCUUGCUUGUAAGGAUUCAAAUCUGCCUUUAUGCAUACGCCCAUCCGGAACGGGGAGACCCAGGUAUUUAGCUUCGAACUCCUCUUGGGUUACUUGCAGAAUACCCUUAAUCUCAUCGACCACCAGCGGCGCACAACUUUCUUUGAACAGGAUCAAACAUUUGGAGGGAUUGAUGAGCUGGCCCGUUGCAACAGCAUAUGUAUGUAACACAUCCUUGAUGAUCGCAGCUUGGUCUGCAAAAGCACGGAAGAAUAGGAGAGAGUCAUCCGCGAAUAAUGGGUGAGAUAUAGCUGGCGCACCCCGACAUAUUUUAAGUGGUUCAAGACCUUGUUCCAGAACCGCCGCAUGUAGGAGGGCAGAUAGUGCAUCAGCGACGAAGAGGAACAAAAAAGGGGACAGUGGGUCACCUUGUCGAAGACCUCAGGAGGGAGAAAAUUGAUGUAGAUAUUUCCCAUUGAACUUCACUGCGAAUUUGACCGAGCGCACCGAUGCCAUGAUCCUGAUAACCCAUUCACCUACAAAACCCCACUUCAAUAAGGCCCGUUCCAGGAAGUCCCAAUCAACACGAUCAUAUGCUUUGGAUAGGUCCAGCUUGUAAGCACAGUAGUCAUUCCGUGCAGAUCCUGUUUGGAGAUGAUGCAAACACUCGAAAGCAAUGAUAGAAUUAUCAGAGAUGAGCCUACCAGGGAUGAAGGCACUCUGAUUUACCGAGAUGAGCUCAGAUAAGCAAGGUUGAAGCCUGUUCACCAUACACUUGGACACCACCUUGUAUAUGACAUUGCACAAAGAGAUAGGACGGAAUUCCUUCAGGGAGGCAGGGUGCUGGACUUUAGGUAUAAGAACGAUGAGAGUUUCAUUUACACCCUCCGGCAUUACCCCCGUCAAAAAGAAAGCUUGAACCGCCUUCACAACAUCCUCUAUCAUCACCCCCCAGUUCCGCUGAUAAAAUCUCGCAGGGAACCCAUCCGGCCCUGGGGCUUUCAACGGACCAAUCUGAAACAGAGCAUCUGAAAUUUCCUUUUCUGAAUAGGGAGCAAGUAGUUUCUCAUUCAUAUCAUCGAUAACUUUAGGCACGAUUUUGUUUAACAUAACAUCCGGUGUUAGCGUUGGGUCCUUGGUAUACACUUCCUUAAAGUAAGAGGAUGCCAUCCGUUCCAUCUCCGAUGGAGCCACACACCAUGACCCAUCAUCUUUUCGAAGUCUCCGGAUGUUAUUUCUCCUUGCACGCCACACCGCCUCACGAUGAAAGUGUUUAGUAUUGCGAUCCCCUUCCUUCAGCUAGGUUAUGCGGCUGCGUUGGAGCCACAUCAUUUCUUCUCUAUAAAGCAAUUCAUCCAAGUCUUCCAUUGUGUUAGGGAACGUCGCAUGGGAAACAAAAAAUUUCCUACGCGCACGAAGACCUAUCAUGGUGAUGUCCAUCUACGAGAGGGGAUGUGUGAUCUACGUACCCUUGUAGACCGUACAGCAGAAGCGUUACUGAAUGCGGUUGAUGUAGUGGAACGUCCUCACGUCCCUCGAUCCGCCCCGCGAACCGUCCCGCGAUCAGUCCCACGAUCUAGUGUCGAACGGACGGCACCUCCGCGUUCAGCACACGUACAGCUCGAUGAUGAUCUCGGCCUUCUUGAUCCAGCAAGAGAGACGGAGAGGUAGAAGAGUUCUCCGGCAGCGUGACGGCGCUCCGGAGGUUGGUGAUGAUCUUGUCUCAGCAGGGCUCCGCCUAUGCUCCGCAGAAACGCGAUCUAGAGGAAAAACCGUGGAGGUAUGUGGUCGGGCUGCCGUGGAAAAGUCAUCUCAAAUCAGCCCUAAAACCUCCGUAUAUAUAGGGGGAAGAGGGGGAGCCUUGGAGCCCCAAGGGGGUCGGCCGAGCCAAGGGGGGAAGGUCUCCCCCGCCCAAACCGAGUCCUACUUGGUUUGGUGGGUGGAGUCCUUCUUUCCUUUCCCACCUCCUCCUUUUUUUUCUUUUCUCUUUGAUUUUCUUCCUAUGGCGCAUAGGGCCUUCUUGGGCUGUCCCACCAGCCUACUAAGGGCUGGUGUGCCACCCCCAAGGCCUAUGGGAUUCCUCGGGGUGGUUGCGCCCCCCCCCCCCCCGGUGAACUCCCGGAACCCAUUCGUCAUUCCCGGUACAUUCCCGGUAACUCCGAAAACCUUCCGGUAAUCAAAUGAGGUCAUCCUAUAUAUCAAUCUUCGUUUCCGGACUAUUCCGGAAACCCUCGUGACAUCCGUGAUCUCAUCCGGGACUCCGAACAACAUUCGGUAACCAACCAUAUAACUCAAAUACGCAUAAAACAACGUCGAACCUUAAGUGUGCAGACCCUACGGGUUCGAGAACUAUGUAGACAUGACCCGAGAGAAUCCUCGGUCAAUAUCCAAUAGCGGGACCUGGAUGCCCAUAUUGGAUCCUACAUAUUCUACGAAGAUCUUAUCGUUUGAACCUCAGUGCCAAGGAUUCAUAUAAUCCCGUACGUCAUUCCCUUUGUCCUUCGGUAUGUUACUUGCGUGAGAUUCGGUCGUCAGUAUCCGCAUACCUAUUUCAAUCUCGUUUACCGGCAAGUCUCUUUACUCGUUCCGUAAUACAAGAUCCCGCAACUUACACUAAGUCACAUUGCUUGCAAGGCUUGUGCGUGAUGUUGUAUUACCGAGUAGGCCCCGAGAUACCUCUCCGUCACACGGAGUGACAAAUCCCAGUCUUGAUCCAUACUAACUCAACGGACACCUUCGGAGAUACCUGUAGAGCAUCUUUAUAGUCACCCAGUUACGUUGCGACGUUUGAUACACACAAAGUAUUCCUCCGGUGUUAGUGAGUUAUAUGAUCUCAUGGUCAUAGGAACAAAUACUUGACACGCAGAAAACAGUAGCAACAAAAUGACACGAUCAACAUGCUACGUCUAUUAGUUUGGGUGUAGUCCAUCACGUGAUUCUCCUAAUGACGUGAUCCAGUUAUCAAUCAACAACACCUUGUUCAUAAUCAGAAGACACUGACUAUCUUUGAUCAACUGGCUAGCCAACUAGAGGCUUGCUAGGGACAGUGUUUUGUCUAUGUAUCCACACAUGUAAAUGAGUCUUCAUUCAAUACAAUUAUAGCAUGGAUAAUAAACGAUUAUCUUGAUACAGGAAUUAUAAUAAUAACUAUAUUUAUUAUUGCCUCUAGGGCAUAAUUCCAACACAUUGUCCUUUUUAAUUGCAUCCGAUCGGCAUUAUUGAGCUGCAAGGACUCAAACUCACCGCGAAGCUUCAUGAUCUGUUUCUCCACAUGACAAAGUUUUCCUUACUCCACUUACGAAGAUCAUACAUGACCGCUUUUAAUGAAGCUGCAACGUUCCCCAGAUCACCAGAAGGUUUCACUUUGGCCCAAGCCGCCGUGAUAACGUGGGAAAGACGGCAAUCUCGUUCUCACAUGAUUUCAUACUUGGGAUUCCCCUUCCAGCGUUCGUCAACCACCUCCUCCAGAUGCAGGAAUAGGGGACAAUGAUCAGAUCUUGGAGAAGUUAAGUGCUGCACUUUAGCAUAAGGAAAAAAAUCCCUCCAAUCAUCCGAGGCACACACCCUAUCCAAACGGACCCGAGUAUUACCAAGCCCCAGGCGACCAUUAUCGUAUGUAUAUGGCACUCCAGAGAACCCCAAAUCUAUCAGCUAACAUAGUUCGAGGGUAUCCCGGAAAGCUUCCAUUUGAUUUUCACGUCUAGCCGUCCUGGAAAAGUGCUCAUGCUGCCAAAGGGCUUCAUUAAAAUCCCCCCCCCCACCAUCCAGGGCAGACUAGACACUGCCCUGAGUCUGAUCAGAUGAUCCCACAUGCAUUGCCAAUUCUCCACACGGGGCUCCCCAUAAAUAAAGGUUGAUCUCCACUUCUUCCCUGAUCCUUGAUCAGUGAUAGCAACAUCAAUGUAACGCUGGCACGAAUCUAAAACAGUGACUUGAUAGGAUUCCUUCCAGAACAAGGCCAAACCACCACUAUGACCAAUACAGUCAACACCACUAAAACCCUUUAAACCUAACCUCCACCUGAGACUCUCAAUUUUCGCACAGGUUUGUCUUGUUUCAAGAAGGAAGACAAAGCUUGGGGAGUGGGCUUUUACAAGAGCCCCAACUUCACGAACUGUCCGGCGGUUCCCCGCCCCCCGGCAGUUCCAGAAUAAGUGACUCAUUGGGAAUGGCGGCGCUCCACCUGGGAGCCCGCCGAUAGAUUAUCCGAGUCUGUUUGAGCAUCAUCUUUCUUUGCACGUUUACUAUCUGAACUGGUUGUUGGAGAUUCUAGGUUUGCCAUGUCCUUCCCAUCUGUAAUCAACAGAGGUUUCCCACCCUGAUUAGGCUCCACCACUUCGUCAUGUUCCACUAGUAGACGCUUGCGAGCUAAUUUAUCCACCUCCAUGGCCAACGGGAGGUUCUUCUUAACAUGGCUAGACGUAGUAUCUUUCAACUCCCUGUCGAGGGGCGAUACACCUUUGCAGGUCGACACCUUGGCGGCACGGGGGACUGGUAUAGGUUUGUCAGAGCGGGCUGUUCCCAGUCGCCCUUGAACUCCCCCGGGGGAUCGGCAUAUAGAUAGUCACCAAAUUUGAGAUCCCGUUCCUCAUACACGCCAUUACCACAUUCCUUGUGAUCAUGACCAACAAUACCACAAGCUUUGCAAAACCUUGCUAACUUCUCAUACCUGACAGCAUAGACUGACCUCACCUUACCUUUGACAAUGCUCACAAAUUUCGUGAGGGGUUUCCUGACAUCAUGCUUCACCCUAACACGGAUGUAAUCACCCCUGGAAUUACCUGCUAUUCUUGUUUCCAAAAUUUCCCCUGACAAUCUCAGUAGUUUUUCAACCACAUCCACUCUGCAAUACCCAUCCGGGAGCUUAUGGAUCUAGAGCCAUAUGGGCAUAUGAACCAUAAGAACAUCUGUUGCCUCAGAGUAGCCAUCAUAAGGAGCAAAUAUCACAGCCAUAUUGCGGAAUAGCCACGGUCCUUGGGACAUGAUCCGGUCCCAGUCACCAAGGCAUUGGGCUUGGAUCACAAAUAGGUUGGCGCCGAUGGGACGGAAUCUGAGGGGUUUAGCCGUGUUCCAAGCAGCUCUCAUAUCCUUGAAAAACGCAGCCUGACUAAAGUUCUUGUAUGUUUGAACCCUAGCUAGGGCAAGCCAUGGAAUCUCAUCUGCUAGAUCCGGAGCUUCCUCUUUCACGAUCACAUCAUCGAACUCUUCCUCAUGGAGAUCCAGCUUCUCGAAGAAAUCACCUAGUUCCUCGUCUUGCUUUUCCUGGGAACCCAGGUUUGUCGAGGAGAACGCAUCCGGUGCCGAUGCCAUGGCGCAUCACAGGAGAAGAACCUCCGCCGAGAACGCAGAGGCGUCAAGGACGAAGGGGAAUAGGCAACGGGAUCGGGCAGGACGCAGGCGGAGGGCCGACGGCAAACCAGGGCGGGCGGAGGACCUACGGCAGGAGAGUCGCCGCAGGGAUGUUAAACCCUAGCUGUCGCUAAGGGAGUUUUGUGUGGUCGUCACAAGGGUGUCAUCUAAUAUAUAAGACGGAGGGAGUAGAUGAUUAAUCUCUUGAUUAGCGUGUAGCUCAGCUUGGCUAGGGCAGUGGCAGCGAGCAAGCACACAUGCCACACAUGCAUCUCUUCUUCUCUUACCAUACAUUGCACGGCCACGCCUAGACCUUGUAAUAGUUACAUAAUCACCAUAAUGGCGAUCUAAUGUUGCAAUCGACCCUUUAACCGUUGGUGGUGUGAUCCCUCCUAAACUCUCUCACUAUAUGCCAAUAUCGAAAUUCCUUUGCAUUAUUACACUUAUUAUAUUUGCUCGUUGAUGCGCCCACAUUCGGUUCCAAAGCCCACAUUCGGUUCCAAAGUCUGGCGACUUGAGCUUGAGAUCACACUGCCAUGGUAGACUACCCAAUUGAUGAUGAGAUCAUGCGACAUGGCAAAGGACUCAUCUGGUCUCCAACACCCGGCCAUCUCCGCCGCCGCCACGCCCUGCCUCCCUCUGCCCCCUACGAUGUUGGACAACUCAGUGUGUAUACACAUAGACAUAGGAAAAAAGGCACAAGCAAUGAGAGUAACAGGGGCAACAUCUGUUUUAUAUAUGACAUGAGUCAGAUAUUUACACAAAACCGUCACCUAUAGGGCUAGGAUAACAAGUCAAUACCACUUUGUGGACAACUCAUGCAGAACAAGUCGAUGUCAGCCUGACAAGCGGGCCCAACUAGUCAGUUUCUGUGAGAGUUGUCCUCAAUGUGGUAUCGAUCUGUUAUCCUAGCUUUAUAUGUGAUGGUUUUACGUAAAUAACUCACACACGAGUCAUAAGCAUCAAAUUCGAUGAUAGAACAUUAACCGUAAAAUUGCUCGUCACAAACAGCCACAUUUAUAUCCUAGGCAUGAUAACAGCGCAGGGAAGGAUCCGAGGAAGCCAUCAAUUUCGGUUCACUCAAAUAUUUGUUGGGAAAAGUCGUUACCUUGUCAUGUAGGGCGUUGUGGAUUGCAGUUAGCAAGAGUAGGUUCCGUUCAAUCCGGACAAAAUUGGAAAUAUAUAUUUCGUUAUUGCACUAUAUAUAUACUAGUGCAGUGGUGAAUAUUGAAUCUGAUCCUCGGUGAUCAGGUAACAUGUGAUGCGCCUCCUAAAGGCCAGCCCAUAGUAUAGCUCCUAAUCGAUCCCUCUUAUCCAGGAGGGAUAGCUCAUUUGAUCUGCCACCCAUUCAUGUUUGUUUUCUUGUUAUUGUGUGUAGCUGAAGCCACUACAGGACCCCCAAUACCACCUACUGUAGUUCAGAAAGAAAUUGUUCCUUGGCCUGACUAGCUAGCUGCUGAUUGGCUCUGGUAGGUACGUCAAGAUGGAUGCAUCCCUGUACAAUUCUUGUCCCUCUAUCUCUCACCGACAAUCGUGAGUCAGGACCUCGCUGAUUGUCACUGGAAUACCAAGACACUCCAUGUGAACGGUGCAUGCGGCGCACCGAGUGCCUGCAUGCAAGGCAAAUUGUAGGAGAGACCAUGAAUUCUUGCCCAAGGGGACAGGAGUACACGAGAGUCCUAUAGUAAUUAUGCUAUGUCUGUUAUUAGUAGUACAAACAAAGUGUCCUGCGCAGUGCACAGACUAGAAUUUUUUCAAAGUUAAGUUACAUCGAAAAUUCCUUGACCUUUUAUUAUGAGAACAUACAACCUCCGUAUCAAAAUAAGUGUAGCGAAUUUUGUACUCCCUCCGUCCGAAAAUACUUGUCCUAGAGAUGAAUGUAUCUAGACUUAUUUUAGUUAUAGAUACAUUCAUUAUAUUCAUUUUUAGGACAAGUAUUUCCGGACGGAGGGAGUAUUAUUUUGUGUAGGGGAAAAUAAAUGACGUCACAUUUAUGAAUAUUUGAAUUUAAGUCUAAGCUUGUGUUAGUCUAGGCUGAGGUAUAGUUCAUGUAGAUUUAAGUCUAACCGCAUCGUUGGCUUUGUAUAUAAUAUAAAUUCACAUGAGGCUGUCAUUUUUGCAGCGACGAGAAUGCUUCUCAAUUGUAGCGACCCCUUGGAAGCUGAAAUGGCGGCCAUGGAUGAAAGGCUACGUACGGCUUGCACUCCACUGCUUGGAAUUGCCGCUAAUUGAGGACACGGACUGCCACCACCAUACAUUGCUAGCUUAACCACGCACACAGCCAUUCAUCCGUGAUCCAUCCAUCAUGGAUGAUCCGUGCUACCCUCUUCCGUGGCUUUGUUCGGUGAUGCGGAGAGGAAAAUGAGAGGCUUUCGUUCUACGAGGGUACGUACUAAGAGCAUAACAUAGGAGGGACCUCCAUGACUGCCCAUGCUGACAGUGCAAGAGAAUCCGAUCGGUUUCGGUCCGCUGAAUUAUUUGUGGGGCCUUAUUCUCACUUCAAGGAAUCCACAUUCCUGUUUUUGAUUUGCCAAAUGUAGUCCAUAUGCAUGUUUAAGCUAGAUAUAGCGAGGAGCACAUAAAAAUUGCACUAAACCCAAAAGAACAAUGUUUGUAUGGGGUAAGCGUGGUCCAGAAAUCACGAUUAGGAGGGCGAGUAAUCACGAUUAUAGGUGGAGGUGGUUAUGCAAUAGGAUCAACUAAGUGGAUUAUUUUCCUUUUCAAUUCCGUGACCAGCUUCAUUAUCAAAUCGUAGCUACUCCGUCUUCCCAAUUAAUCAUCAAUCGGGCAACUAGUCGGCCGGCUGACGACCUCUAGGAUACAAAUCUCGCUGACAUGUCAUCUAGUAAAGUGUAAGGAGGAGCAAAAGUGCAUGGAUGCGUGUACUGACCGAAUGGCGCACGUCAAGGCGGAGCGAAAAUUGGCGCCUCUCAUGGCCAGGGGUUGGGUUCGACAAAUUUUGGGCCGCUUGAAUUAGGUGGAGUGGAUAAAUCCGACCCCUAGGAUAAUAUUAUUGCCAUGUCGAUGUUGAUGGGUCGAUAAUACCGCAAGAAUUGUUAGAGCAAAUACAAUAGAGUUGAGUCAGUUGGCUAUAAAGAAUACAGUAGUAUAUAUAUUUUUCUUAGUUGAAGAAAAAAAAAGAGAAGAAAGAAGGUAUGCGGCCUCUUAGUUAAGAACUAGCUUUAGUACGUGCUCCUAAACAUUUUGUGAGAAUAAAUGGUGGACCAUAUAAUUAAAAAGUAGUAUACUCUUUUAACCAAAUAUUAUACAUGUUAGUUAUAAGAUGAACUAUAAGUGACAUGUCAAUGCCUUAACCAUGCUCUUAUGGUGUUAAGUUUAUGCAAAAGGACAUAUAUCGAUCAUAUAUGGGUAGCUAGGACAGUGACACACAUGGGCCUGCAUUUUCGAUGGUGCGGAUCUCUCUUCAUCCCUGGUUAUAUUUGUUCACCUAUCGAUUCACAUAUUUGUUUUGUUUUUUCUUUUUCAAAUGAAUGGGUCGUUUUGUGCAUGUUACACGUACCUAGCUAGUAUUCGUCCCACGCCAUUGCUUCUUGUCGUCCGCAUCAUGCACGAUCAAAUGCAUGUUCUUAGUCCUUGUCAGCAUCAUUUCGGACAUUCUGGAUCAUCGAGCUUGCAUCUCUGCAGUACAAAUUUCAACGAGCAGUGCUCUGCCGACACGUUGUGGCCCGGUGAUCCAUUGGUCGAGUGUCAUGAUAUGGCACCUGCCAGAUGGAGUCCUAACACGUGGAGUGAUCCACAGCCAGGAGUAGCUAGGUUCCAUUCAACUCGGAGAAAAUUGGACGAAAUGCUUAAACUGCCAUGCAUGCACCGCAUGAAUCGCGCAAAGGUCUCUAUCCUAAUUCCACUAGAGCUCUAUACAGUACGUGUUGAGCAUUAUUGUACGUGCGAUGAUGUAGACGCUGGAUCUGCCGGAGCUUCUCGGUUGGUUGGUUCCUCUAUAUAUCCAUCACCAUUACGAUCACCCUCCAAAAAAAGAUUUAAUUACCCAUGUUGCAUAGUUUCUUCUCACUGAUUAGUAGUAUGUGUUGAGCCUAACCUACUACCGAUUGCUACUUAUUGAUAGUAGUUAGCAUCAUGCAUGCAGAAGCAGCAGGAGUGCAGGACCAAUACAUGUUGCUUGCUGAACUAGCCACUGGCUCAGGUACAUCCUCUAGAAUCUCUUGCCGACAAUGGUGAGUCAGCACGUCGUGGCUCUUCAUUGCAGGAGUAUGGGUGUGGCGUGCAGCCAGUGUGUGCAAUGCAACGGUGGCAUUGUCAUGACCAAAACGGUCUCUGCCACUCGGCAUUGCUUAACCACACACACAUCCUCUCCAUCUUCUAUUGUUUGUCGUCGUCGUUGGUUUAGAGAUGCAGAAAAGGAGGCUUUCGUAUGCGGAAGAGUGUGUAACCACGGAAGGAGUAGAUUACGGCUAGCUGGCUGGCUGCUGGGACCGCCAUGAGACCAGGAGCAGCCCAUCGGUUUCGGCUCGCUGAAUUAUUUGCGGGCCCCUUUUUCUCUCAACAGAAUCUAUGGCUUUACACAUGGCUCCUUUUUGUUUUUUUGGAAAAGGAGGUUAAACUCCCGGCAUCUACAACAGUAUCUUUAUUAAUUAUUUCAUAAAUGUCUGACAAGAACAUACAACAAUUUAUUCGAAGUCGUCACUCAUACCUACAAACUCGAUAAUGUAGAGUGCUUUCACUCACCAUAUCUAAAAUCGGUGUCAUCGGCAAUCCAUCCACAUAACGUAUCGGAACCAUCAGCCGGUGCAACAAACCUAAAGUGCAAACCAAAUGCACAUUUUUUAGAGUUCGCCAUCAUCAUCAUACCAUUUAUCCAUCUUCAGGAGAGAGAUCCGCACUAUCUUUGUCAGGCCAGACAUCAGUUGACGUCACCACAGCGUCCAAUGGUUGCUACAUAGUGGAGACACUAAAUUAGCUGUUUGUUAACUCUGCCAAAUUGCACUGAUUUCAUGUCAAGAAAUUUUUCGCCUUACCUAAUUAAUCGGUGGGUAUAAGAGCAUCCCUGGUCCACACCCCCCCCCCCCCAUUAUUAAUCACCCAAUGAAUAAUUAUGAAAUAGAUCGAAAGUUUCUCACAUAAAAAAGAUGUUUUGUUGAUAAAUCCUUGGUAACUAACUUUGCAGAUGGACCAGAAAUGCUCUAACAAUGCUAGCUCACCAUAGUAGUAAGAAAAAAAAUCAAUGUGAAGAGAAGAGUUUAAGCCGACGUGGCCGGCCGCCCAAUCCAACUGGCCACAGAGCAACCGUGUCUCUUGCUAAUUAACAAGUAACCCAACACAAUCAUACAUGCAUGCAUGGAAGGAUCUGAACAUGUAGAAACCAACACGUAUCCAGCUCAGCCAACGAGCAGAAGUUUGGUUUCUGAGGAGAACAAUGAGUGAGUGCGACAGGCCGUGAUCAUAAUCGAGCUGGAUAACAUGGCCUGGAUGAUGGAUGAUGAUGAUUAGCACUGACACUCCGGGCCCGCCACGCCGCCGGCCGACGUGGCCGCGCCGGGUGCGCCGGUGAGGCAGUGGGGUGGCGGCUAUAAAUGGCAACCCGAUGGAAGGAGGAGCUCCUCGGCAAACACGCGCAGGCGCACACCUUCUUCUCGUUCUUGUCAAGAUUAGCAGAGGUGAUAAUCGAUCAGUCCUCCCACCAAUUCCUCUCCCCCUUCUUUGGAUUCUCCUCCGUCUUUUCCCAUGUCAAUGGAGGCCGGAGACCGCGGGGCGACGCCGGCGCCGGUGCCGUGGUCCUACGGUCGGCUGCCGGACGAUGACGAGGCCCAGGCUGGGCGCGCGCGCCCUGACCGGACCGGGCCGGUGUGCGCUGCAAUGCUCAUGACUUUAGCCGCCGUGCUCCUUGCUGUCGCCGCGCUCGCCGGGGUCAGGCUUGCCAGCGAGCUGCCGGCGUCGGGCAUCGUCAUGUCCGGCCACCCGGCCGAGGUUGACGCGGCGCCGUCGUGCACCAGCAGCCGGGGGCCUGAGUCCGGCGUCUCGGAGAAGACGUCCGGCGCCGGUGCACACGGCGGCAUGCUUGGUGCCGACGCUGGCGGCAAUGCGUUCCCGUGGAGCAAUGCCAUGCUCCAGUGGCAGCGCACGGGAUUCCACUUCCAGCCCGAGAAGAACUGGAUGAACGACCCCAACGGUACGCAUCUCGGAGUUUCCUCUUUUGUUGCAGUAACGAAAUUGAUGACAACUUUUCACUUUCCUCAAUCUUGUUAGAAACUACAUGAAAAACUCACUUCUUUGUUGCAAAAAUGCAAAUGCAGGUCCCGUGUACUACAAGGGAUGGUACCACCUCUUCUACCAGUACAACCCGGACGGCGCCAUCUGGGGCAACAAGAUCGCGUGGGGUCACGCCGCCUCCCGCGACCUGCUCCGGUGGCGCCACCUCCCCGUCGCAAUGUCCCCCGACCAAUGGUAUGACAUCAACGGCGUCUGGUCGGGCUCCGCCACCGUCCUCCCCGACGGCCGCAUCGUCAUGCUCUACACCGGCUCCACAAACGCGUCGGUCCAGGUCCAAUGCCUGGCCUUUCCGACCGACCCCUCCGACCCUUUGCUCAUCAACUGGACCAAGUAUGACAACAACCCGGUGAUGUACCCGCCACCGGGCGUCGGGGAGAAGGACUUCAGGGACCCGACCACUGCAUGGUUUGAUGGUUCCGACGACACAUGGCGGCUCGUUAUCGGCUCCAAGGAUGAUCGCCAUGCCGGCAUGGUGAUGGCUUACAAGACCAAGGAUUUCAUCGAUUAUGAGCUUGUCCCCGGGUUGCUUCACCGUGUACCGGGGACGGGCAUGUGGGAGUGCAUCGAUUUAUACCCGGUUGGCGGUGCAAGGGGCAUCGAUAUGACAGAGGCAGUGGCGGCCGCGUCCAUGAAUGCGGGCGACGGUGUUUUGCACGUGAUGAAGGAGAGCUCGGACGAUGACCGGCACGACUACUAUGCGUUGGGGCAAUACGACGCGGCAAAGAACAUGUGGACCCCACUGGACACCGACGCCGAUGUUGGUGUCGGGCUGAGGUAUGACUGGGGAAAGUUCUACGCGUCUAAGACGUUCUACGAUCCAGCAAAGAAGCGGCGGGUGCUAUGGGGGUGGGUCGGCGAGACCGACUCUGAGCGCGCCGACGUCGCCAAGGGAUGGGCGUCGCUCCAGGUACUUGACCCUUUCAACACGUUCUUGUUGUGCAAAUAUGGUUACAUCAAUUGGUACGGUUGAUUAACCUCCAGUAGUUGAUUCUUAAGAAAAAAAUUGUUGCUUUUGUGAGUAAUUUCAUUUGCAUGGUUAGGAGCGUUGCAAACACUUUUUGUUGGGUUCCAUAGACACGUCGGCAUAUGGCAAGGCCCGGUGGGCCAUGGCCAAAGCAUGCAAAUGAUAAUAGCAGCCACUUAGAAUAAAUCAUGGAUAGAUAACAUCAUCGCAUCUAAAGCAAUGUUUGCUGUCAUCUCGUUGUCAAGUGUCUGUUAGCUUCCUUGAGCUUGCAUACAGCUCAAGAUAGUAGCAGGCUGCUGUUGGGAUACCAAGUUUGGUAACCUGCUGGUGCAAGUUUGUUGAUAACAAUUUCUUUUAGCACGAACCAAACUGGGUUUAUAGUUUAUAUAAAAGAAGAAAAAGGUCAUGUCCCACAAACAAACUCGGCAUACCCAUUGAAUCAAUCAUGUGGUAGCAUGUGGUCUAGUGGCAGGAAAAUGUUGGGAACUUGGUACUAACAACAAACUAAAUACUAAAUAAUUUCUGUUAGUACCAACUAAACUAUGAUUAGACAAGGAAAAGGGUUGUCUUUGUCUGCUUACCCCACUGUUAGUUAGCAAUUCUUCCCGCUCAGACGGUGAAUGAUACCUAGGAUUAUUUUCUUUAUUGUCAAUGAUUGAUACCUAUGAUACUUUGUUGAGUAGUUAUCAAUUGUUAAUCAAUGUUGUAUAAUGUUAAUGUUACAGUCGAUCCCUCGGACGGUGGUGCUGGACACCAAGACGGGAAGCAACCUCCUGCAAUGGCCGGUGCGGGAGGUGGAGACGCUCCGGACCAACUCCACCGACCUCAGCCGGGUCACCAUCAACCACGGCUCCGUCUUCCCGCUCAGCCUUCACCGUGCCACUCAACUAGACAUCGAGGCCUCAUUCCACAUCGACCAGCUAGAUGUCGCCGCAGCCAACGAGGCCGACGUCGGCUACAAUUGUAGCACCAGUGGCGGGGCGGCGGGCCGAGGCGCUCUCGGACCCUUCGGCCUGCUCGUGCUCGCCGAUGCCAGGCACCACGGUGGUGAUGCGGAGCGGACCUCCGUCUAUUUCUAUGUAUCGAGGGGCCUCGAUGGAGGCAUGCGCACACACUUCUGCCAUGACGAGACGCAUUCGUCUCGUGCCAAUGACAUUGUCAAGAGGGUUGUUGGCAACACUGUGCCGGUGCUGAACGGUGAGGACCUGUCAGUGAGGGUGCUGGUGGACCACUCCAUCGUAGAGAGCUUUGCAAUGGGCGGGAGGUCCACGGUGACGUCACGGGUGUAUCCGACCGAGGCCAUCUAUGCCAACGCUGGGGUGUACCUCUUCAACAACGCCACCAGCGCCCGUGUCACUGUAACCAGCCUCGUCGCCCACGAGAUGGACUCCUCCUAUAACCAGGCCUACGUCGCCUCGAUGUAGAAUGAAAACAGAAAGAUCAUAUUUUUGAUAGCAUAUACAUAUAUGUGUAAUUUCCUUUCUGAUUUUCUCCUCACUCCCGCUAUCUUUGUUUCCCUUUUCAUUUUUAUUAUGUCUAUUCAUUGUCAAGGUCUUCCAAAAAGUUGUAGUUGAGCUAGUGGAAGAUGCCAUGAUAUGCAAAGCUAGAGCUGUAUAUGUACUACAUCAAUCAAAUCAAUUUUUACAGAAGUUUGUUUUCUUUGAAAAUUUCAGUUGGUUCCAUACUGUCUCACAGGCUACGUACAAUUGCAGAAGGACAGUGUCUAUGUAUACACACAAGCAUGAAACUGAAUUUAAUCAAUUGCUGAUGAACAACAGAACCAUGAUGUUGAAAGUGGCUGUUAAAUCUGAAAAAGCCCGAGCGCAAGUUCAGCCCUGUCGGUAUUGCUCUGCCCAUCCUUGAUGGCACCAUAGUUCUUCACUGACAUAUAUAGAUACAAUUGUUCCAGAAAUACGGAUUAACUGCAUUGAUGUCCCAAUGUGGCUUAUUUUUCCUUACAAAAUCUUAAGAGUAAAAUAAGAAUUGGUCAUGAAAAGUAAAAGUCACUCAUGUAUCAUGACAAUCCUUGUUAUGUAUAUCUCAACCGACAAAUAUGUACAUGACCCAGAAUUGAAGUCUCGUGUGAACAAUAAUAACAUGGUUUAUCAUACUGACAUUGGAAAUUGACAACAUAAUACACUAAUACUAGAACAUUCUAAAAACAAUAAAAUACUCCCUCUGUAAAAAACAAUAUCAGUGUUUGGAUCACUAAGAGUAGAUCACUAAAGUCUUAGAGAUCUAAACGCUUUUCGUUUUUUUGUUUUCUUUUUUUUUUCUAUUUUCUUUCCGUUUUUGAAUUCAUUUUUAUUUUUUCAUCAAAAGCUCAGAUAUUUAAAAAAUAUUCGCGUUUUUAUCUUUUCUUUCAUUUUUUCUAAAAUGUUUCAGUUUUCAAAAUUUCAAAAAAAUGUUCUCCUUUGAAGUUUUGUUCACAAAUUUGUUAAAAAAAUUGUUUCGGGAAUUUCAAAAAAUACUCGUGUUUCAAAACAUCUUUCAGUAAUUACAAAGUUUUGAUUAGAAGUUAAAAAAUGUUCGUGUUUUAAUAAAUGUCCAGUAAUCCUAAAAAAUGUUCUCAUUUUCAUGUUUUAUUAUGUUCCUGUUCUCAAAAUUUGUUCAGGAAUUUAAAAUAUGUUCCGAACAAGUUUUGACAUUUUUCAUAAGUUGUGAAAAAAACUGCAAUCAUUUUAAUUUUAGAACAUUUUUAUGAAAGAAGAACAUUUUUGAAAUUUUAAAAAUAUUUUCAAACAUGAACUUAGUUUAUAAAAUAACCUUAAAAAGAAAUAAAAAAAGAAUAAACAAUAGAAAGUAAAAAAAAAGUAAAGAAAGAAACAAAUAUAGAAAAUUAAAAAAUCAAUAAAAAAUCUUAAAACCGGUUCAAGAACCUCUUAGAAGGUUUUGAAAAUCGAUGGUAACCCAAAUUGGGCCGGCCCAAAUCUUCCCGGGGGUUGAGCGGAGCCUCCCCUAUUUGCCGUAAAAUGCGGCGAACAGGGUUUUCUCUAAUUGGUACGUAUGGUAAGUCACCGGUUGUCAGGAAUAAAGUUUGAUUGUGUGCAAUUGCAAGAUGCAGAGGCAAUAAAAGUGACAUUUUAUUUCAUCGUCUAAAAGCACAUGUACAUUGUGCUACCACCUUUAAGAAAAUGAAUUGCUACAACAUUUUUUUCUUUUUUACUGUGAAGCUGUGCUGGGAUGGCAAUGGGUACCCAUCACUCGUGUACCUUGUGGAUAAAAAUUCUAUUAAGGCAAGGGUAUGAGCCAAACAAAUACACGUGGGUACAUAAAUGGAAAAUUUUCAAUACCCAUCGGGUAUAGUGGGUAGGGUAUGGUUUAGUAUAACCCAUACCCGUGUACCCAUAUACCCGCAUAUAAUCUAGAAAUUAGGCAUUAAAUAUUAUUUAUCCAUAUAUUAGACGUAUUAUAAGUACAUAAAUCCCCCAACUAGCCAACAUCCAGAAUGUGUUGUUGUUUAUGAGUAUGUGUUUCAGUUAGGAAGUGUUGUUUAUAAAUUAUUAUUAUGAUUUGUAGUUUAUGACUAUGUUGUACUCAAGUUGACGUGUUUCAAACCUGAGAAAUUUUAUCCGCGGGUAUCCAUUUACCCUCACGGGUGACGAGUAUGGAAAAAAAUUAUACCCAUCAACGGAUAUGUGUAUGGAUGAUGGGUACGGUUUUGGGUUGACGGGUAAGGGUAUGAGAUGGCUCCACCCAUAACCAAACCCGACGGAUGUCAUUCGUAGCUAUGUAGGCAUGGUCAUAGGAGGACUACUACUCAUGGACUACGAGGCUGGUGGCUGUGUCCCGGACGCCUGUGGCAUUCUUGAAGAGGUAUAUCCUUGCACUGGCAUAGAUAACCUCGGUCGCGUACACCCUUGAUCUCGCCGUCCACCUCUUACCCAUCGUGAAGCUUCCAAUGAUGGAGUAGUCCACUAGAACUCUAAUGGAUAGUUCCUCGCCGUGGAUCACUGGUACAACAUUCUGGUCGACCCCCUUGACGAUGUCGUUGGCAUGGGAUGAGCACGUCUCAUCCUGGCAGAAGUGUGAGCAAGUCAUCGUCGAUGCCUUUAGCCGAUAAAAGUAGACGGCGAUACAAUCUGCGUCACCCCGGCCCGCCGCCACCACUUGCGUUGCAUUUGUUGCUGACAACAACAUCCUUAGCAGUGGAGACAUAUAGCGGAUCAAGGCAGAAGGAGGCCCCAAUGUCAAGUUGUGUGGCAUGGUCAGGCCCGGCCCUGAGGGGGGGGGGGGGGGAGGGGCGGCCGUCCCGGGCCCCCGGAACCUGAGGGGGCCCCAACUCAGGUACGUGUGAGCACCCAACCCCCAAUCUGCCGAAGAUGCCAUUAGAGCAGUUAGAGAGUAGCUGCGGUAUGGCUCGAGGAAGAAGAAAGCUGAAACGGUGUUUCUUUUAGCUACUUGGGCUUUGGGCCUUUGUUUCCUUUUGUUAAAUUGUGGGGUUAAGUGGUGGUGGGCUUUCCCUGAAAAAAGUAAUGGUGGGUUAUGUGUAAGAAAAAGUAAUGGCAGGCCACACCAAGCUAGAGGAGGGAGACGAGCACAUUUGUACAAAACUUAUAAAUUAAAAGAAAGAAGAAGCUUGGUGAUUAAUUGACAUGCUUGCGUGUUGCCUGGCAUUACAACCCUGACAAACUAAUAUGUCUUUCUUUUUAUUGUAAAAUAAAUCUAUUUUUUUAUUUUACAAGCAUAGCAAACUAAUAUUGUAUCUCGAUAAGAAAAAUAAACAUAUCAAAUUUAGUAUAUGUGUGGUGUCCAUAAAGAAAAAUAUCGUAGCGGAGAGCCAAGAGCAGCACACACGAUGACGACAGACUGACGACAUGGAUGUGCACUAUGGUCAUUCUGUAUUAUGAAUUGAGAGUUGACUGUUCUACUUUGGUGUUAAUAUUCAUAAGUGUGAUUCUAAUUGUUAUUUUGCUUCUAUAAGUUUCGUAUAUAGGAAAAAGUUUUUUCACCCAUUCAGUUUCUUCAUACAUAAAAUUUAGUGUGUGCUCUGUCACCAUGUUUCCACGUAAUUUGGGUGCAAAUGGAUAAAUGUAAUUUUGAUGAUCUCUAGUGCCUCGUUGUGGCGACAAACUCUUGAUAUCAUGUUGGUCCCGGUCAAAAAUGACCCAUCACCGCCCUCAACGAGUCCUAUCAAGAUGCAGCUACAUCAUGCACAUUAGCCCCCGCAUCGACAUGAUCUCAUAGAAGAUAUGCAUCUGAUUCUCUUUUCAUAGAUAUCAUUGAUAAAGAUCUUGUGUGCAAAAUUACUAGAAUCUUUUUGGGAAGCUUCUUUUCUAUCUCCCGGGCCCCCGAAAUCAUAGGACCGGCCCUGGGCAUGGUGUAGGUUGAGAGGGAAGACGAAGCAGUGGUCGUUGGUGACGCUACCGAGCUCGGUAGAGUUGGUCCGGAGGGUCUCCAUCUUCUCCACGGGAUACUAAAGGAGAUUGGUCCCCGUCUUGUAUCCAGCACCACAGUUCAAGGGAUCGGCUGUGACAGUAACAAAAUGGUAAGGGCCACGUUCGUGGACAGGUCGAAAUUACAAGUACUCGUUGAAGAAAUCAAGAAGAUGGUCAUGGAUGACCUUAGGGAGAUUUUUAUUACUGCUAAUAGUCGUUCGAAAAAUAGAGUUAGUCAUGAGCUCGCUGCAUAUGUUAGAAAUAUCCCCGUACUGCUGUUUGGCUGGGUUCAGGCUUAACCAAUAUUCUUGUAAUGGUAUGGCGAUUUGCCUCCUUGAGGUAAUAGAAAUCUUCCUCUUUCCCGCAAAAAAAGAAAAGGAUUAAUAGUACAAAUUAGUUGGAUUGUGUUUUGCAUUGAGUUUGUUGGUAGUACAAAUUGCUAAUCUUUGCAUGCCACUAGACCACAUGGUAACACAUGAUCCAACCGUGGGUACGUAUGUAGAGUUUGUUUGCAGGACACAAACAACUAUAUAUACUAAUUUUGAAAGGGAAAAGAUAACGCCCACACAUGUGAACGUUUGCAAGCCGUCUAUAUGCAUGAAUCUUCGUUCGUUUGGGUUACACUAAUUUUGGCAAAUUUUAUAUGUCAUGUAUGACCGGGUCGGUGUGUGAACGUUCAUCCUCUUCGCCCGCAUGCUCACUGUCUCUUGGAUUGCUUGCAGUGCCAGGCCUGCAUGUGGAGGGUCGACUGUUGCGCCCGCACGCCGCGCGCUCCCCCUCCACUACUGCAUGGCAACUACAUGUGCAUAGUUGUUGUUCAAUCUGCAUGACAACUAUCAUGGAAAUUGACGGUAACUGCCAGCAAAGUGGGAUGGCAAGUGCUCUUCAUUUCAUCUUCUCUGGCUGCUCGUCUGCAUGGCAACUACCGAACGUGGAGGACAGCGUGGUGGGAAGCUAGGGUCGUGCGGGCGACCGACCCAGCCACUCGGAUAGCAACUGCCAGCAAGGUGGGAUGGCAACUGCUUUUCAUUCCAUCUCUUCCGGCUGUUCGUUUGCAUGGCAACAACUUUCGCUGCAUGGCAACUACCGAACGUGAAGGACAGUGCGGUGGCAUGCCAGGGUUGUGCGGAUGACCGGCCCAUCCACCGAUCGUGCGGGCUGCGGGUUGAGACGCCCGAACGUGGGCGUGCGGAUUGACCUGGGUGGAUGCCACACAGGACGUGCGGCAAGUACCUUUCAACAUACUCCCUCCGUUCCUAAAUAAAAGCCUUUUUAGAUGUUUCAUUACGAAACUAUAUACGGAUGUAUAUAGACACACUUUAAAACUCUAGUAAAAUCUUUAAAAAUAUAUAUAUUUAGAGACGGAGGAAGUACACGGAGUGUGCAUGCAUCAGGGCAAGAACCGGUGGCAUGGGCCAGAGGAAGGAAGCAUCAUCCUGGUGCCAUGUCAGCAACAGUUGGAAGAGACAGAUAGUUGUCGCGGGCGGCAAAUAAUUCCUGCCGUCAAGUGGGGGUGGGUGGUCAGGGAGACAGGUAGAGGUAGGUGAAGAUCCAGAAUCUUAUCAUAAUCAUCCACCGUGGCCUCACUGAUUCGCAGUGCCCAUCUUGCUAGCUAGCUAGGCACACCACAUGGCUACCAGCUCAAAGCUUGCAGUCCAAUCUUCCUCUCUCUAUCCAUCAAAUGUUCUCCCUGGGAUUGAGGUCGGCAUCAUAGACACUUGUCUUGUCUAUGACUGUUGCCCCAAUAAUUUCUUUAUUUAUCAAAUAAUCCCCAUUAGUUUGUCUAUGCAAGAGUGGUGUAGAUUCUCUGCGAUAAUUGUUCGCCAAUAAUACACUAUUCUAAACUAAGUAACUGACAGAUAUGUAUGUGGACUUGUGUCUUGUGCCCAGUCUCGGGCGCCAGCUCGCUGGCAAUGUAAUCAUCAGCACAUGCAUGGAGAAAAUGCACAUGCUUCCUCUGUUUCUAAACAUAAGUCUUUUUAAAAAAUUCUGUUACGGAUAACAUAUAAAGCAAAAAAGAAUGAAUCUACAUUGUAAGAUAUGGCUAUAUACAUCGAGAUGUCAGUUUGGUCCAGGCUAUCAGCCUUGCCGGUGCUGCGACACCACAUAUUGAUGCAACAUACUCUGUAACUGGACAUGGCACGAAAUGAAAAGGAAAAAAAUAAUAUAUACUUUCUGCGAGUUCGUGCAAAUUCUAGUAUCCGUUCAUCGAAUCAAAUUUUUGAGUUCUACUCACGCAUGUAUCUUUGUUCCCGUUAAACUGCUGGCUUUGCAAAAUGCUUCGGCGACAAACCUAGCUGUAGACACUACUUAGGUUUGCAUGCGAAAAAGUUUUUUAGAUUUAUUUUCCAGGGAACUGUAUUUUCAGAUGAAAUCACAUGAACUUAGCAUCUACAGUAUCUAGUGUCCUGGGACAAUGAAAAAUAAACUAUCCAUCAACCAAACUAGCUAAUCUAUUGCGAAUACAUGUGAAUUCGAAAUGAUUUUUCUAGAAGAAUUAUCUAGCAUUGAGCACAACACUAUUAUUCCUUUAUAGAAGCAUCGAACACACAACUAAACAGAAAAUCAACCAGCAUAUACAUGUAUGCAUCAGGGCAACAAGAACCGGUAUGCAUGGCGACAGAGGAAGGAAACUGCUGCUUCUUCUUCUUCCUGAUGGCAUAACUGCUGCUUCUUCUUCUUCCUGGUGGCAUGUCAGCAACGGGAGAUGCGACAGAUCGAUGCCGCAGGGAGCUAAUAAUAAUUCCGGCCGUCAGGUGGGUGGUCAUGGGACCCAGAGAAGAUCCAGAAUCAUACCACCAUCCCUUGUGGCCUCACUGAUUGGCAGUCCACAUGGCAUUGCCAGCACAAAUCUUCAAUUCAACUCCAAUCUAUCCAGCAAAAUACUCCCUUCGUACCUAGUUCUUCACAACUAUAAUUAUUUACAUACAGAAGAAGUAGUUGGUACUGUUAUAUAUAUUAUGACGACGCGGAAGAUGGGUGCCGGCAGCAAUCAUGAUUGACACUCGUCGUAGGUGUACGGUGUACCUCCAAUAACUCAAAUUUGUUUAUGCAGAAGAUGUUUACCUAGAUUAUGUGCCAUGAUUGCUCACCCGUAAUGUACUAUUCUAAACUAGUUAUCUGGCGGGUAUGUCUGUGGUCUUGUUGUGCCCUGUCUCGAGUGCAAGCAAAGCAAGCAGGCAAAGCUAGCUAGAAAUCAUGUGCAGAUCAUAGCAGAAAAGAACAAGAAUACGCACAUGCACUGAAAUCUAAUAAAUCAGCCACCGCUGAAGAAGCCGGUGACGCGGAGGAAUCAGCCACCUGCUCUCUACUAUGUUUCUCAUUUUCUUUUUUGAACCCUAGUUCUGUGAUGGAUCAUGGAUGAUGCAUUCCUGGUUCCAAUUUAAAUUGUACCUGGUGAUCUUCAAAAAUAGGAAAAAUCUCCCAAGCCUAGACUCCAACUGGUGGAUCUGGAUCCUGAAAACACCAUUGGUUGAUGCAAAAACAUAAAAAACUGUAACUGAACAUGGCAUUUUGGAUUAGAAAGACAUAAGCUCUUGCUAAUUAGAAGUUGCGGACGGACCAAGUCCUCCUAUUCCAUGCGUUGUAUGCGGAAUAUUGUUUAGGGGAAAAUAUCGAGCUUUAUUAAUCUGAUUUUGCUACAAAUCAGAUCUCAUAUUUAUAAGCAUGACAAAUUUAACAUCUAGGAUUUGAAGUUAUGUUGUCGCGAGCAUGACAAUUUCUUUCAGCAAUCAUGGCAAAUCCUUGCUAGGGUUAGCUUUUUGUCAUGAUUUUUCAUUCUUGAUGAAGGGAAUUGUCUUGCUUGCCACAAUAUACUUGCCAUUUCAAACAUGAGAUUUAUUGCAAAGAGAGCCUUGGCUCAGUGGUUGGGCAUGCGCUUGGUAUUCAUACUAAUCUGGCUGUAUGCAUCCCUAGUUGGUGCAGAGGCCGGGAAGUGAAAUUCUCCCUAUUUUACAUGUGAUAGGGCACCGUUGGGAUGACUGGCUCCACUUGGUGAGGAGACUCAUGGAUGUCCAAUUAUCACAUGAAUCGGAUAGGGUACAUUGGAAGCUCACGAAUAACGGAGUUUAUUUGGUAAAACCAAUGUAUCUUGAUCUUAUAGACACUACCAUCAUCCCCAAAUCUAUUAAUAUUUGGAAAGUCAAAGUUCCCUUAAGGAUCAAAGUCUUCAUGUGGUUUGUACACAAGAGGGUGAUCCUCACUAAGGAUAAUUUGGCUAAACGAAAUUGGGAGGGGGGGGGGGGCGGUAGCACUAAAUGUAGCUUCUGUGAUAAUAAUGAGAAUAUUACACACCUCUUUCUCCUAUGUCCACUUGCCAGACUUAUGUGGCACACAAUUCAUAUAGCCUUUAACAUAAGGCCUCCAGAUAGCAUCGACACGUUAUUUGGAACGUGGUUUCAUGGAGUUGACAAGACGAUUGCAAAACAAAUUCGUAUAGGAGUUUGUGCACUUCUUUGGGCUAUAUGGAAUUGCAGGACUGAUGUGGUUUUUAACAGAUGUAUCAAUAUACAAUUUCUACAGGUACUUCACAGAGCGGCGGCCUUGAUCCGUACGUGGUCAUUACUCACCCCUGCGGACACCAGGGAGCCUUUGGUUACUGGGUCUAUCCGAUGGGAGAUGGUAUCGCGGGAUAUCUUCAACCGGUUUGGAUGACAGUCCAGUAAUAGGAUAGAUGGAUAGGCAUCUAGCUCUAUUUUGGCCGGUUGUGGCUCUUUUUCCUUUUUAUCUCAGAUUUAUUGUACUAUCGGAGACUAUAUGAACCGUUUCUUUUUUGCAAUAAAGGGGCCGUAUGCAUCGUGCUGAUGCAGAGGCUGGAGGUAACCCUCUUUUUCUAAAAAAAAAUAUGACGUGGGAUUUGACAAGGCCUUGUCAACCUUGUCGACGGCUCAUCUGACAUUGUGGGCAUUUUGCUACACCUUGUAGGACGGAAGAUGCCGAGAGCCCAUUGUCCUUCACCUAGCGUUCGCCAUGUAUAAAAGGUUUAUUAAGAAUCUCUUCAAUAGUCGUGUUAAUCAUGUCCACCUUGAUAACCUAUAUGCAUAUGGGAAGGUACAUCGGUUCAAAAUUGUAAACUAGCUAUACUCGUUUUUUUUCCGGGAGAAACUAGCUAUACUCCAUAUUAAUAAAUAAUACAAACAAAUUUCUAAACUAGCGAUACUCCAUAUUAAUGAAUAAUACACACAGUACACCACUAGUGGAUGUACACGCAAAUUCUCAUGCAUCACCAAUCAAGCUUUUUCUUAACUUGGCUAGUUGAGCAUGCAUAUAUAGUAUUAUGUAAAAACGAUACACAUACACGAUGAGAAUUAGAUAAUGGAAGUUUAGCUUAUGCACAAAAUUAUAGCAAUUGAAGUAUAUAAAAGAUAACAAUGGUUAUUGGUAAGUAGAAAAAUACCGCAGCUGGGAUGAUUAACUGGUCGGAUCCAUCCCAGUGCGAGAGAGAGGAAGAGGGUAAUCUUACUAACUAGCAAAAGGACCCGUGCGUUGCAACGGAAAAAAAAUAUUACACACUCUUAAUUUACAAAAAGUGAUCUACAAUUUCAGUAUUUGUAGCUACGACCCAAACAAAGUUGAUAUUAGCCUACAAAAACGUAGUUCAAGAUUCCAUAGGUCUUUUAUUUAAAUAGGGCUUGCAUGUAUAUUUAAUAUGUAUAAAGAAACGGUCAAGUGAUCUUCAAUUUCGUCUCUAAUCCAGAUUUUGCUGACAUGUUGAUCCAUAAUCCAAAUGAGUACCGGUUUGAAAACAAACGGAUAAUGCAUUAUUGAUUAAGAUUGCAUCCUAUAUAACAUUUUUAAAAUUAUUAACAUGUUAUAUUUGAUGUUACGGUUUAGAAGAUAUGAGUAUUUAAAAAAUUAUUUAAUACUAGUUGUCAACCCGUGCAGUUCUAUUAUAAAUAUAGAUAUCAUAGAAACCUAAAGAUAGAUUUUUGAUAUAUCCUAAACUGCACAAAUGCAAAUUAUCAUAGCAGCCUAAAAGUAAAUGACAUGUACUAAUUAUUUGACCUGGUAUUAAAUAUAUAAUGCAUAUUAUAUUUGACAAAAGUUCAAUGAGUGGGAAACAUAUAUCUAGUGCAUCCAUGUUUCGAGAAAACAAUCGCCGUUUUAUGGCAGUAAUUAGACAAACAACAUAUAGACAUCUUGUGCAUGAGUGAAUGGCUAACAAACCUGUAUGUAUGUUGUAAAUAGGAAAGGAGUGGCCAUAAAUAUAUUGAUAAAUCAUCUCAAUUUGUAAUUGCUCAUCCAUUAGUAUUAUAUUUUGAUUAGCUCUUCAAGCGCCGACUGGUCAAGUCUAUUUUACGUGAUGUAGGGUAAAGUUGUUGCUCUCGAUAGUGAAUGCUAGUUUUCACUAUUUAGUGAAUGGGGCAACAUUGGGCAUAAUACCCAUUUCUUACAUCAUGUAGUACAUAUACCACUGGAUUCGCACAAUAGGUACAUACCUAUGUUUAAUUAGUAUCCCGUCUCUCUUCACGUAGGAUACUGGUCCAAGCAAAAGUAAUACUCCCUCCAAUUGAAUUAUAGAAGUAGUACUAAGUGUGUGUCAAUUAAUUUGAAUCAGAGGGAGUAUAUAUAAUAUAAUAGUAAUUAAUGUAGUGUUGAUAAGUACAAUCUAAAAGUUAUGAUAAACAUAUUUUCUACCGAGGAAUAAGUUAUCUAGCAUAGUUUUUAAGUAUAUAAUUUUCAAUUGUAAGAGAAGAAAUUAGUCCUUGUGAAAUGGUUUUUAAGAAAUAGGGAGAGUAAUAGGGAAAUAUCUAGGAAACUUCAGAACAACAAAUUCGUUAAAUGGAGUGCAUAAUAUCCAUAGGAAAAUAUGGUUAGAACACUACAACUAUCAAAGCCUAUGUAAUUUUUUUAUCUUCCGCUCUGCCGCGUAGAUCUUCUGUGUGUUCUUGUAAAAAAAAACUAUGUGACUUGAAGACAUGAUGACUUCUUUAAAACAACUUAUAUAUCCUAUGAAAAAUGACAACAAUGAAAGCUAAAUUAAAACUAUUUAAGGGAUGAUUUUCGAUCAGACCACUAUAAGUAGCAAUACUACUAUAUGAUUUUUGCAAUUUAGUAUGUCGAGAACUGGAUUACCCAAUACAUUCAUUGUGACACCUCAUUCUUCUUUAGCAAUUCAGGUCGAAGGGACUUUGCAAUUUAGACUUUUGGUUCACACAACUGAGGUAUCAACGUGGUUGGAAUAAAUCACUUAAAUAAGUCAAAUAAUAAGUUUGUUACAUAGAGCAAGUGAGAGACAAAUAGCUAUCAUACGGUGUAUGCUCUUUUCGGUUUGGAUCGUUAUCCUUGUAAACCUGGAACCACCAUGUAUCUGGUCCUCUGUUCAAGAAACAGACAAUUAAAUUGCAGGCAAAAAUAAAGAAAACUAUAGUAUGUACUCAUUGAUUAGAUGGCAUAUGCAGUUGUAAGCUUAUAAUGAAGUGAACGUGGGAACUUAUACAUCAUAUUAAAGCUUUAUAAACUAAUAAUUUUGAUGUAACGAAAAUUAAGUGAUGUACUUACACUAAAUUGGUGGGUACACUAAGCGUCGUACAGCUUAAAUAACUCUCUUAUCGAUUGCAGUUGCAAGGAUGCAUGAAUGCUGUGUAAGCAUAUGCUUGCAUGUACGUCAUCCGUAUAAGUGAUAUAAAUGAUGGGUAUGUCCAAACAUGUUCUUUAAGCAUGGUGAUUGAAAAAGGCACGAAGCUGGUUAAAAACAUUGAGUUCACAUAGGAGAGAUAGUAUGCAUUACAUAGCUUGCAUCUUCUCUUGUGCAGAAAGUCUUGCCGCUAUAGCAAACCGCAUAUCGCACUCAACCAUUGGCCUAUCCAGGCUCCCGGUUCUCUCUCUACUUGUUGGUACUGAUGAUCCUUUGUAAAGAGCCUCUUUCUGCUAGUUCUUACUACUUAGCGUAAGGAGCCUCUUUUUUACUGUUGAUCCCAGGUAUCCAAAUGAUGUGCAAAUUGAAUGAUGAUCCUAGAUACCCAACGCUCUAGCCCAUGUUCUUCAUCCUUUAUUGAUGAUCCUAGAGGGUCAACUGAUCCAGAUAUCCGUUGAUGUGCAAAUCGACUUACACGGUUCUGAACCCAGAGGGUCAACUGAUCCCAGAUAUCCGUUGAUGUGCAAAUUGACUUACACGGUUCUGAAUCCAAAGGGUCAACUGAUCCCAGCAUCUGAUACAUGGUAUGUGCUUGCCAUGAAUUCACAAUGCCCACGAUGCGGGCAGUACGUGAUAUAAACCGUGAACCCUAGCCAUGCUCGGGUUGCCACAAAUUCAUCGAAGCGGACCACGCCUGCAGUAGAUGAUGUAAAUCCUGGACCCUACUACAAAGAAAACAGAUAUCAUACAAAGUCGGAUGAGAGUUCCGGUUGCCAUGAAUUCGUUGAAGCGGACGAUGCCGGCAGUAAAUGAUGUAAAUCAUGGACCCUACUACAAAGGAAACAGAUAUCAUACAAAGUCGGAUGAGAGAAAACAUUAAAAUUUUCUGCUUUAGAAAAAUACAAACUGAAAUAGAAAACUAUGUUUUUUAGAGAUUUACUAAUAUUGCAAUUGGAUGCGGUGGUUGCCGGAUGGACCUGCAGCCCAGAUGAAGACACACGCAGUUGAAAAGGAUGAAGAACAAGGGCUGGAGCACUGGGUAACGUCGCUAUGUGAAAAGAAAAGACUAUGUACGUGAUGGAAAGGCUACAAUCUUGUGAUAAUAAAUUCCAGAUUUUCCCUAGCACCCAUCGGACAGUUGUAUGGAGUAGUUGUCAAAACUCGUUGGAUAUUUUUUCUUUUUGACAGCUUGGAGUGCAUUGGUAGAAUAGAUCUGUAGAGAGGACGUGGGACAUUGGGUGAGGACUCUUAAACCUCAACCAACGGUUGUAGAUAGUUAAUAUCAUGAUCAGAUGGACAACUUUUUUUUGCCAAGGAUUUCAUUGAUUGAUCUCCAUCGUUAUAAUUCGGCCCCACCAGAUAAACGGCUGGUAAUUUCUAAUUAACGUGGUAAUUUUUGGGGAGUCAAAAAUUAGUAUAAGUAUAGAUGUAUUACGGGUUUAAUAUCAGAAACAUCAAUGGGUUUUCCAUAAAAUAGCAUGACGGAAUAAGAAUUUUUUUUAGGGUUGUAAUAAUGCUCACACGUGUGGUGGGAGAAACAUCCGCCCAUACACCUAUAACACAUAUAUUGCGUCACGUUACCGCAUGCAUGCAUGUGAGGAUCUUUUUUUAUUCCAGUUUUUAAAAUGUUUUAUCUCUUCAAUGAAAAAUCCAAUUAAAGAUCCGUUUUCACCAUUAAAUCCAUCGCGUAGAGAUCUUCAAAACCAGAUCUCAUAUCAAUAUGUUUCGAUGACUUUUGUUGGGUUAAAAGUUGCCAUGUCUAUUGCACAUGAAUUACAAUGGUGUUUACACUAAUGUUGCUAUGCUUGUUUCAGGUAUUUUUUUCUUCUACAUUUAAAAGUAAUUUUCAUGAAGUACUAAGAAUUGCCAUGAUCCAUGCAUUAAAUUAGCAAUGGAUAAUUAAUAAAAAUUGCCAUGGUCAAUUAAAAAAAAUUACCAUAAAAAGUAGUUGAAAAUAUAACGGUAGCUUUAAAUCUAGAAGAAAAAAUAAAUAAAACAUGUCAUGGCAACUUUAAUGUAAACACUAUGGCAACUGCAGCGUAAACAACACAACUUUUGGCCAAUUUUUUUCAUCAAAACAUAUCAACAUAGGAUCUAGUUUUGAAGAUCUCGUCGAGAAGGAUUUAAUGGUGAAAACAAAUUUUAAAUUGGAUUUAUUAAUUAGGACAUAAAACAUUUUUAAGCCAAAAAUAGAAAAAGAUGGGUCCUGAUAACGCCCACACGUGUGGUGGGAGUAACAUCCGCCCACACGAUUAUAACACACAGAUUGCAGUCACGUUACCGCAUGCAUGCAUGUGGGAAUUUUUUUUGAAUUCUAGUUUUUAAAAUGUUUUAUCUUUUAAAUGAAAAAUUCGAUUGAAGAUCCGUUUUCACCAUUAAAUCCAUCACGACGAGAUCUCCGAAAGUAGAUCUCGUAUCAAUAUGUUUCGACGACUUUUUUGGAUUAAAAGCUGCCAUGUAUAUUAUACAUGAAUUGUCAUAGUGUUUACACUGAAUUUGUCAUGAUAUGUUUCAACUAUUUUUUCUUCUACCUUUAAAAGUAAAUUUUGACAUGGCCAUGAUGGAUCACUAAAAAUUGUCAUGAUCCAUGCAAUAAAUUUUCCGUGUUUAAUUACCAAAAGUUACCAUGGUCAAUAAAUAAAAAUUGCCUAAAAAGUAGUUGAAAUAUAACGGUAACUUUAAAUAUAGAAGAAAACAAAUAGAUAGAACAUGUCAUGGCAAUUUUAGUGUAAACACUAUGACAACCACUGUGUAAACAUCAUGACAACUUUUGGCCAAAUUUUUUUUCAUCGAAGCAUAUCAACAUAGAAUCUAGUUUUGAAGAUCUCGUCGAAACGGAUUUAAUAGUAAAAACAAAAUUUUAGUUGGAUUUUUUAAUUAGGAGAUAAAACAUUUUUAAGCCGAAAACCAAAAAUAUUUCUGCUGAUGUGAUCUGUUUUGACGUGGCAAAAUGGAUGAUAAUGAAGGCAUUUGGGUCAUGUUGCUUCGUGCCACACGCGUGGGCGUUGACUUUUUCAAAAAAGAUUUCUACUAAUGCCAUCUGUUUUAACGUGGUAAAAUGAAUGAUAAUGAAGGCGUGUGGGUGAAUUACAAACACCACACGUAUGGGCGUUAGUUUUUGGGUUUUUAUUAAUAGGUAUAGAUAAAAGAUAAAAUAAUAUCUUCUCUAAACGUGCCCCAUAAAUGGACACGAACCCAUUACCACCGCUUGAGUAGGCCCACUGAUUCAAUCUAACAGCAAGCGUUAAUCUUCUAUUAAACACAAUACAGAUGCAAGUGUUUAUAUACACGCGCAUAUACUCAUUCCUAUGAACGCACAAACGUACACCCUAUCUCCACUAGUGGAAAACGGGCCAUUGGCCGGGACCCUUUAGUCCCGGCCUGCCUCCGGGCCGGGACUAAAGGCCCGGCCACGUCGCCCCAAUUCUCAAUGCCUCCCUCGAGGCUUUAGUCCUGGCCCGUAAGGAGCCUUUAGUCCCGGUUCAUGUCCCAAACUGGGACUAAAGGGCUACGCGAUGGGCAGCCCGCAUGUGCGCCACCUUUAGUCCCAGUUUGUGUCUCAAACCGGGACUAAAGUCCUCUGCCUAUAUAUUGCACAACCCCCCUCUCCCCUCUUCCUUGCAUUUUUCUUGGAUGGAGGAUUGUGGGUGUGUGCUAGCUCUCCACUUUUUUUGAUGCACUAGAGGUGUUUGUUGAAAUGUGUGUUAGAGCGAUGCCGCUUCAGUUCACCGAACACAACUACGAUAUGAGAUGCCUGAGCCACGCUUAAACCUCUUCCUCUUUAUUUCUACUUAUUCAAAAAGGUUAGAAACUAUAUUUCCUCGUUUAGACCGUGCGGUACUAAUUUUUAGGAUCGUGAUUGUAUUUGAUAUACUGUCGUAUAACACAGAUGAGCCAUCCAUGGAUGUACGGUGAUCGACGCACAGCCGCUUACAGAGAAGGCGUGCAUUCUUUUUGAGAUGCAGCCGAUGCGAACAAGCAUGGUGGUGGCUAUAUGUUUUGUCCAUGUGUUGAAUGUCGGAAUGAGAAGGAUUACACUUCCUCAAGAGUCAUUCAGAGCCACCUGCUUCGGUCCGGUUUUAUGUCGGGCUAUAAUGUUUGGACCAAGCACGGAGAAAGAGAGGUUAUGAUGGAAUACGACGAUGAAGAAGAAGAGAACGAUGAUGACAACUACCGAUCUAUGUUCCCUGAGUAUGCUGUCGCAAUGGAAGACAAUGAAGAAGAAGAUCAGGAUGAAGAACGGGAACCAGAUGAGCCCGCUGAUGAUCUUGGCCGGGUCAUUUCUGAUGCACGGCGAGGUUGCGACACAGAAAAGGAGAGGUUGCAGUUCGAGCAGAUGUUACAGGACCACAACAAAUUGUUGUACCCAACUUGUGAAGAUGGCCAGAAGAAGCUGGGUAGCACAUUGGAAUUGCUGAAGUGGAAGGCAGAGACCGGUGUGACUGACUCGUCAUUCGAAAACUUGCUGGUACUUAUGAAGAAGAUGCUUCCAAGAAAGAAUGAAUUGCCCGCCAGCAUGUACGAAGCAAAGAAGCUUGUCUGCCCUCUAGGAUUAGACGUGCAGAAGAUACAUGCAUGCCCUAAUGACUGCAUCCUCUACCGCGGUGAGAAGUAGGAGAAUAUGGAUAAAUGCCCGGUAUGCACUGCAUUGCGGUAUAAGAUCAGAAAAGAUGACCCUGGUGAUAUUGAGGGCGAGCCACCCAGGAAGAGGGUUCCUGCCAAGGUGAUGUGGUAUGCUCCUAUAAUACCACGGUUGAAACGUCUGUUCAGAAAUAAAGAUCAUGCGAAGUUGUUGCGAUGGCACAUGGAAGAUCGUAUGAAAGACGAUAAGUUGAGGCACACCGCUGAUGGUCGGCAGUGGAGAAAAAUCGAGAGAGAGUUCCCGAGAUUUGUAGCUGAUGCAAGGAACUUAUGGUUAGGUCUGAGUACAGAUGGCAUGAAUCCUUUUGGGGAGCAGAGUUGCAGUCACAGCACCUGGCCAUUACUCUAUGUAUCUACAACCUUCCUCCUUGGUUGUGCAUGAAGCGGAAGUUCAUUAUGAUGCCAGUGCUUAUCCAAGGUCCAAAGCAACCCAGCAACGAUAUUGAUGUGUACCUAAAGCCAUUAGUUGAUGAACUUUUACAGUUGUGGGCCGAACCAGGUGUACGUGUGUGGGACGAGCACAAACAAGAGGAAUUUGACCUUCGAGCGUUGCUUUUCGUAACCAUCAAUGAUUGGCCUGCUCUUAGUAACAUUUCAGGACAGUCAAACAAGGGAUACAAUGCAUGCACGCACUGUUUGGAUCAGACAAAAAGUAUAUAUCUGGACAAAUGUAGGAAGAAUGUGUACCCGUACAAUCGUCGUUUUCUUCCACCCAAGCAUCCCUUAAAGAAAAAAGGCAAGCAUUUCAAUGGCAAGGCAGAACCCCGGGGGAAGCCUGUCAUCCGUACUGGUGCUGAAGUAUUUGAUAUGGUCAAAGAUUUAAAAGUAAUCUUUGGAAAGGGUCCUGGCAGCCAACCUGUUCCUAACGGCCCUGAUAAGCGCGUACCCAUGUGGAAGAAGAAAUCUAUAUUUUAGGAGCUACCCUACUGGGAAGUUCAUGAGGUCCGCUCGGCAAUCGACGUGAUGCAUCUGACGAAGAAUCUCUGCGUGAAUAUUCUAGGCUUCCUAGGCUUGUAUGGGAAGUCAAAAGAUACACCGGAAGCAUGGGAGGACCAGGAACGUCAUAAAGGAAGAUAUGGCAUGCAUCCAGGGCAGUUUCAAGGGCGUGCCAGCUACGCUCUUACUAAGGAAGAGAAGGAAAUCUUCUUUGAAGUCCUUUUCAGUAUCAAGGUCCCGACUGGCUUCUCGUCGAAUAUAAAGGGAAUCGUAAAUAUGAAAGACAAAAAAUUCCAAAACCUAAAGUCUCAUGACUGCCACGUGCUGAUGACGCAAUUGCUUCCGGUUGCAUUGAGGGGAAUUCUACCGGAAAAUGUUCGCCUGGCAGUUGUGAAGGUAUGUGCAUUCCUCAAUGCAAUUUCUCAGAAGGUAAUCGAUCGAGAAAGUCUAUGAGGAUUACAGAUUGAUGUGGUCCAAUGUCUGGUCAGCUUUGAGUUGUUAUUCCCGCCAUCCUUCUUCAAUAUAAUGACACACCUCCUAGUUCACCUAGUCGAAGAGAUUAGAAUUCUCGGUCCUGUGUUUCUACACAAUAUGUUCCCCUUCGAGAGGUUCAUGGGAGUCUUGAAGAAAUAUGUUCGUAACCGUGCUAGGCCAGAAGGAAGCAUCUCCAAGGGCUAUGGAACAGAGGAGGUCAUUGAGUUUUGUGUGGCUUUCUUCCUAACCUUAAGCCGAUUGGUGUUCCUGAAUCUCGGUAUGAGGGUAGGCUGACAGGAAAAGGCACACUAGGAAGGAAAGCAAAAGUAUGUAUGGACGGGCAUUCUUUCUCUCAAGCACACUACACAGUUCUACACAAUUCCACCAUGGUGGCUCCGUAUAUCGUGAGACACAAGAAUAUUCUACGCUCCGAAAACCCGGGGAAGGCUGACUCUUGGAUUAAAGGGGAACACGAGAAGACUUUCGGCAGUUGGUUGCAGACACAUCUCAUGAAUGACGACACCAUUGGAGAUGAGCUGUACUGUUUGGCCAGGCCACCAUCUUCGACUAUAUGUACUUUCCAAGGGUAUGAGAUAAAUGGGAAUACAUUUUACACGGUUGCCCAAGAUAAAAAGAGCACCAACCAAAAUAGUGGUGUCCGCUUUGAUGCAACAGACGAGAAUGGGUACUGUUUGGAAACAUAUUACGGGUACAUAGAGGAGAUAUGGGAACUUGACUAUGGACCUACUUUUAAGAUCCCUUUGUUUCGGUGCAAAUGGGUGAAGCUGACAGGAGGUGGGGUAGUUGUAGACCAAAAGUACGGCAUGACAACAGUGGAUCUCAACAAUCUUACGUACAUGGACGAACCAUUUGUCCUAGCCAAUGAUGUCGCUCGGGUUUUCUAUGUGAAGGACAUGUCUAUAAAAACGAGAAAAAGAAAUCAGCAAAAGAAGAUAUCGUCCGAUGAGCCAAAACGCCACAUAGUUCUUUCAGGGAAAAGAAACAUCGUGGGAGUAGAUGACAAGACAGACAUGUCAGAAGAUUAUAAUAAGUUUCGUGAAAUUCCGCCCUUCAAAGUGAAAACUGACCCAAGCAUCCUACUGAAUGAUGAAGAUUCUCCAUGGCUACGACCGAGAAGAAAACAGAAAUAAUAGAUAGGAAUAUUGGUGCAAUAAUGUAAUAAUGUAUUAAACCUUUUAUGUAAUGCAUGUAUGGAAUGUACUAAAUUUCAAACACUUUUCAUUUUCAUAGUUUUGUCAAAUUCUCAAAUACGCAAAAAGAAUUUUAAUAAACCUUUGUAAGAGAUGAGUUCUCGUUCGAAACCGUGAUACUUCGAGAGAGAUUGUCCGUUUUGUACACGAAGUGCAUCCAGUUUUUGUCGUAGCCCUCUCAACUUUUUAACACAUGCUAUGUGGGUGAAAUGAUGAUAGCAUGCCAACUUUUAACAUUUUCAGAGUUCAUUUGUAGUGCUUUUCAAUUUCAGGGUCAACUAGCUCAAAAAAAUAAGUAAAUGCACGAAAUAUACCAAAUGAAGUCAGAAAUUGUUGAAAUUUUGUGAUGUGCCUUUGAAUGGUGCAUUUUGAACACACAAAAAGUAUGGAGUUCAAAUAAGUUCAAAAGAAUGAAAUCCCUUUGUAAGAGAUGAGUUCUCGUUUGAAACCCUCAUACUUCGAGAGAGAUUGUCCGUUUUGUACACGAAGUGCACCCAUUUUUUGUCGUAGCCCUCUCAAUUUUUUAACACAUGCUACGUGGGUGAAAUGAUGAUAGCUUGCCAACUUUCAACAUUUUCAGAGUUCAUUUGUAGUGUUUUUCAAUUUUAGGGUCAACUAGCUCAAAAAAAAAGUAAAUGCACGAAAUAUACCAAAUGAUGUCAGAAAUUGUUGAAAUUUUAUGAUGUGCCUUUGAAUGGUGCAUUUUGAACACACAAAAAGUAUGGAGUUCAAAUAAGUUCAAAAAAAUGAAAUCCCUUUGUAAGAGAUGAGUUCUCGUUCGAAACCCUCAUACUUCGAGAGAGAUUAUCCGUUUUGUACACGAAGUGCAUCCAGUUUUUGUCGUAGCCCUCUCAACUUUUUAACACAUGCUAUGUGGGUGAAAUGAUGAUAGCAUGCCAACUUUCAACAUUUUCAGAGUUCAUUUGUAGUGCUUUUCAAUUUCAGGGUCAACUAGCUAAAAAAAUAAGUAAAUGCACAAAAUAUACCAAAUGAAGUCAGAAAUUGUUGAAAUUUUGUGAUGUGACUUUGAAUGGUGCAUUUUGAACACACAAAAAGUAUGGAGUUCAAAUAAGUUCAAAAAACCAUAUUAUGAAAUUAAAUAUUAUCAUUGACGAUUCAUCUCUAUUAUGAAAUUAAAUAUAUCAAAAAACCAUUGCAGAACAUAUGGCCAAAUUAAUACAAGUUCAUCAUCACAUUAAAGCCAAAGAACAGUAGUGAUCAAAUGUUAUUAUUGCAAAAAAUAAAUACAUAAAGUUCUCUCAUAAAACAACAUACAACUAUGUAAAACAUUUAAAUAAAACAAAAAAUGCGAUCAAAAUCGCAACUAAGAUAACAAUUGACCCAACAGCAUAAUGAUACCAAGCCUCUUUAUCAAUGACAUAUUUUCUAAUAUUCCUAAUCUUCAAGCGCAUUUCAUCCAUCUUCAACCGCAUCGCAUCGAUCUUCAUAUUGCGAUCAUCGAUGACAUCGGCGACAUGCAACUCCAGUUCCAUAUUCUUAUCCUCAAUUAUUUUCAAUUUUUUCUUCAAUUACUUGUUUUCUUUUUCAACCAAAUUUAACUUCCCGACAAGAAUUUCUAUGUGGGUUGGAAUUUCCGGUUCACAUACCUCCUAGAUUAAAAAAUAUAUGUCACCUUGGUCGUCAUAAUUGUCAUAAACACUAAAUAAAACAAAUAGUUAUAAAAGAUAAUAUAUACCACAUCCGAAUCAUAGACAGGACGAGGGCCGACGGAGGCGGAUACCAAAACCAUCGCACUAUAUAAUAACAAAAAAUAAUGGAAGUGAGUAAUUUAUACAACUAUGUAUCUAAAUCAUACAAGUAAGAUUUUUUCUUUUAAAAAUAAGAUAAGAACAAGAGCCUCACCACGGUGGUGCUCGCGACGAGAUCGGCGCGGGGCGAUCGACAAUGGUGAGGACGGGCACGGGACGACACCCUACGCAUGUGCAGACUCUAAGAAGUUAAUUUGAGCAUUUUAAAUGAGCUACACUAGCAGUGACAAAUGAAAGGAUGAAGUAGCUAACUUUUUAAAACACUUGUGCAGUUGGUGCACGGCCAAACGUAGACAAAUAUUAAGGAAAAUGGAGCUUGGAGAGGAGAAAGCUUAAGUAGAGUGGCUCGGGCAUUUCAUCGAACACGUCAUGUGCAUGAACUAGAGUGGCAAGAGCAUGGCAUGGUCACACUUCAACAACCAAAAAACAGGGGAGAUGGUGGGCAGGGGCGAGGGUUUAUAUAGGCAACACUUUAGUCCCGGCUUUUGUCUAAAACCGGGACUAAUAGCCUAACCUUUAGUCCCGGUUCUUGCCACAAACCGGGACUAAAGGCCCCUGCUUCCCGCCUUCUGGUCUGCCGAAAAAGGGCCUUUAGUCCCGGGUCGUGGCUCCACCCGGGACUUAAGGGGGUCUUCAGUCCCGGAUCAAGCCCCGAACCGGGACUAAAGAUCCACCUAUAUAAGCGGGAGUUAGAAAAUUUCCAACCCAAAUCGCAUUUCCUUCUCUCCUUCCUCGUUCUCCUGCCCGGUGCGGCACAGCGACGAACUCGACGACGCCGUCAGGCUGCCCGCCGUCCUGCUCGCCGCCGCCUGCCGUCCUCCUCGCCGUCGCCGUCGUCCUCCUCGCCGUCGCCGUCCUCCUCGCUGCGCGCCGCCCUCCUCGCCGCGCGUCGCCGCAUUCCUCGCCGCACGCCGCCGUCCUCCUCGCCGCGCGUCGUCGACACCUCCGGCCGGUAAGCCCCCCGCCCCCUCCUUCCCAACACUCCGGCCAGUAGAAGAAAAGAAGAAAAAGGAGAAGAAAGGAAGAAAAAGGAGAAGAAAGGAAGAAAAAGGAGAAGAAAGGAAGAAAAAGGAGAAGAAAUGAAGAAAAAGGGAAGGAGAAGAAAAGAAGAAAAAGGAGAAGAGAAGAAGAAAAAGGAGAAGAAAGGAAGAAAAAGGAGAAGAAAGGAAGAAAAAGGGAAGAAAAGAAGAAAAAGAUUUUUUUUGUCAUUUAAUUCCUAUUGUUAUUAGGUUUGUGCUAGAUUAUUAGGGUUAGUAAUAUGUAGAAUUAGGAAAAAGGAAAAUAAGAAGAGGAGGAGAAGAAAAGAAGAAAAAGGAGAAUAAGAAGAGGAGGAGAGGAGAAGAAGAGGAAAAAUAGAAGAAGAGGAGAAGUAGAAGAAGAGAAAAAAUUAGAAGACGAGGAGAGGAGAAGUAGAAGAAGAGAAGAGGAGAAGUAGUAGAAGAAGAGGAGAAGUAGAAGUAGAAGAAGUAGAAGAAGAGGAGAAAUAGAAGAAGAGGAAAAAUUAGUUUAGGGUUACAAGAAGAAGAAAUAUUUUUUUGUCAUUUAAUUUUGCUAUUGUAUAGUGUAUAUGCUUAAGUGUUAAUAGUGUUUCUUAGAUUAUUGCUUAAUUUUGCUAUUGUAUAUGCUUAAGUGUUCAUAGUUUAAUUUUGCUAUUGUAUAUGCUUAAGUGUUAAUAGUUUAUUUUUAGCAAGAAAAUUAAUAGAACUAGUUUAAUUUUGCUAUUGUAUAUGCUUAAGUGUCCGGGACUGGGCUCCGCCCGGCUGGUAUUUUAGAGUUUAGGUUCUAGCCAAGACCCGGGACUAAAGGUCCUCCUAUAUAAAACGACACUUCGAAGUUUCCAACCCCUCUUAUAUAGUUUGUUAGUUUAUUAGUUAAUCAAAUGUCUGUUUUUGCAGAACUAUGGAUCCACAUAUCAGGAACCUCGAAGAGGAAGAACUUCUCGAAGAUAUAAUCAAAGACGGCCCCAACGUUGAACCAGCUGAAUCUCCGUCGUCAUAUCUAAACCCCUCCGGAUAUGGAAUGGAGGUCGAGCGACACGAAGAUGAAGCUGAUGGGGCAGGAGAUAGGUCCAAUGAUGGACAGGGUGAUAGCUCCACUGAUGGAGAAGCCGGUGAAGAAAUAAUAAAGUCCGGCGAGGUAUACAUAUGAAGUUCGACAAUCACUUGUAAUAUGUGAAAAAUAUUGGAGAUAGCUCUAUAUUGUAUACAUAUACAUUCAUUUGAUGAAUGUUUCUCCCUCUUAGGCCUCCACAUCGAGCAAAGCUACGAAACGAGGCCCGACUAGAAAGUUGGAUGCACGGACGCAUUACACCUUUGAGGUGAUAUUGCCUACGGGCGAACCCAAGCUUCCUAAGAAUGCCGCUAACACAUUCAAGAAGCAAUGCGGAGUUCUCGUUAGGGAUCACGUCCCGAUCAGCGUUCGGGAGUGGAACAAGCACAAAGGGGCAGCCGAUAGUGACUAUGUCGCCGAAAGGUACAAAGAUAAUCUUUGGAAUGAUCUCAUGUCACAUUUCAACCUGCCAGAAUGUGAGAAUGAAAACACCGCAGACAAACUGAGGGCCAAAGUCAAGCAGUGGACUCUAAAGAAGAUGGCCGAACUGUUCUGUAGCUGGAAGAAGAAGCUAUGGAAAAACUAUCUGAAGACAAAGGAAGUGCCAGUAUUCGAGGGGUAUCUAGCCAAGCAGGCGAAUCACUGGAAGGCAUUUCAAGAGUACAAGGAGUCAGAAGAUGCCCAGGCAUUAUCAGAAAAGAACAAGAUAAAUGCCGACAAGAAGAAAUAUCACCACAAGCUGGGGCCAGGGGGCUAUGAGACUGCCAUCCUAAAGUGGGAUAAGAAAGAGCAAGAUCUGGUAGAUAAAGGCAACGUACCUGAACCACUCCGUGAUGAGUGGGAAUUGAGAGCAAGAAAUUGGUUCCUUGCGCAUGGUGGUUCGUACGACAAAAAAACAGGGGACCUCAUCUGCAGUGACGGCCUUAGGAUACCCAGGGAGCAUUGGAAAAGGAUAGUGAAAGAAAUUAAGGAGGGAAAAAGAAAUUCACUGCAGAUAGAGAGAACGAUUUGCUCACACUGGUCCUCGGCAAUGACGAACAUGGAGGACGAACGCGAGGCUUCGGUCCUUCUUACCCGUGGUGGCUUGGGUUUGCCAGAGACCAAGACACUUACAGAAGCCGAGAGUGAGCAAAGAAGAGGCAGCGGGAUGAGGAGAAUGACAAGUUCAACCAAUUGCUUGACAGGAUUAAUGAGCAAUAGAAGCAGAUUGAUGAGCUUAGAGGAGUAGCGCGCCAGGAAGAUCCUACACUUGAUAUUACCGGCGCCCCAUCUAAGCGGAAAAGCAGUGUGGUUGAAUCUGAGGCCCCGUCGGACGAUGCACGAAGAAUGAUAGAGGGCGGUCCCGGCUACCCCGUGGAUGGAAUCAAGGAGUCAACAUCAUGUGAAUUCCAUCAGAAAUUCAAGAACAUAUCCAUGAAGGUGGCCGUCGGACAAGCUUUACCUUCUGGCCCUGAUGCACGCUGGCCUGGCAGUGAGAUUCCAGCUGGCUUUGCUAAAGUCGGGGUGGAUGAAAUCAUGGCGGGGUUUCAUGAUAUGGAGCUCGACAUAGCUGGACCCGAAGAUGAGAGGACACUCGGAGAAGUACUGGGUGGAAUCAUCCUAUGGGACAAGAACUACAUCAAGCUUCCAGGCUCGGCCCCAAGGACAACACCGCCUCCGAGUCGUCGCAGGUCACCUACACCUCCUUUACCUCCAAGCCCUCCACAUGACGUCGGCCAGCACAACACGAGUCCAUCUCGAUCACCGCCGCCGGACUUGGGUCGUCCGUCUCCGCCACCGCCCGCUCCGGAUACUAAGCGGGAGCGUGCCACCAAGAACGCUCCACCGACUAUUUCUAAGCGACGGAGCACCCCAAAGCGCAAACGGUCGCCCCUCCCAAAGGUACCUCAUGCUAAUCUUCCUAUCAGACCUUAUGAUCGUACCCCCGAGGAAAACGCGAGGAUAGCAAAGGAACAUCAUGAUGCGCAGAUGAAAAAGAAGGAACCCGAGCCCCGCCUGGAAUACACCGAGAAGCAAAUAGUAUUUGCAAAAUACUUCACGACUCUUCCAUCACAGUAUGACUUACACCAUAAGCCUGAUGACUAUACACGCACAUUGCAGAAGGAAGUGAAAAAGAGCAGAUCACGUGCAAGUGCAAGUGGGAGCAAAUCAAGUUCAACUACAAGCAAGAAAAAAUCAGACGUUCCUCAGCUUGGACAACAAGCCAAACAGUCGAUCCCACCCCUCAAGGUGUUAACCGAGAAUGUUCCCCCUCUUGUGCAGGGGCAAGAUUUUGAAAUAGCAAAGAAGUGGGCGGCUGAAUGGGGUGUCUCGGUUGAAGAUGUUCUGGCUUCCCAAGACGACAGGUUACCCAAGGCUGUGGUAGCCCCUAAGCCACAGUUUGUCAUGAGAGAGCCUUUGGUCAGCAAAGAUGAUCUCCCAACAAAUAUGUGUUACUUGCAUACAUGGUACUUAAGUGAAUCAAAGAAUGGGAGAAUGAUGAUCGUGGUGAGUGUCCCGCGGGAGUACUACGACCGCCCGGAAGAAAUCCAUAUCGACUUUGAUGAACUCUUCCAGAUGUACAAUGGCGACGCCCUCGACAAAUCGCUUAUGAGUUGCUAUUGUCUGUAAGUUUUUCAAUUCGUUGUCUACGUAUAACUUGUUUAGUUAUUUCAAUUCAUUGUCUAUAUAUAACUUGUACUCUAUUAUGCAGAAUGAAGAUUCUGGAUUGUAAAAGUAAGAACAUCCUAAAUAUUGGGUUUAUUGACCCAGAUAAAAUACAUAUAGCGACGCUAACUGAUAAACCCAAGGAGACGGAGGAAAACCUCCUAAGGUUUCUAACAGAUCAAAAUUUCUGUGACCACAUACUGUUUCCAUACAACUUCAGGUGAGGGUCUUUACUCUGUUGUGUCCAUUCACUUAUAAGUGUAAUUGAUAAGUUACUGACACAUAUAUAUAUAUACAUACAUGUGCAGCUUUCAUUGGAUUCUGUUGAACAUUCAAAUUGAUAAGGGAAGAGUUGAUGCCUUCGACCCAUUAUCGAGACCCUUGGAACAGUUCCAAAGCCUGCAGGACAUGUUCCAAGGGUAAUUUCAAUCAUUCUUGCGCUCUACCGGUCUCUUUCGAUGAUUUUCUGAUAUAUCAAUUAAUGAAAAACUUAGCAAAUCAUUUUCCUUGUCGGGCAGGGUUUGGAAGCGGUUCAAGUGCGUGACUCCCGGUAUCGAGCCCGAGAAGCUGACCUUUAGAGCGGCUCAGGUAAGUAGUAGUAUGAUAUACUUCUAUUUUCAAUACAUUUAUGAUGCUAGAUUAUUAUUUUGAUUAUAUAUAUUCUAUUCUCGUAAAGUGCGACCAGCAGCCACGGGGGACGCAUCUAUGCGGAUACUAUGUUUGCGAGACCAUUCGCACGUUUACCUCUGAGCACAAGGAUCACAGAUACGACGUAAGCAAUGAACAUUCACACCUCUAUUUUUACCCGUCAUUCUUUGUUAUCAUGAUUGAUAUUCAUAUUCAUCUCCUCGUCUUAUAUAGUACACGGCCAUGAGGGAGAAGUCCCUACCAGAGCAACGCGCGAUUGCUGUUGCAGAGGAGCUUGCGACCUUUCUGAGGACGGAAGCUAUAGAUGACAAAGGACGAUUUAGUGUAGCUAGGGGUCAUUACUAAUGUUGGUCCAUGUAAUCGAAUAGACGGGCUCUAGUCCCGAUAAUUCAGAUCUCCAUAUAAUUAUAUAUAUAUGCUCGCUUGUAAGAUAACUUAAUCUUAUAUAUAUAUGCAUAAUUAUUUCUAUUUAGAAUUAUAUGAAAACUAAUUCCCGAACACCAAACGAGGCAUCACGUUAAUCUCCCGAACACCUAAACCUUAAAACCCUAAAACCCAAAAAUAAAUAAAAUCUGCAGAAACUCUUUAGUCCCGGUCCGUGUUAAGACCCGGGACUAAAGGGCCUGCCCCUGAGGACGCUCCGAGACGCCCACGUGGAGCACCUUUGGUCCCUGCUUGGAACAGGGCCGGGACUAAAGGUUAGGCCUUUAGUCUCGCCCCUUUAGUCCCGGUUGGUGAACCGGGACUAAAACCCCUUACGGGCCGGGGCUAUAGACCUUGUUCCCACUAGUGUAUGUCAGCAAAAAAAAAGGUGAGGUUAUCAUCGCAAAAAAAAUAAACAACGGUGAGGUUAGCUAGCCACGGCCUCCUUGGUGUAUAUGAUGUAGUCCUUCCGGUUCGGUCUUCGUCAGAUUCGUCGUAGCCUCCCAAUACAUAGCUAGCCUGACCCUGUUGCAUCAAAACCAUGCCAUUCUUGCGGCGCUCAUAUUGUGCCAGCCAUAACGUAGCAGCGGACUCCAUCAAUGCUUGAUGUAAAAGCUUCAACUUGUAUUGCACCAGCCGUAACCAAAAACAUGUCAAUUAAUCCAUCAUAGGUGUGGUUAAGUAGCCGCAUCGCGGGUAUUCAGAUCACGCGUUUGCCGGCGGGCCGCAAAUACUCGAAUACAUAUGUACGAGCUUUAUAUGCAUGCAUGUUUGCAUUGGGCUAAUUUUGAUUAGCUGGCCAUUAAUCCAUUAAUAAUUAAAUUGGGCUAGCAAUAGUUCCUGCAAUAUAAGCUCCAUGCACAUGCAAUAUAGAGGCGUACACGUAGGCAUUUCUUGCUUCAUGUGUACAACUAAAUAUUAUUGAUUGAAGCCACCACUUAGACAAACUUUUACCUCUAAAUUCCUCCUCAUUUUGCGUACAAUUCGUGUCGCAAAAAUCUCAUCAAACAUUUUUGAGAUAUGACAUAUGAUAUGUGAGUCAUGCUGAUGAGUAACUGUGCUUUAGUAAGAAUAUUGAUGUUAGGAUUUGUGAUUCCCUAUGCAAGUACGACAGUCAAUAGUUAUGCAAUCAAAUUUAUAUCCUACUUGUGAUGCAUUAUUCGGUGUUACUUAUGCUUAAUGCUUGGGUACGAGAUUUUUCUUUUCUUGGUUGGUCGCUUCUCAAUCUUUUUUGCUAGCCUUCAUUUUACACUAAGUAUGAUCACUAGUUGUGCAUCCAAAAUCCUUUAAACCAGUUUUAUCAUAUGAGUCCACUAUACCUACCUAUAUGCAGUAUUUCUAUGCCGUUCUUAGCAAAUUUGCAUGUGCCGUCUCUAAUUUUCAAAAUAAAUUUCUCUUUUGUGUGCUCAACUGCUCGCGAGGCGGUGAGGGGUGGCCAAUAUUUUUCAUGCUAGAUGUGUUAUUUUCACGUUGAGUGCUUAUUCACUUGUCAUUGCACGAGAGUACGACAAAAGGUAUUAGGGAUGUCCAGUCCCGAAAUAAAAAAAUACUUUUUGUUGUCAAAUAAUAAAUUCCUUGGAAAGUGUUGGUAUGGAGGGCAUCCGUGGAUACGGACAAGCCAUGGAAAGUGAAAGUAAUGGUGGAAAAAAAACUUUAUUUUCUGUUUGGAAACCGCCUAUGAUGUAUCUAGCAUGAAAAGUGUUGGGAGCUCUAAGUCGUUUUCGUUGGUGGGAAAAGUAUGCCUCUCAAAAUGUUUUUAUUUCUCAAUUUUCUCUUUGAGCUCUGGCACCUCAACAAAUCCCUACUUCCCUUUGCGAAGGGCCUUUCUUUUACUUAUGCAAUUUUUAUUUUGAAUUUGAGUCUUCAUCUUCUCUCAUAAAGCACCAACUAAGGGGCACUAUGAUCGUAUUUGAGCUUUGGGUGUAGCUAAUAUUCGAGUGUGUUUCAUGAAUGGAUCAAUGAUUGAGUAUAAUGGGCUAUGGAUAACUUGUUUUAGUGUUGAUAUUUUAAAAGACAUGGUUGCUUGUUGGUAUGCUUGCGUAUUAAAGUCUUCAUGUCAAAACUAGACUAUUGCUUUGAACCAUAUAAAAGUUCAAAUGUCCAUGCUAUAAAGAAAAGAAAUGUGAUGAACAUGUUAGGCACCAUUCCACAUUAAAAAUUCUGUUUUUAUCAUUUACCUACUCGAGGACGAGCAGAAAUUAAGCUUUGGGAUGCUGAUACGUCUUCAACGUAGCUAUAAUUUUUUAUUGUUCCAUGCUGUUAUAUUAUCAUUCUUGAAUGUUUUACAACCAUUUUAUAGUCAUUUUAUAUCAUUUUUUGGUACUAACCUAUUGACAUAGUGCUGAGUGUCAGUUGUUGUUUUCUGCAUGUUUUUACAUCACAGGAAAUCAAUACCAAACGGAGUCCAAACACAGCGAAAGUUUUCGUGAAUUUUUUUGGGUCAAAAGACAUCCAGUGGGCCAGGAACGCACCUGAGGGGAGCUCCGAUGGGAGCACAACCCACCAGGGCACGCCUGGGGGCCCAGGCGCCCCCCGGUUGGUUGUGCCCUCCUCAUUGGCCUCCCGCACCGCAUCUUUGCUCUAUAAAUACCCCAAUAUUCCAGAAACCCUAAGGAGGGGGACGAAAAUCAAUUCCAGCCGCCGAAGAGUACAAAAACACCAGAUCCAAUCUAGACACCAUCACGAAGGGGUUCAUCAUGUCCAUUGGUGCCUCUCCGAUAAUGCGUGAGUAGUUCUUUGUAGACCUACGGGUCCGUAGUUAUUAACUAGAUGACUUCCUCUCUCUUUCUUAAUUAUCAAUACAAUGGUCUUUUGAAGAUCCAUAUGAUGUGAGUCUUUUUUUAUUGUGUUUGCUGGGAUCCGAUGAAAUUUGAGUUUAUGAUCAGAUCUAUUUUUUUUUACUCGAAGCCCAUGCCCAUGCGUUAACGCGAUAUGGGCCCAAGUGCUACGCCCAGUCGAUAUGGGCCCAAGUGCUACGCCCAGUCCUGGCCAAACAUGCCAUGCUUUCUGGGCGGUCUAGAAGCAUGACGGACCGACACACGUUACGAGCCAGGCACGACAAAGACUAAUCGGGCCGUGUCCGCAGUUCGCCUCGAGCCGUGCCUGGGCCUGAAGGCUGGACACGCGAGCCAGCACGGCACGACCCAUUUAUAGUUUUUAUUUUUGUUUUUAAAUUACAUAUAUAUAAUAGCCUAAUAGACCAAAAUCAGUCUAAAACGAUCUCAAAACCAAAUGCCUAAUAAACAACGAGCUUAGCGUGCCGACGAAUCGGUCUGUAUAGGUUCAGUGUCGUGCUUGGGUCUAGAAGCUGCGCACGUGAAUCAAAACGGCACGACCGAGCUAAUGUUCGUGCCUGCACGGACCAUACCGUGCCGGCCCCGUUUGGCACCGGCUACGCCCAUCAUAACUCGCACGAUAUUGACCGCGAAGCGCUUCGCGAGUGAGGUGGCGUUUUUUCCCAGGGACUAGACUUUUUUUAGUCUCAGGGACUAAAGAAAAAAGUCUGUUCAAUAGAGUCUUUUUUUAAUUCCUUAAGGAAAAGUCCCUUAUGUUUCUUUAUCUAGGGACUAAAAGGGAAUUUUUAGUUAGUCUCUGGGCAAAGAAACACCACCUGAGCCCACCGGUUUGCCGGCUCCCGCUCGCUAUGAGCCGCCCGCUCUGCAACCACUACACGGCGCUCCUCUCCUCCUCUGCCGCCGCCGGCGACCGCGAUGGGGUCCGCGUCCCCGGCGCCGUCCACUGCCUCGUCCUCCGGACGCUCCCGCACCCGCCGCCCACCUACGUCCUCAACCACCUGCUCACCGGAUACGCCAGGUCCGGCCGCCUCCCCCUCGCGCGCCGCCUGUUCGACGCAAUGCCCGACCCCAACCUCUUCACCCGCAACGCGCUGCUCUCGGCGCUGGCCCACGCGCGCCUCCUCCCCGAAAUGGACCGGCUCUUCGCGUCCAUGCCCGAGCGCGACGCGGUGUCCUACAACGCGCUCAUCGCGGGCUUCUCCGGCGCCGGCGCCCCCGCACGGGCGGCCGAGGCGUACCGCGCGCUGCUCCGGGAGGAGGCGGUGCUGGACGGCGCCAGGGUCGGGCCCAGCCGCAUCACCAUGUCUGGCAUGGUCAUGGCCGCGUCGGCGCUCGGCGACCGCGCGCUCGGCCGCCAGGUGCACUGCCAGAUCCUGUGGCUCAGGUUCGGGGCGUACGCCUUCACCGGGAGCCCGCUGGUCGAUAUGUACGCCAAGAUGGGCCUCAUCGGGGACGCCAAGCGGGUCUUUGAUGAGAUGGAGGGCAAGAAUGUGGUGAUGUACAAUACCAUGAUGUGGCAGAUUGUGACGCCCUUGAUUUAAUCGUACGCUAAUCAUACACGCAAAUGCGUACGAUCAAACCCAAGGACUCACGGGGAGAUAUCACAACACAACUCUAGACACAAAUAAAAUAACAUCAGCUUCAUAUUACAAGCCAGGGGCCUCGAGGGCUAGAAUACGAAAGCUCGAUAAACACACGAGUCAGCGGAAGCAACAAAUAUCUGAGUACAGACAUAAAACAUGGGGUGCCUUAGAGAAGGCUAGCACAAAAGAUACAACGAUCGAACGAGGCGAGGCCUCCUGCCUGGGAACCUCCUAACUACUCCUGAUCAUCAGCGGCCACCACGUAGUAGUAGGCACCGUCAGGGUAGCAGUCGUCGGUGGCGGGGAUCUCCAUCUCCUGGACUCCAUCAUCUGGUCGCAGCAAACGGAUCAAGGGGACAAGGGGGGAGCAAAGCAGCGGUGAGUACUCAUCCAAAGUACUCGCAAGUCUUACAUCAGAACUAUUCUAAUUAUGCAUCAGUAUCAAAGAAGGGGGUUAUAUGUGGACUGACUGCAGCAAUGCGAGAAUAGAGAGAGAAGGCCUAGUCCUAUUGAAGACUAGCAUCUUCAGGGUCUUGCAGCAAUAGACGAGAGUAGAACACGGGUAAAACAUUAAUAGUCAUAUUGUUGCAGCAAUAUUAAAGUGAGGUCACGCCUAAAGAUCCUCCCUCGACUCCCUGCGAGGAAGCAAUCCCGAGGCAAACUAAUUCCAGUUAAGUAACAAUUGUAGUUGUAAAAGAUCGGGGCACAACUCCAAGUCGUCCUGUAACCGUGGACACGGCUAUCCGAAUAGUUAAUUUUCAUCCCUGCAGGGGUGCACCACAUGUCCCGUCACGCUCGAUAACACUCUGGCCAGACAUACUUUUCUGGGUCCUGCCCGGCCUCGGAAUAUCGACACGUCGCAGCCCCACCUAAGACUAAUCAGAGAGGCCAGCCCGCCGGUCUAAAUCCUAAGCACAAAGGGUUCGUGGGCCCAGUUCCCCUUCACGCUCCUGCACGUGGCGUGGGCGGCCGACGUCAGUCCUAGCAUCCCUUAAUCACAAGCGCGAUGCAUCUCGGGACCACUCGGGCGCGCGCCGCUACAUUGCUGGCAUCUGAAAAGCUUCGAAUGAUACCGCGACGCCGAGUACCCAUAAUUCUUCCCGCGUAGCCGGUUAGUGCGAAAAGGUCUCCGACCAACCCAGAUCAAAUACCCAAAUCCAUUAGCAUUUUAAUUAGGCCAGCAACACAGUCUCACGGGAAUCCACCCGUCUUACAACUAAUCACCAAUGAUCCCAGUAACAUGGUCGAGUAACUUUGUGGUUGUAACAUCGGGGGGAAUCCGAGGUAUCACCCUCGUUGGAUUCCGAACGAUGUACCCGUCAAGGUGGGCUUAGAGGAAUCACCCUCGGGGGUCCCACACUCGCGGGGUGGCACGAUAGAGACGUCAUCGGGAAUGGUGAAAGAGGAAUCAUCCUCGAUAACCAUGACCGACUAGCUAUACUACAGAGAUAUCAUCAGGAGUACUUAGUGAGGUGUCACCCUCGGUACCCGAUAGUAUCUCUGUAGCGUCGUACAACAAAAGGGGGGUGAACGUGUUGUGUCGGGUCUGGCUCGUCGAUCAGAGAUCGAGACUUGAAAACAAGCGAGGCAACUGGACUACGGGGUCAGAGGGGAGGCGACUGCUCCACCUAUACUAGGCAGAUUAAAGGUACAGGACUGAAAGUAGCAGUUCAUCAAAAACAGGCUAUGCAUCAGAUAUAGGAGCUAACUACAACAGUAGCAAAAUACUAAUGCAAGCAGUAGGAAGAAAGACAUAGACGAUAUAGGAAUGAUCAAGGGGAGUUUGCUUGCCUUGCUGCUCUGCGGCAAAGGACUGAUCGGCAGGGUCGUAGAUGUACCCGGCAGCAGCGUCAGUCUCGGGGUCUACCGGUAAGAAGAGGGGGAAGAAACAAUAAAUAAUAGCACCGAUGCAACACAAAGCAUGACAUGGCAAGAUGCAGGCUAGACAUGAGCUAACACAGCAACAUCCGUCAUAGACGGGUCGGAAGAAUAUCUGACGAUAUUUUCCGGGUCUCGGGCUACUACCGGUUAUACUGGAAACGAAGAAAAUGUUCCAUGUUUGCUAUGCUAGGGACGCGUGACAGACGAAUGGACCGUGUAUCCGGGUUCGUCUCGCUUUGCUGAUCAACUUUCAUGUUGAAAUUAUUUCGAUCUGACUUACGGAUUAUUUAAUAUUAAUUUUCAAAGUUUUAUUAAUUAUUUAGGAAUUAAAAACAGAUUUAGCUAUUUUAAAUAAAAUCAUAUUAUGACAUCAUCACGAUGUCAUGCUGACAUCAACAUUUGACUGGUCAACUGACCAGCGGGUCCCGAACGUCAUAGGCACAAGGUUUAAUAUUGAUUAAAUAUUGAUUUAUCAGAUUAAUUUAAUGAGGGACCCACGUGUCAUACUCUAAUUAUUCUAAUUAAUUAACUUAACUAAUAUAUCUAUUUAGCUAAUUCAUUAACUCAUUAAUUAAUUAUUAUAUCUAUUUAUUUAUUUAUUAAAAACAUUAAUUUUUUAUUUUUAUUUUAACUAAUGCGUGGGGCCUCCCUGUCAUAGACAGCGGGUGCAUUGGCCCCACCGGUAAGUGGCCUAAGGCCAUUUACUCAUUUUUUUAAUCACAAAUACAUAACCAUACAAAUGUCGUAUUCCUCUAAAUAUUCAUAUACGCAAAUACAUACAUCGCAUCUCAUACAUACAUACAUACAUACAUACGCGUCUAAUACAUCAUUUAUUUUUAUUCAAUUUCUCUCAAAACUCUCAACACUCAUCUCUCUCUGUGUGUUAACAGAGAGAGAACAACUCUCUGCUAACUAACAUACAAGAACCUAAACUUCAAUCCCUCCUACCGGAGUCUACCGUCGACGGAUCGAGGUCCCGUUUGCCGGAACGGAACCGGGACGGUGAGGAGAUCGACAUGGUGGGAGGAGCCCGAGGAGGGGCUCACCGACGGUGACGAGACGGCCCGAUGAAGCCGGAGUUCGCACGAAGGUGAAGGUGACGACGGUGACGCGGUUCCGGUGGUGAAGGGGACGGUGAUGAUGGUGAUGACGCGCCGGCGAGGGGGAGCCGGCCGGAUCCGGCGAGGUGGAGAUGUCUCCCUGCCCGGUCCCUCCUGGACCGAACGGGAGAAGGCCGACGGGGGCGGGGGGGGGGGGGGGGCCACCGGAGAGGUGAGGGCCGCCGGUGAUGGGCCCCCCGGGGAUGGGGAGGUCGGCCGAAGUGGGGUGGCCAGGGGGGGCCUCGGUUCCUGGGAGGACGAGGGGGCCGAGAGAGGAGCGUAGGUGGGGGGAGGCUCGGUGGGGAAGGAGCCUGUGGGGAGGGAGAAGGAGCCCGCGGGGAGGGAGGGAGACCUGGGACCGGCGAGGUGGGGAGAGCCGGCGGGAUGGGGAGGCGGUGGAGAGGAGGGCUGGUGGUGGAGAAGAGGGGCUCGGCCCCGGGCGAGCAGGGGGGCGGCGUUGGGACCGGCGGGAGGGGCGAUCUGGGAGGCGGGGGGGCUCGAUCGUGGGUGCGGGAGAGGGGGCAGGUCGAGGGGGAAGUGUCGGUGGGGAGAGGUGGGAGGACCGAGGGGAGGGAGCCCUCGGUCGUGGGGCGAGUGACUGGGGGGUGUAGCGCUCGUGGGGUGGGAGCCUCCUGGCGGCGGGCAGAUGGGAACGGGAGGAGCUGGGGUCUUCUCGCUAGGGUUUGGUGAUUGUGGCCGGCUGGGCCACUUUGGCCCAGUCGGCCGGGGGGGCUCGGUUGCCUCUUUUUUUAUAUUAGUUUCUAUGUUUUAAUUAUUUUAGUAACAAAAUCAUUUAUAAAAAGUAGAGGACAUGCCCAAUAUUAAAAAGGCAGUAUUAGGCAGCAACAUAAAAAGUUUAGGGGCCUUUUGAAAAUAAUUGAAACUUACACACAUCAAAAAGGACAUUUAAUAAUUGUUUUGUCAUUGAUAUAAAUGUCUUACAGGCACUAAACCAAUUGAUAAAAUGUUGGUUCAAUUUUUUUGAAUAGCUUAGGGAAUAAUUGUAACCUAGGCAUGAUUUUUAAUUUGAAGUUUACAAAACUUUUAAUUUCACAUUCCAAAUAAUUUUGGAUUGCAUAGGGAUUCGAACGAGAGUUUGAUUCCUACAGCGAUCACACAUGGCUUAGCAAAUUGGAUUAACAUAAAUCUCAGAAUACCGUAGCUUUAUUACAGAGUUUACUGUAGCACAAAUCCAGGGCGUCACACAGAUGCUGAGAAGGUUCACAUGCUCAGCAAUCAUAGCGAGAAGCUUGCAAUUGCCUUUGGCUUAAUUUUUGUUCCGGAGGAAAUGCCGAUCCGGGUUGUCAAGAAUCUGCGUGUGUAUGUGGAUUGCCACAAUGCUACCAAGUUCAUCUCUAGGAUAACCGGUCGCGAUAUUCUUGUGAGAGAUGCUGUCAGAUUUCACAAGUUCAGCAAUGGCAUUUGCUCCUGUGGGGACUUCUGGUAAUUCCAAUAUCUGUUCAGCCAACAUCGCACAUGCUUCAAGUUUAACUAAAUUCAGAAGUGCUACUGGAAGACAAGAAGGAAAGUUGAACAAAGCCAAGCAUGGAUAAUAUUCCCUGGCCAUCAACUGGCUUUGUGUGACAGAGUAAGAACAAAUCAUGUUCCCUGCAGGUGCAGGACUCACAAGAGAUGUGCUUAUGUCAUCAUGAAACUGUAGUUCUGAAAGAUUGUUUGGAUUAACAUUCUGUUCCUAAUUGUUGGUUGGUAUGGAUCUGACAGACAAAGGGCGAAACUGCAUUUGCUAACAGCAGUAUUCAUGACAUCAUAUCCUUAUUGAUUAUUGUUUACCAAAGUGAAGGGGAAAAGGUAUUGCCAUGUUUUGGCAUUCUGUGCACCUAAUUACCAAAUUCGCUACAUUGACAGAAGAAACCACCACUCUUCUGCCUAACAGUUUGAGUGUUGACCUUUUUGUUUCAUUUUAGCAUAACUAGAUUCAUGGUAGUCUGUGCUUAACCUCCUGCCAGAUAAAGCUCAAUCAGCACAAUGUUUUUUCGUUCCAUUUUACAUAAUGUGUAGGACACUUAUACAUGGUUACCAAUUACAAAAUGUGCAGGGUAGUUUUCCGAUUUAUGGCUUGGAGACGUGAUGGCUUUGCACCAAGCAACAAAGAGAACAAAGCGUUGAAUCACCAUCCACUGACUAUUAUUAGUUUGGCUUCCAAAUCAAUAAGACUAUUAUUAUGAGACAGUCAGACAGAAGUGUUUUCGCAGGCAGCCUAGAACAAGACAGUGUCAUACCUGAACCAAUCCCUUGUUGAAUGUUAGUGCCUGGCCAUAUGGGUACAUGGUAUAUUUCUAGCGGUUCUGCUUGGGCAAGCUCAUUGCAAUUCUGUCACCAUUAGCUACUUGAGAACAAGCUGCAGCAACUGCUGGGAAAAACUUAUUGGAGAAAUGCACCUGUAGGACAAUUAUACUGCAAUUUGAAUAUCUGGAACGGCAGAAGUCACUGGCUGCUUGCCCAAGAACCCAAGAUCAUGGUCAGGUGAGUUUAUUUUAGAUAACUGAUAUAUAACACAGCACAAAGUGUUUUCUAGUAUGUGAAGAAUCAUAUUUAUUUCUUGUGCAUUUUAUGGUCACAUAAAUAGCCCGAGACAGUAUUGACCAACAGAAAAAUUUAAAGUAAAAUAAAUUCUCUGUUGAAAUUAGACACAUGUUUAAAUUUAACUAAAGUAAAAAGUGCUACUGGAAGAAAAGGUGAAAAGUUGAACGAAGCUAAGAAUAGUUAAUAUUCUCAGGCCAUCAACUCGCUUUGUGGGACAGAGUAAGAACAAAUCAUGCUCCCUGCAGGUGCAGGAUUCAUAAGAGGUUUAUGUCAUCAUGGCAUAGUUCUGGAAGAUAUUUUUAUUAACAUUUCGUUCCUAAUUGUUGGCUGGUAUGGACCUAGCAGCAGUAGGCAGUUUGAUAUGAAGAUUGUGCAUGGGAGCUAUAUCCUUAUUGAUCCUUAUCUCAUGUUUAAUUCCUUAUUUAGCAAAGUGAAGGAGAAAGAUAGGCCACAACUUUUGGCAUUCUGUGCACUAAUACCAAAUUCGAUACCUUGACAGAAGAAACCACCACUCGUCUGCCUUAACAGUUGUAUUAAUCUUUUCAUCUCAUUUUAGCAUAACUAGAGCGAUGAUAGUUUGUGCUGAACCUCCUGCCAGAUAAAGCUCCAUCUCCACAAUGUUUUUUCUUUUCAUUUGAACAUAAUGUUGAUAUUAGACACUUGUGCGUGGUUACUGAUUACAAAAUGUGCAGGAUAUAUGCGGUUUAUGGCUUGAGAUCUCCCUCAAGUUUGUUGAAGGAAGAUCCCAAUGAUGGCUUUGCGAAAACCAACAAAGGGAACGAAAUGUUGAAUCACCAUCUAGUCUUCUACUGACUCUAUUAUUAGCUUGACUUCCAAAUCUCCAAGACUAUCGUUAGGAGACAGAAGUGUAUUCACAGGCAGCUCAGAGCAAGUCAAUGUGAUACCUGAACCAAUCCCUUGUUGGAGCGUGAACUUCAUGCCUGGUCAUAUCGGUACUUCAUGGGAAUGUGAGCCAUGUAAGGGUAUAUUUCUAAGGGUUCUGCUUGGGCAGGGUCAUACUUCUGUCACCAUUGGCUAUUGGAGGACAAGCUGCAGAGUGCUGGAAAGUGGGAAUUACUCACUGUAGAAAUGCCCCUGAAGGACAGUUCUACUGCAAUGGAAUAACUCAAGCAGAAGCCUCCCCUGAGUUGAACCAACCACAGCCCUAAAAGAUGGCGACCAAGCGACACGCUGCCCAGGUGCCAGGGCCUUCAGUGCCUCUUCUCUCUGUGCCGCCGGACUACUCGCCUCCACGCCGAGGGCCAAGCCCAGUGAACACAUUUGAGAUCCCUCCGGUAAGUAGGAACCUUGAUCCUGCAGGCUGCGGGAGUGAGGAUGCAAUUGGUAGUGCUUGGAUGAACGUAUGCAUAGAGCAUUCUGCUGUAACCUAGAUUUCGGAACUGGUGUCUCUGCUACCCAAUGCUGUUAUGAGAUAGAUGUUUAAAAUGGUGUACAUAACUUACUCUGAAUAUUGUUGUAGCUUCAAUGUUUCUAUUUUGCUGCAAUUUUCAGUUACCUGCAAGCGCCGAUGUUCUUCAGAUAGUUUCUCCAUGGGACAUGGACUGCUAGUAAGGUACAUGUGAAACCUGAAAUAUGCCCCCCUUUAUUAGCUUCUCAGUCGUUUGAUUAUACAACUCUGCCUUCUCAAGUAAAUGAGUCUCAGUGAUUCUCUUUUGUCCUGUUCAAAUUAACGACCUACACUGAGUAAAAGGGGAUUGUUUUUUGUUGCGAGUAGUUUGCAUUUUGCAUAAAGGUGCUAGCAGUACGUGAAGCAUUUUAUAUAGGAGAGCUAAGCAUAUCAUGUCAACUUCACACUACAUUAAAGAGCAGGAAGCGUUGUAAUGGUGCUCUUAUAGAUGCCUUUUAGUACACUAGUAUAGCUCUUAUAUUAAUCUGUGUAGCACAUUUCUCCAAAGCUACAAACAGAUAUGUCAGCCACAUUCCACAAUAUAGUACUAGUAGGGUUACAGUUUGCCCCAUUAGCAUCUACCCUUACUGUAACGACAAUUCAAGUUGAAAUCCAAAUUUGGUUGCCGUACUUCAGAUUUCCUUCAAUCCGAAUGGCUUGAAAGACACAAAAGUUUUUUCAAUCAGCAGGAAGAUUUAACAGUGAGCAUACAUCAUUGCAAUCUUUUAUCUUUAUCUUUCAAUCUUGCAGCUAGCCAGCUGCAAGCAAAGAACUUAUUUCUAUCUUUAGCUAAAGCAAAAGGUAAUCCUAGCAUGGAUCGAGAAUAUAGAAAAGGAAAAGGCAAGGAAUAAAGCCGCUUGCUUAUAGUCUGUCUAAGGCAUUUGUGUGUAAGCACAAGAAAGAAGCUGCUCACAAGGUUAUCCUGUCGUACCAUGUAGUACAGCUGAUUUCUUUCUUGUUUUUGCUCUCCAAUCCAGCCAGCUUGUAGUGGCACCUGAACGAUCUAAUUGGGUUCUAGUAUUGACCUGCAGAUUCUCUACGUAGUGCCAAUUCUUCACUUAACCAGGGUAUGUAACUAGCUCACCUUACACCUGUACUAAAUCUGCUUGUCGUAUUCUUUGGAUUUGUGUAAGCUAGCUUAGUUUAUGGCUUCUAGUUGUUUCUCAAUAUAUAUAUACAGGAAAUCAGGAACUGAUCGCCUACUGUUUGACAAAUUAGAAUGGAGAUUGCUAAAGAUCUGAGGGGUCGAUCUUGAGCCUGAAAAUGACUUCAUCCAGAGUUUAGAGACAGACAGAUCUAAUCGAUUCAUCAUGCGUACAGAGGUACUGUUGCACUUACAAAUCACCUUUCAUUCAUUCUGGAUGUUAUAUAUAUUUAAUUGCAGUAGAUUUUGGGGUAAAGUUUUGUCUAUGCCAGCAGUCGUAGUUAAUCUGGAUCAUGCAUGCGUUUAUUUUGUAGACUAUGCAUGCUCAGCUAGUAGAAUUAAAAAAACUGUUAGUCAUGCAUUAGAAUAUUGCCAACAGUCUAAUACCAUGGGUCAACUUAUUAUGUGUUUUCUUUAUUAGUAUCGUGCUCCAAGUUAGAAGUUUGGACUGGUUCCUGAAUCACCGCCCUGUACACACAUGCAGGUUAUCAAGGCAGACACCAUUGAUGAGGCCGUCAAUAGGCUUCUCGUUGAACUUAGGAAAGACACUACAAGCAGCAGAGAGAAUUCCAUCUACUUUGAUGGAUGGGAUGGUCUUGGGGCAUCUGCUGUCCUGCAAGCCAUAGCCAAACACCUUGGAGUAUCAAAUGAGACGUCAGCGAGGCCUGCAGGGCUGCAGUUUGAGAAAAUCAUCCACAUUGACUGCUCAAAGUGGGAGAGCAGAAGAGCAAUGCAGAGGGAAAUAGCAGAGCAGCUGAACCUCCCCAAUUGGGUGAUGGAUAUGUUUGACAAACAAGACGAGGAUGAUGAUUUCAAUGGGUUGGACCAGGGCUCCCGAACUGAGAUAGCACAAGUUGUCAGAGAGAUCUAUCAAAACACACAGAAUCAAAGAUUCUUAGUGAUUCUGCAUAAUGGAGGCAAUGAGGAGAUCGAUAUAUUCAAUUUUGGCCUUUCUCUAUAUGGAUAUGCUAAUAGCAAGAUGCUGUGGACUUUCCGAGGGAGGUUUCGGCUUGACCCCAAGAUAACAGACAAUGUGAAGAGCACAACAACACAUGUUCUUCUUUCAGCUUCAAGAUCUGGGCGAGAUCCACAAGAGCUUUGGUCUUAUCUAGUUCGCCAUGAGGCUGCACAACUUUUUUGCUAUAAGCAUAACCAUAUCUUCAUUGAUUCAGCGGUUGCUGCUGAGUGUGUCUUGUACAUGCUGAAACAGUAUUGCAUCGGCUCUCACAUCAUUGACUACGACUGGGCUAUACACACCAGUAACUAUUGGGUAUGCGAUGGGAUCAUCCCAUUUGCAGACAUUGACAAAGCAUGGAAAGUUGGUGAUGUUGUACAACACGAGGUGCGGUUGUUGAACAUUGACAAUGGACUUUGUAGUGAUGAAUCAACAAUAGUGCUAUCCUCUCACCUGACAAAGUUAGCCGAGCGCAUGCCAUACUGCAUUUCAACAGCAACUUGUGGAUUUGUACAGAGCCGCUUCAGUGUUAUUCUUGGAAACAUGUCUCAACACUCGCACGGUCUCCGCGUGCUCAAGCUCUCAUGGUGCACCUUCAGUUUCUCAUCACCUCCAUUCCUCUGUUGCCAUAGCUUGAGGUUCCUAUGGCUUGAGCACUGCCAAGAUGAUUUAACAAUGAUUGCGGCAAAUCAUCACCAUACAGAUGCGGACAAAAAGAAGGAUGACUUGGACAACAACAACACCGCUAGAUCGUGCUCAUGCUUUCAAAACUUGUGGGUGCUUGACGUGCGGUACACAGAUUGUGAUCAGAUCUUGUCAGCAAGGGUGAUGGAUCUCAUGACCCAGCUCAGGGAGCUAAACGUGAUGGGUGCUGAAAACUGGGACAUGAGCCAUUUGCAAGGACGGCUGCGUAACAUUCGCAAGCUCCGGGUAACAAACUCCACCUGCUUCUUCAACAACAACGUGUUCUCGGAGAUGGAAAGCAUGGAGCUUCUUGAUUUUUCGGGAAAUCACAUCACACAAGGCAUGACCAGCUUAUCUGGGCCAGCAAGCCUCAAGACCGCCACUAUUGAUGGAUGUGAUGGGUUAAAAAAUAUAUCUUUUAGGGGCUGCAAAGAAUUGGCAAAUGUGAUCUUGAAAGGAUUAUCGAGGGGUCUCGAGGAGCUGGAUCUUUCAGGCACAAGGGUGAAAAUCCUCAACCUCGGAGGAGCGAAAUACGUCCCCAAGCGAAUCAUCUUGCUAGACUCUGAGAAGCUCCGUGCAAUAUUGUGGCCACGGAGUGCGACAGAAAGUGGGCCAGAAAACUGUCCGAAAGUGGUGCACAUUGACACGGCCUCGCCAUCAACAUCAGCUUAUGGAGGGGAGGCACCACUUGCACAUCCACAUGCUGACCUAUCCCUCCACCAGCAAAAAGAAGAAAUAUUUAAGGGUGGAUGGCAGAUUUCUUUCACGGACACAAGGUUCCUUAGGUUGGUUUCUCCUGUAAAAGAAAGUUUUUUAUGGGUGUCAUCCUUACAUAUUGAUAUAUGUACUGCAGCUACCGUUGGUGGUAGCGACAUCCAAGAAACAAGUGACAAACUAGUGCAAGUCCAACAGCAUGCAAGUACCUUGAUGGACUCCAAUUACAGAGAUGCGUUGAAGGAUGGCCCAGUUGCAGCGAUGAUGAUGUGGGACUGCCCCAAGAUUUACACUCGAUCAGUUGAAUACACGUGUAUCAUAAAGAUGAUCAUGCACGGGCAUGGCAACAAAACUUUGGAUGAUGAUCAAGCUGCUAGUACUACCGCGAUAUUAUUUCCUGAUUUUAUAGGUUGGCGAGCUACAUCGAUGCACGUGUAUGACAAUGCGUACAUCACCAAUAUCCUUGAGCCUUCCCAAGGAUGGAGGAGUUUAACAUGGUGCCGGGUGGAGAGGUGCCCCAAGUUACACACGGUAUUUACUGUUCCCCAGGGCAGUGUAUACAACAACCUUGCUUACAUUGAGACAUUCUGGGCAUCCCAGCUUCUCUCUGUACGCUACAUCUGGGACACGACAGUUGAAGGUUUAUUUUUCGAGCUGAAAUUUUUGCACCUGGACCACUGCCCUAGGCUCAUACAUGUGCUCCCCUUGCACCAAAACUAUUGGUGGCAUCCGACGCGUUUGGAAACCCUUGAGAUGGUGUACUGUGGUGAUCUCAGGGAGGUGUUCCCUUUGAGCCCUGAGCUUCAGGAACAGGAUAAGAUCAUAGAAUUUCCCGAGCUGAGGCGCAUCCACCUGCAUGAGCUCCCCAUGAUGCCGCGCAUCUGCGGGCGCAGGAUCUCCGCGCCAAAACUCAAGACCAUCAAGGUCAAGGGUUGCUGGAGCCUCAAGCGUCUGCCGGCCGUCGGACGCGACACCAAGCCACCCAAGGUGGAUUGUGAGAAAGAAUGGUGGGACAAGCUGGAGUGGGACGGGCUGGAGAAAUACCACCACCCGUCCCUCUACGAGCCCAGCCACUCGCUGUACUACAAGGCCCAGCUGCCCAGGGGCACGGUUCUCAGGUGAGCUUUAUAUCUAGUUCCUUUUGUACGUUUGUUCCUCAGUAUAUACAUUGUACUAAUAUAAGCUGAUCUUGUGAUGAACCCUAUUACUACCCUCUAUUAUUUCUAUAUAAAAAAUCAGCCUAGCACUGUAAGUGGUAUGUGUGGUUAAUCAUUCAUGCCAUUGUUGGUUUAUGCUGCAGGUAAUCGAUCUGUUUUGUGGAUUGAUAUUGAGCUUCUUUCAACACAAUGUGCGGCCAAGCAUGCAGUGGUCCGUCCUGCAUAACUAAAGCUUUUCUGCCAUGUGAUUGUGCGUUGCUUGCGCUUCUUCCCGCUUGAUUGGUUUGCGGUGUUCUCUCUACAUCUGCAUUGCGCUGGUUCGACAGUUACCGGUGUGCGUGUGUGCUGCUUGCCUUGCUUCUGGCUUGAUUGGUUUGUGGUCUUCUUUCUACAUUUGCAUUGCCUUGCUGUGGCUUCCUGUUUGAUUUGGUUUGGUUUGAUUAUCUUUGCUCAGAGCUCUCGAGCAAAUGAGAAAUAAAUCAGAGUGGGCAUUCAGCUUAUGCAGCACACAUGAGCUCAUUCUGCAUGGGUGCUUGCUUAUUACUAUAUGAAUUGUCGGUUAUGGGGUGAUUGUUAUUUGUAAACACAAACAAUGAUGGUGAUCGUGUGUGUGUGUGUGUGUCUGUGUUGUUUGUUGCUGUUUAAAAGAGUUCACUUUUCAGAGAUGGUGUGCCACUUGGUUAAAAUGUAUUGUGUUGGGGGCACAGACCCUUAAACAACCCGUCCCUUGCUAGAAUAAACUGCAUACAAUUUAAUUUCUUGGUGUGUUUUUUUUGGUACGGCUUUGUGCAACUUGCAUUCGUAUACUCCAUUCAGGAGUUCCCUCGAUUCGGCUGGCUCGAAAAAGACUAAAACAUUUGCUCAAUUAGCAUGAUGAUCCCGUUCCUUUGCAAUACUAUUUUGUCUUCAUCUUUAGUUACUGCAACAAAUCCCCAAGCUUAGACACUUGAGUCUUCCUUGGAUAUAACCGGGUGCCUUGGACGUCCCCAAGCUUAGGUUCUUGUUGUUCCUUUAGUUACUGCAGCAAAUCCUCAAGCUUAGACGCUUGAGUCUUCCUUGGAUAUUACCGGGUGCCUUGGGCGUCCACAAGCUUAGGUUCUUGUUGUUCCUUAUUCUCCUCAUAUUGGUUUCUCACCCAAAACAUGAAACUUCAAUCACAAAAACUUAACGGAAUUUCGUGAAAGGUUACUAAGAGCAGGCCAAUAAUUGAUGGUUACAAACAGCUACGCUCGUAUGUCAAAUUUCCGUUGUUUGUGCUCAUUCCACACACGUACACCUUUUUUUACCCACAGUUGUAUAAGUUCUUCAACUAAUGGCCUUAGGUACACAUCAAUGUCGUUGCCGGGUUGAUUGAGGCCUUGGAUGAGCACUGGCAUCAUAAUGAACUUUCGCUUCAUGCACAACCAAGGAGGAAGGUUAUAGAUGCACAGAGUCACAAGACAGGUGCUAUUAUUGCUGCUCUGGUCCUCAAAAGGUUUAAUGUCAUCUGCACUUGAACCAAACCAUACGUUCAUUGCGUCAUUUGCGAAGUCCCCCCCCCCACUUUCUCUCGAUUUUCCUCCACUGCGACCCAUCAGAGGUUACUCUCAACUUCUCGUCUUUCUUACGGUCUUCUUUGUGCCAUCGCAUCAACUUGACAUGAUCUUUGUUUUGGAACAAACGUUUCAACCGUGGUAUUUUAGGAGCAUACCACAUCACCUUGGCAGGAACCUCUUCCUUGAGCGCUGGACCUCAACAUCGUCACCAGGGUCAUCACGACCGAUCUUAUAGCACAACGCACCGCAUACCGGACAUGCAUUCAAAUUCUCGUACUCCUCACCGCGGUAGAGGAUGCAGUCAUUAGGGCAUGCAUGUAUCUUCUGCACCUCUAAUCCUAGAGGGCAGAUGGCCUUCUUUGCUUUGUACGUACUGUUAGGCAAUUCGUUGUCCUUUGGAAGCAUCUUAUUUAACAUUUCGAUAAUUUUUCAAAUUCCUUCUCAGAUACACCAUUCUCUGCCUUCCAUUGCAGCAAUUCUAGCGCCGUACCCAACUUCUUCUUGUCAUCUUCGCAAUUUGGGUACAACAAUUUCUUGUGAUCCUCUAACAUGCACUGCAACUUCAACUUCUCCUUUUUACUUGCGCAGUUUCUCUUCGCAUCAACAAUGGCCCGACCAAGAUCAUCAGCGGGAUCAUCUGGUGCCUCUUCUUCAGCUUCUUCCCCCAUUAUAGUACCAUCGUAUUCAGGGAACACACGAUAGAUGUCAUCAUCCUCUUGUUCUUCAUUCUUUUCCAUUAGAACCCCUCUUUCUCCGUACUUGGUCCAACAGUCAUAGCCGGACAUGAAACCAGACGUAAACUGGUGGACUUGAAUGACUUUUGGCUUAGAGUAAAUGCUAUCAUAUUAACGACAUAUUUUCUAAUUUUUCUAAUCUUCAAGCGCAUUGCAUCCAUAUUGAUCUUGUUAUCAUCGACAACAUCGGAGACAUACAACUCUAUUUUCAUCUUCUCUUCUUCAAUUCUUUUCAAAAAAAAAUUCAAAUACUCGUUUUCUUUUUCAACUAAAUUUAACUUCUCAACAAGAGGGUCGGUUGAAAUUUCCGGUUCACAUACCUCCUUGAUAAAAAUAUCUAUGUUAACUUGAUGGGCAUAAUUGUCAUAAACGAGAAAUGCAACAAAUACUUAUAGAAGAGAAUAUACCACAUCCGAAUUAUAAACCGGACGAGGGCCGACGGGAUGGAUAUCAAGACCAUGGCACUAUGUAUAACAAACAAUCAUACAUGUAAGAACACUAUUUAAAUCAUACAAAUAAGAUUUUUUUGAAUAAAAAGGAUAAGAACAAGAGGAUCACCAAGGUGGUGCCGGCGACGGGACGGUGCGGACGAUCGAUGGUGGUUAGGACGGGGACGGGAAGGCACUAAGUAAUCCACAUGUGCAAAUAAGAAGUUAAUUUAAUCUCAGAUUGCAUAUAAAUCAAAUAAACUCCCACAAAAUUAUUCCCCAAACUAAAACCCACAAAUCACUAUACUUAUAGAGCAUUGCACGAGCUAAUCCAGCAAUGAGAGAUGAAAUGACAAAGUUGGUAACCUUUGUGAACACUAGGAGAGAUCGGGUGCCUCAAAUCUUGGCAAAAAAUGGAGGCUGAGCUCGAGCUAAAGGGGAGAACAGAGAGGGGAAUGGAGAAAACAAAGAAAUGAGCUCGGUCUGGAUGAAUGGUUUAUAUAGGGAGAUCUUUAGUCCCGGUUUGUAUAACCAACCAGGACAAAAUGUGGCUCCCUCUAGUCCCGGUUUGUGAUACAAACCGAGGCUAAAUAGGCUCGUGGGGGCCCCAGCCUGACGCCCGCCUGCCACCACACCUUUCUAUAGGUACGAAAUAAACCGGGACUAAAGAUGCCCGUGUGACCGACCGAUCCUACCCGUUGGAACCGAAACUAAUAGUCACAUUAGUCCCGGACAAAAUCAAAAGUGGACUGCGAGAAGCACCUACUCCAGCUUUGGAUCCGACUGGGGAGCAAGAACCACCGACGGGCCUGAUGCCCAACAUGGCACGGAUCUCAUCCCACGACUUCCCGUCCAUCAUGGCAACAAUGGUUUUGCAGACAAGAUCAAACACGCCAUGGUUGUCGAGGUCCUUGGAGCGACGAUGAGGUCGAGGAGCACGGUGAGGUCGAGGCUGCCGGUGUCCCAGCCCGGGUCGACGUGGAUAUGUCUGGUCUCUGGAGCAAUGAAGGAUCAAUGAGAGGGCGGUAGAGACGACGCGGGGGUAGCCUCCGCUUCCUCCGGCUAGGCCAUAGAUGUCGUACCUGAUGAUCAUGUGCUCUGCCACCAGGUCCACGUCGUCCAGGCACUGCAGCACCACCAUCUGCUUCCCAACUUCUUCUAGUUCUUCUUCUUCGGUUGUGUCGAUGAUAACUUUUUCAGUCCCAUAUUCUCCUAUAACUUUUUCUUGCAUUUCCCAUGGUUCUAUUCGCGUGGGAUCGAUGGAAGUUGCCCAUGGCUCCUCCGCAUCUGUUAAUCCGAUGAAGCACGCGGAGUCGCGGGUUAGUGAUCCAUCUAUGUUGGGAGAUUGUACGGGCGACGUGGAGAGAUGAUUAGAUUGACGCUGCCAUCCCUCUUUCUACCAUCGUCCCUUUUCCUCCAUCCUCCUGGUCGCCUCUUUAGGCCUCAGCACCUGGUGCACCUCCUGCGGCGGCGAGGUUAUCGUCCACGAAGGCGAUGCUGCUGUUGUGCGGCGAAGGAGCGCUUGUUGUAUUGGAAGGUGGUGUCUACGCGGUGAAGACAGGGAGACGUCCGGGUUGAGGGCGAGGAGAUCCGAUCGUGAUCAGUUUCUGUUUUUUUGCGUGCAUACAUGAUUGUAGGGGUUUUAUGGCUUGCAGAUUUCCUUUGUGGUGGAGUACAACCAGUCAAUGUAAAUUACUAACUUCACACCACACCACACCACACCAGGGAAGGGACCAGAUUAACGCUCAAUCUGUGGUUGGAUGGUUAGAGAGACUAUGGUAUCCCUCAGGUUUCAAAUCCUGGAGUUUGCAUUGUUCUUGCAUUUAUUUCAAGAUUUUCAGCGAUAUAUUUUCAGUGUGAGGACGACGACGGGACGGCUACGAUGAUUUCGUAAAUCUCAAGAUGAUAUGCCGGCUUAGUCUCUCAAAGAUACUCAUAGAGCACUAGUGGGGACCGGGCCUUUAGCCCCGGCCCGUAAGGGGCUUUAGUCCCGGUUCACCAACCGGGACUAAAGGGGCGGGACUAAAGGCCUAACCUCUAGUCCCGACCCUGUUACAAGCUGGGAAUAAAGGUGCUCCACGUGGGCGCCUCGUAGCGCCCCAGGGGCAGGCCCUUUAGUCCCGGCUCGUUACACGGACCGGGACUAAAGAGUCUCAGAUUUUGCUUAUUUUUGGGUUUUUUUUGAAUGAAAUUAUUUUUGGGUUUUAGGGUUUUAGGGUUUAGGUGUUCGGGAGAUUAACGUGAUGCCUCGUUUGGUGUUCGGGAAUUAGUUUUCAUAUAAUUUAAAUAGAAAUAAUUAUGCAUAUAUAUAUAUAUAUAAGAUUAACUUAUCUUACAAGCGAGCAUAUAUAUACAAUUAUAUGGAGAUCUGAAUUAUCGGGACUAGAGCCCGUCUAUUCGAUUACAUGGACGAACAUCCGUAACGGCCCCUAGCUACACUAAAUCGUCCUUUGUCAUCUAUAGCUUCCGUCCUCAGAAAGGUCGCAAGCUCCUCUGCAACAGCAAUCGCGCGUUGCUCUGGUAGGGACUUCUCCCUCAUGGCCGUGUACUAUAUAAGACGAGGAGAUGAAUAUGAAUAUCAAUCAUGAUAACAAAGAAUGACGGGUAAAAAUAGAGGUGUGAAUGUUCAUUGCUUACGUCGUAUCUGUGAUCCUUGUGCUCAGAGGUAAACGUGCGAAUGGUCUCGCAAACAUAGUAUCCGCAUAGAUGCGUCCCCCGUGGCUGCUGGUCGCACUUUACGAGAAUAGAAUAUAUAUAAUCAAAAUAAUAAUCUAGCAUCAUAAAUGUAUUGAAAAUAGAAGUAUAUCAUACUACUACUUACCUGANNNNNNNNNNNNNNNNNNNNNNNNNNNNNNNNNNNNNNNNNNNNNNNNNNNNNNNNNNNNNNNNNNNNNNNNNNNNNNNNNNNNNNNNNNNNNNNNNNNNAAUGGUCUCGCAAACAUAGUAUCCGCAUAGAUGCGUCCCCCGUGGCUGCUGGUCGCACUUUACGAGAAUAGAAUAUAUAUAAUCAAAAUAAUAAUCUAGCAUCAUAAAUGUAUUGAAAAUAGAAGUAUAUCAUACUACUACUUACCUGAGCCGCUCUAAAGGUCAGCUUCUCGGGCUCGAUACCGGGAGUCACGCACUUGAACCGCUUCCAAACCCUGCCCGACAAGGAAAAUGAUUUGCUAAGUUUUUCAUUAAUUGAUAUAUCAGAAAAUCAUCGAAAGAGACCGGUAGAGCGCAAGAAUGAUUGAAAUUACCCUUGGAACAUGUCCUGCAGGCUUUGGAACUGUUCCAAGGGUCUCGAUAAUGGGUCGAAGGCAUCAACUCUUCCCUUAUCAAUUUGAAUGUUCAACAGAAUCCAAUGAAAGCUGCACAUGUAUAUAUAUAUAUGUGUGAGUAACUUAUCAAUUACACUUAUAAGUGAAUGGACACAACAGAGUAAAGACCCUCACCUGAAGUUGUAUGGAAACAAUAUGUCGUCACAGAAAUUUUGAUCUGUUAGAAACCUUAGAAGGUUUUCCUCCAUCUCCUUGGGUUUAUCAGUUAGCGCCGCUAUAUGUAUUUUAUCUGGGUCAAUAAACCCAAUAUUUAGGAUGUUCCUAUUUUUACAAUCCAGAAUCUUCAUUCUGCAUAAUAGAGUACAAGUUAUAUGUAGACAAUGAAUUGAAAUAACUAAACAAGUUAUAUGUAGACAACGAAUUGAAAAACUUACAGACAAUAGCAACUCAUAAGCGAUUUGUCGAGGGCGUCGGCAUUGUACAUCUGGAAGAGUUCAUCAAAGUCGAUAUGGAUUUCUUUGGGGCGGUCGCAGUACUCCUGUGGGACACUCACCACGAUCAUCGUUCUCCCAUUCUUUGAUUCACUUAAUUACCAUGUAUGCAAGUAACGCAUAUUUGUUGGGAGAUCAUCUUUGCUGACCAAAGGCGCUCCCAUGACAAACUGUGGCUUAGGGGCUACCACAGCCUUGGGUAACAUCUCGUCUUGGAAAGCCAGAACCUCUUCAACCGGGAUACCCCAUUCAUCCGCCCACUUCUUUGCUAAUUCCAAAUCUUGCCCCUGCACCAGAGGGGGGACAUUCUCGGGUAACACCCUGAGGGGUGGGAUCGACUGUUUGGCCUGUUGUCCAAGCUGAGGAACGUCUGAUCUUUUUUUGCUUGUAGUUAACUUGAUUUGCUCCCACUUGCACUUGCACGUGAUCUACUCUUUUUCACUUCCUUCCGCAAUGUGCGUGUAUAGUCAUCAGGCUUAUGGUGUAAGUCAUACUGUGAUGGAAGGUUCGUGAAGUAUUUUGCAAAUGCUAUUUGCUUCUCGGUGUAUUCCGGGCGGGGCUCGGGUUCCUUAUUUUUCAUCUGCGCAUCAUGAUGUUCCUUUGCUAUCCUGGCGUUUUCCUCGGCGGUACGAUCAUAAGGUCUGAUAGAAAGAUGAGCAUGAGGUACCUUUGGGAGGGGCGACAUUUUGCGCUUUGGGGAGCUCCGUCGCUUAGAAAUCAUUGGCGGAGCGUUCUUGCUGGCACGCUUCCGCUGAGUAUCCGGAGCGGGCGGCGGCGGAGACGGACGACCCGAGUCCGGCGGCGGUGAUCGAGAUGGACUCGUGUUGUGCUGGCCGUCGUCAUGUGGAGGGCUUGGAGGUGAUGGAGGUGUAGGUGACCUGCGACAACUCAGAGGCGGUGUUGUCCUUGGGGCCGAGCCUGGAAGCUUGAUUUAGCUCUUGUCCCAUAGGAUGAAUCCACCCAGUACUUCUCCGAGUGUCCUCUCAUCUUGGGGUCCAGCUAUGUCGAGCUCCAUAUCAUGAAACCCCGCCAUGAUUUCAUCCACCCCGACUUUAGCAAAGCCAGCUGGAAUCUCAUGGCCAUGCCAGCGUGCAUCAGAGCCAGAAGGUAAAGCUUGUCCGACGGCCACCUUCAUGGAUAUGUUCUUGAAUUUCUGAUGGAGUUCACAUGAUGUUGACUCCUUGAUUCCAUCCACGGGGUAGCCGGGACCGCCCUCUAUCAUUCUUCGUGCAUCGUCGGGCGGGGCCUCAGAUUCAGCCACGGUGCUUUUCCGCUUAGAUGGGGCACCGUUAAUAUCGAGUGCAGGAUCUUCCUGGCACGCUACUCCUCUAAGCUCAUCAAUCUGCUUCUGUUGCUCGUUAAUCCUGGCAAGCAACUGGUUGAACUUGUCAUUCUCCUCAUCCUGCUGUCGCUUCUUUGCUCUCGCUCGGCUUCUGUAAGUGUCUUGGUCUCUGGCAAACCCAAGCCACCACGGGUAAGAAGGACCGAAGCCUCGCGUUCGUCCUCCAUGUUCGUCAUUGCCGAGGACCAGUGUGAGCAAAUCUUUCUCUCUAUCUGCAGUGAACUGUCUUUUUCCCUCCUUAAUUUCUUUCACUAUCUUUUUCCAAUUCUCCCUGGGUAUCCUAAGACCGUCACUGCACAUGAGGUCCCCUGUUUCUUCGUCGUACGAACCACCAUGCCCAAGGAACCAAUUUCUUGCUCUCAAUUCCCACUCAUCACGGAGUGUUUGAGGUAUGAUGCCUUUAGCUAGCAGAUCUUGCUCUUUCUUAUCCCACUUUGGGAUGGCAGUCUCAUAGCCCCCUGGCCCCAACUUGUGGUGAUAUUUCUUCUUGUCGGCAUUUUUCUUGUUCUUUUCUGAUAAUGCCUGGGCAUCUUAUGACUCCUUGUACUCUUGAAAUGCCUUCCAGUGAUUCGCCUGCUUGGCUAGAUACCCCUCGAAUAGCGGCACUUUCUUUGUCUUCAGAUAGUUUUUCCAUAGCUUCUUCUUCCAGCUACGGAACAAUUCAACCAUCUUCUUUAGAGUCCAUUGCUUGAUUUGGCCCUCAGUUUUUUUGCGGCGUCUUCAUUCUCACAUUCUGGCAGGUUGAAAUGUGACAUGAGAUCAUUCCAAAGAUUAUCUUUGUACCUUUCGGCGACAUAGUCACUAUCGGCUGCCCCUUUGCGCUUGUUCCACUCCCGAACGCUGAUCGGGACGUGAUCCCUAACGAGAACUCCGCAUUGCUUCUUGAAUGUGUCAGUAGCAUUCUUAGGAAGCUUGGGUUCGCCCGUAGGCAAUAUCACCUCAAAGGUGUAAUGCGUCCGUGCAUCCAACUUUCUAGUCGGGCCUCGUUUCGUAGCUUUGCUCGAUGUGGAGGUCUAAGAGGGAGAAACAUUCGUCAAAUGAAUGUAUAUGUAUACAAUAUAGAGCUAUCUCCAAUAUUUUUCACAUAUUACAAGUGAUUGUCGAACUUCAUAUGUAUACCUCGCCGGACUUUAUUAUUUCUCCACCGGCUUCUCCACCGGCUUCUCCAUCAGUGGAGCUAUCACCUUCUCCGUCAUUGGACCUAUCUCCUGCCCCAUCGGCUUCAUCUUCGUGUCGGUCGACCUCCAUUCCAUAUUCGGAGGGGUUUAGAUAUGACGACGGAGAUUCAGCUGGUUCAACGUCGGGGCCAUCUUUGAUUAUAUCUUCGAGAAGUUCUUCCUCUUCGAGGUUCCUGAUAUGUGGAUCCAUAGUUCUGCAAAAAAUGGACAUUUGAUUAACUAAUAAACUAACAAACUAUAUAAGAGGGGUUGGAAACUUCGAAGUGUCGUUUUAUAUAGGAGGACCUUUAGUCCCGGGUCUUGGCUAGAACCUAAACUCUAAAAUAUGUCUAACGGAUUCUCUUAACCUUUAAGGAUUUAACAAAAUGGCGACAUUCUAGAUGUGUAGAAAAUGAUCCUAUUUUUCCUGAUCUCAUCUACCCUUCUAUAUGCCACAUUGUAUAGUGUCAAAGGACUUUGUUGAACUUUGUACCAAAAAAGAAUUAUUCUAUCAGGAACACCGUUCCAAAACAACUUUAGACCCGGGUCGUGGCUCCAUCCGGGACUCCUAGAUUUUUGCAUAGUAUUCAAAGUAGGAGUACUUUUCCAAUUUGAGCAUUCAAUAAGCAAAACCAAAUCGUAAAAUAAAGUAGUAUUCAAAUUAGCAUGCAUUCAAUUAUAAGCAAAACUACAUCAUCUCUUUUGUCCGUACAUCGUCGAAUAUUAUCACUAAUACUCCUCGAAUACUAUCAUACAUAUAGCAUCACUGAUACAGCUAGAACCGUAGCGCCCGACGGGUAUCGUCGCGGGCGGUGGACACCCAAAGAGAAGGAACCAUUACAGGAUCAUAGCUCCAGUGAGAUCCCUGAAGAACCUGCCAGGUAUGCUCGAACCUGCCCUCCAACGCAACCAUGUAGCGACGGACGUGCUCAUCCUCCUCGCUGACACGGUGACGUACCACCUCCGCGGUGUCCGGAAGCCUCGGCACCGUCACUGGCCCAUGCGACCGCCACCAAACAAGGAUCGGGUCAACAACGGGCUGGCUCCUCACCAACCUACGCCCCCCGAAAGGUAGCACCUCCCAAUACCAGCCGGGCGGAGUCCAGUCCCGGACAUGGCCCCUCUGAUCGAGCAGGUGUCCUCCGCCGAGUCGACGACGAGGAUGCGGGAUAGGCAUCGUAAAAUAAACUAAAAAAAUAAACUAGUUCUAUUAAUUUUCUUGCUAAAAAUAAACUAAUUGUAUAUAUAGUAAAAUAAACUAUUAACACUUAAGCAUAUACAAUAGCAAAAUUAAGCAAUAAUCUAAGAAACACUAAUUAAGUAUCUAUAUACGUAGAAAUGUCUUCUUCUUCUUCUUCUUUCUUAUUUUCUUCUCCGCUUCUUCUUCAACUUCUCUUCUUCUACUUCUCAUCUUCUUCUAUUUUUCCUCUUCUUCUCCUCUCCUCCUCUUCUUAUUCUCCUUUUUCUUCUUUUCUUCUCUUCCUCUUCUUAUUUUCCUUUUUCCUAAUCUUAUUUUCUUAUUUUUGUUCAUCUUUCUUCUUCUUGUAACCCUAACCUAAUUCUAAAUAUUACUAACCCUGAUAAUUUAGCACAAACCUAAUAACAAUAGGAAUUAAAUGACAAAAGAAAUAUAGAUUUUGGAAUUUUUUGUCUUUCAUAUUUACGAUUCCCUUUAUAUUCGACGAGAAGCCAGUCGGGACCUUGAUACUGAAAAGGAUUUCAAAGAAGAUUUGCUUCUCUUCCUUAGUAAUAGCGUAGCUGGCACGCCCUUGAAACUGCCCUGGAUGCAUGUCAUCUCUUCCUUUAUGACGUUCCUGGUCCUCCCGUGCUUCUGGUGUAUCUUUUGACUUCCCAUACAAGCCUAGGAAGCCUAGAAUAUUCACGCAGAGAUUCUUCGUCAGGUGCAUCACGUCGAUUGCCGAGCCGACCUCAUGGACUUCCCGGUAGGGUAGCUCCCAAAAUAUAGAUUUCUUCUUCCACAUGGGUACGCGCUUAUGAGGGCCGUUAGGAACAGGUUGGCUGCCAGGACCCUUUCCAAAUAUUACUUUUAAAUCUUUGACCAUAUCAAAUACUUCAGCACCAGUACGGAUGACAGGCUUCCCCCGGGGUUCUGCCUUGCCAUUGAAAUGCUUGCCUUUUUUCUUUAAGGGAUGCUUGGGCGGAAGAAAACGACGAUUGUACGGGUACACAUUCUUCCUACAUUUGUCCAGAUAUAUACUUUCUGUCUGAUCCAAACAGUGUGUGCAUGCAUUGUAUCCCUUGUUUGACUGUCCUGAAAUGUUACUAAGAGCAGGCCAAUCAUUGGUGGUUACGAAAAGCAACGCUCGAAGGUCAAAUUCCUCUUGUUUGUGCUCGUCCCACACACGUACACCUGGUUCGGCCCACAGCUGUAAAAUUUCAUCAACUAAUGGCCUUAGGUACAAAUCAAUAUCAUUGCCGGGUUGCUUUGGACCUUGGAUAAGCACUGGCAUCAUAAUGAACUUCCGCUUCAUGCACAACCAAGGAGGAAGGUUGUAGAUACAUAGAGUAACGGGCUAGGUGCUGUGACUGCAACUCUGCUCCCCAAAAGGAUUCAUGCCAUAUGUACUCAAACCUAACCAUAAGUUCCUUGCGUCAGCUGCAAAUCUCGGGAACUCUCUCGAUUUUUCUCCACUGCCGACCAUCAGCGGUGUGCCUCAACUUAUCGUCUUUCAUACGAUCUUCCAUGUGCCAUCGCAACAACUUCGCAUGAUCUUUAUUUCUGAACAGACGUUACAACCAUGGUAUUAUAGGAGCAUACCACAUCACCUUGGCAGGAACCCUCUUCCUGGGUGGCUCGCCCUCAAUAUCACCAGGGUCAUCUUUUCUGAUCUUAUACCGCAAUGCAGUGCAUACCGGGCAUUUAUCCAUAUUCUCGUACUUCUCACCGCGGUAGAGGAUGCAGUCAUUAGGGCAUGCAUGUAUCUUCUGCACGUCUAAUCCUAGAGGGCAGACAAGCUUCUUUGCUUCGUACGUGCUGGCGGGCAAUUCGUUCUUUCUUGGAAGCAUCUUCUUCAUCAGUACCAGCAACUUUUCGAAUGACGAGUCAGUCACACCGGUGUCUGCCUUUCACUUCAGCAAUUCCAGUGUGCUACCCAGCUUCUUCUGGCCAUCUUCACAAGUUGGGUACAACAAUUUGUUGUGGUCCUGUAACAUCUGCUCGAACUGCAACCUCUCCUUUUCUGUGUCGCAACCUCGCCGUGCAUCAGAAAUGACCCGACCAAGAUCAUCAGCGGGCUCAUCUGGUUCCCGUUCUUCAUCCUGAUCUUCUUCUUCAUUGUCUUCCAUUGCGGUAUUAGCAUACUCAGGGAACAUAGAUCGGUAGUUGUCAUCAUCGUUCUCUUCUUCUUCAUCGUCGUCUUCCAUCAUAACCCCUCUUUCUCCGUGCUUGGUCCAAACACUAUAGCCCGACAUAAAACCGGACCGAAGCAGGUGGCUCUGAAUGACUCUUGAGGAAGUGUAAUCCUUCUCAUUCUGACAUUCAACACAUGGACAAAACAUAUAGCCACCACCAUGCUUGUUCGCAUCGGCUGCAUCUCGAAAAGAAUGCAUGCCUUCUCUGUAAGCGGAUGUGCGUCGAUCACCGUACAUCCAUGGAUGGCUCAUCUGCGUUAUACGACAGUAUAUCAAAUACAAUCACGAUCCUAAAAAUUAGUACCGCACGGUCUAAACGAGGAAAUAUAGUUGCUAACCUUUUAGAAUAAGUAGAAAUAAAGAGGAAGAGGUUUAAGCGUGGCUCGGGCAUCUCAUAUCGUAGUUGUGUUCGGUGAAUUGAAGCGGCAUCGCUCUAACACACAUUUCAACAAACACCUCUAGUGCAUCAAAAAAAUGGAGAGCUAGCACACACCCACACUCUUCCAUCCAAGAAAAAUGCAAGGAAGAGGGGAGAGGGGGGCUGUGCUAUAUAUAGGCAGAGGACUUUAGUCCCGGUUUGAGAUACAAACCGGAACUAAAGAUGGCGCACAUGCGGGCUGCACACCGCGUAGCCCUUUAGUCCCGGUUUGAGACACAAACCGGGACUAAAGGCUCCUUACGGGCCGGGACCAAAGCCUCGUGGGCGUCAUUGCGAUUUGGGGCGACGUGGCCGGGCCUUUAGUUCCGGCCCAGAGGGAGGCCGGGACUAAAGGGUCCAGGCCAAAGGUCCGUUUUCCACUGGUGAUAACGCAGCUCCAUGGCUAGUAUGAAGCAAAGGCUCAUCGGCAAAAGGAAGUGCUUCAUUUUAGUGCAGGCUAUGUAUGGGAGCAAUUUUGAUCAUGAGCAUGUGGUAUACACGUAUUCGGGUAGACGGCCGGCAAGCUCGCGCUGGCGAGCUCGCGUGAGUAUCGUAUCCGAAUACACGUAAAAAGAAAGAAAAGAAAAAAAAAGAAAUGCAUGUCUAUAUGCAUAGUGAAUACACUUUGACUGGAUGGAUGCACAGUUUCACGUGCAUGGAUUGCACCAUGGUCAUGUAUCGCAUGGAAGGUAUACAUAUACGUAUUCGGGUAGACGGCCGGCAAGCUCGCCCAAGUAUCGUACUCGAACGUCCGUUCGUAUGCAUACACCAUAUUUAUAUGUAUUUGGAUAUAUAACUAUAUGCAUUUGAAUACCGGAAAACCGACGGAGCAACGCAUAAUCGGUAAGUAGUAAAAUUUGGAAGCAAAAGCAAUCAGCAUAUAUCAUGUUGGAAAGACAUGUGCCAUGUGAGUAAAAAGAUAUGUAUAAUAUCUAUUUUCUUUUUUAUGUAGACGUGUGUAUCAAGAAGGAGAUUAUGGAUGGAAAUUAAAGGAAGCCUACCGGACGAGGCAAUCCCCAGCAGCCUACAAGCACGCAUCCUAACAAUCCUCGGUUUAUACAACAUCGAGAUACAAACCCUCAAUCACAAUUAUUCAAGUUGAGAUUGCGACAAAAAGUCUCUAGCUACCGCACUGACAGCGGUUUAGUAAAUCCAUCAGCUACUUGAUCUCCAGUUGGAAUGGAACGAAUAUUGAAAAGCUUAUUGGCUACCCUUUCAUGAACAAAGUGAUAGUCAAUUUCAGUAUGCUUGGUCCUAGCAUGAAACACAGGAUUAGCAGAGACAUAAGUAGCACCAAGGUUGUCAUACCAUAACGAGGCUGCCUUUGGAUGAGGAACACCCAACUCAGUUAACAAAUUCUGGACCCAAAUAACUUCAGCACUAGCAUUUGCUAGUGCCUUGUACUCAGCUUUUGUGCUUGAUCGAGAUACAGUAGGUUGCUUACGGGCACUCCAAGAAAUCAAGUUACCACCAAGAAAGACUGCAAGGCCACCUGUGGACCAUCUGUCAUCUGGGCAACCCGUCCAAUCUGCAUCUGAAAAAGCACUAACUAACAUAGAGUCUGAUCUAGCAAGUUUGAGUCCGUAACCUUUUGUUGCUUGAAGAUACCGAAGAAUCCUUUUGACAGCUGUCCAAUGUGAACUAGUAGGAGCAUGGAGAAACUGACAAACCUUAUUGACUGAAAAGGAAAUAUCUGGUCUAGUAAGGGUCAAGUAUUGCAAUGCUCCUACAACACGGCGAUACCUUGUGGAAUCAAUGACACCAAGUAACUCUCCAUCAUGGAUUGAUAGUUUUCAGAGGUGGACAAGGGUGUAGGUGUGUUGGAAAUAUGCCCUAGAGGCAAUAAUAAUUAGUUAUUAUUAUAUUUCUUUCUUCAUGAUAAUCGUUUAUUAUCCAUGCUAUAAUUGUAUUGAUUGGAAACACAAUAGUUGUGUGGAUACAUAGACAAAACACUGUCCCUAGUAAGCCUCUAGUUGACUAGCUCGUUGAUCAAAGAUGGUCAAGGUUUCCUGGCCAUAGGCAAGUGUUGUUACUUGAUAACGGGAUCACAUCAUUAGGAGAAUCAUGUGAUGGACUAGACCCAAACUAAUAGACGUAGCAUGUUGAUCGUGUCAUUUUGUUGCUACUGUUUUCUGCGUGUCAAGUAUUUGUUCCUAUGACCAUGAGAUCAUAUAACUCACUGACACCGGAGGAAUGCUUUGUGUUUAUCAAACGUCGCAACGUAACUGGGUGACUAUAAAUAUGCUCUACAGGUAUCUCCGAAGGUGUUCGUUGAGUUAGUAUGGAUCAAGACUGGGAUUUGUCACUCCGUAUGACGGAGAGGUAUCUCGGGGCCCACUCGGUAAUACAACAUCACACACAAGCCUUGCAAGCAAUGUGACUUAGUGUAAGUUGCGGGAUCUUGUAUUACGGAACGAGUAAAGAGACUUGCCGGUAAACGAGAUUGAAAUAGGUAUGCGGAUACUGACGAUCAAAUCUCGGGCAAGUAACAUACCGAAGGACAAAGGGAAUGACAUACGGGAUUAUAUGAAUCCUUGGCACUGAGGUUCAAACGAUAAGAUCUUCGUAGAAUAUGUAGGAUCCAAUAUAGACAUCCAGGUCCCGCUAUUGGAUAUUGACCGAGGAGUCUCUCGGGUCAUGUCUACAUAGUUCUCGAACCCGCGGGGUCUGCACACUUAAGGUUCGACGUUGUUUUAUGCGUAUUUGAGUUAUAUGGUUGGUUACCGAAUGUUGUUCGGAGUCCCGAAUGAGAUCACGGACGUCACGAGGGUUUCCGGAAUGGUCCGGAAACGAAGAUUGAUAUAUAGGAUGACCUCAUUUGGUUACCGGAAGGUUUUCGUGCAUUACCGGAAAAGUUUCGGGCUCAUCGGUAGUGUACUGGGAGUGCCGGGAGGAGUGCCGAGGACUAUCAGGAGGGGUGUCACGCCCCAAGGGGUCUCAUGGGCUAUGGGAAGAGAUAAACCAGCCCCUAGUGGGCUGGAAUAAGUUCCCACUAAGGCCCAUAAGGUUUGAGAAGGAAAAAACACAAGGUGGAAAGAGUUUCCAAGUGGGAAGGUGGAAUCCUACUCCAAGUAGGAUUGGAGUAGGACUCCUCCACCUCCAGUUUCAGCCAAACCUUUAGUUUUUGAGGCUGCCUCCUCCCCUCCCUCCCUCCUAUAUAUAGUGGGGUUUUAGGGCUGAUUUGAGACAACUUUUGCCACGGCAGCCCGACCACAUACCUCCACGGUUUUACCUCUAGAUCGCAUUUCUGCGGAGCUCGGGCGGAGCCCUGCUGAGAUUAGAUCACCACCAACCUCCGGAGCGCUGUCACGCUGCCGGAGAACUCAUCUACCUCUCCGUCUCUCUUGCUGGAUCAAGAAGGCCGAGAUCAUCAUCGAGCUGUACGUGUGCUGAACGCGGAGGUGCCGUCCGUUCGGCACUAAAUCGGAGCGGAUCGUGGGACGGAUCGCGGGACGGUUCGUGGGACGGUUCGCGGGGCGGUUCGAGGGACGUGAGGACGUUCCACUACAUCAACCACAUUUCUUAACGCUUCUGCUGUGCGAUCCACAAGGGUACGUAGAUCGGAAAUCCCCUCUCAUAGAUGGACAUCACCAUGAUAGGUCUUUGUGCGCGUAGGAACAUUUUUGUUUCCCAUGCGACGUUCCCCAUCAGUGGCAUCAUGAGCUAGGUUCAUGCGUAGAUGUCUUCUCGAAUAGAACACAAAAGUUUUUGUGGGCGGUGAUGUGCGUUUUGCUGCCCUCCUUAGUCUUUUCUUGAUUCCGCGGUAUUGUUGGAUCGAAGCGGCUCGGACCGACAUUACUCGUACGCUUACGAGAGACUGGUUUCAUCGCUACGAGUAACUCCGUUGCUCAAAGAUGACCGGCGAGUGUCAGUUUCUCCAACUUUAGUUGAAUUGGAUUUGACCGAGGAGGUCCUUGGAUGAGUUUAAAUAGCAAUUCAUAUAUCUCCGUUGUGAUGUUUGCGUAAGUAAGAUGCGAUCCUACUAGAUACCCAUGGUCACCACGUAAAACAUGCAACAACAAUUAGAGGACGUCUAACUUGUUUUUGCAGGUAUGCUUGUGAUGUGAUAUGGCCAACGAUGUGAUGUGAUAUAUUGGAUGCAUGAGAUGAUCAUGUUGUAAUAGUUAAUAUUGACUUGCACGUCGAUGGUACGGCAACCGGCAGGAGCCAUAGGGUUGUCUUUAAACUAACGUUUGUGCUUGCAGAUGUAUUUACUAUAUUGCUAGGACGUAGCUUUAGUAGUAAUAGCAUGAGUAGCACGACAACCCCGAUGGCGACACGUUGAUGGAGAUCAUGAUGAUGGAGAUCAUGGUGUGACGCCGGUGACAAGAAGAUCGUGCCGGUGCUUUGGUGAUGGAGAUCAAGAAGCACAUGAUGAUGGCCAUAUCAUGUCACUUAUGAAUUGCAUGUGAUGUUAAUCCUUUAUGCACCAUAUCUUGCUUAGAACGACGGUAGCAUUAUGAGGUGAUCUCUCACUAAAAUUUCAAGACGAAAUUGUGUUCUCCCCGACUGUGCAACGUUGCGACAGUUCUUCGUUUUGAGACACCACGUGAUGAUCGGGUGUGAUAGACUCAACGUUCACAUACAACAGGUGCAAAACAGUUGCACACGCGGAACACUCGGGUUAAGCUUGACGAGCCUAGCAUGUGCAGACAUGGCCUCGGAACACAUGAGACCGAAAGGUCGAGCAUGAAUCGUAUAGUUGAUAUGAUUAGCAUAGAGAUGCUUACCACUGAAACUAUUCUCGACUCACGUGAUGAUCGGACUUGAGAUAGUGGAUUUGAAUCAUGUACCACUCAAAUGACUAGAGAGAUGUACUUUUUGAGUGGGAGUUCUUAAGUAAUAUGAUUAAUUGAACUAAUUGUCAUGAACAUAGUCUAAUGGUCUUUGUGAAUUACGAUGUAGCUUGCGCUAUAGCUCUACUGUUUUUAUAUGUUCCUAGAGAAAAUUUAGUUGAAAGUUGAUAGUAGCAAACUUUGCAGACUGAGUCUGUAAAACCGAGGAUUGUCCUCGUUGCUGCGCAGAAGGCUUAUGUCCUUAAUGCACCACUCGGUGUGCUGCACCUCGAGCGUCGUUUGUAGAUGUUGUGAACAUCCGACAUACACGUUUCUGAUGACUACACGAUAGUUUAGUGCAAAAUACCUAAUGGCUUAGAAGCAAGGCGCCUUUGAAACGUCACGGAACAUAAGAGAUGUUCUAAAGAGAUGGAAUUGUGAUUUCAUGCUUGUGCCCUUGUUAAGAGGUAUGAGACCUCCGACAAGAUUCUUUGUCCACGAAGUAAAGGAGAAAAUCUCAAUCGUUGAGCGUGUGCUCAGAUUAUCUGAGUACGACAAUCGCUUGAAUCAAGUGGGAGUUGAUCUUCCAGAUAAGAUAGUGAUGGUUCUCCAAAGUCACUGCCACCAAGCUGUGAGAGCUUCGUGAUGAACUAUAACAUAUCAAGGAUAGAUACAAUGAUCCUUGAGCGAUUCGCGAUGUUUGACACUGCAAAAGUAGAAAUCAAGAAGGAGCAUCAAUAGUUGAUGGUUAGUAAACCCACUAAGUUUCGAUAAAGGCAAGGGCUAGAAGGGAUACUUCGUGAAACGGCAAAGCAGUUGCUGCACUAAUGAAGAGACCCCAGAUUAAACCCAAGCCCAGGACUAAGUGCUUCUGUUAUGAGGGGAACGGUCACUGAAGCGGAGCAACUCUAGAUACUUGGUAGAUAAGAAGGCUGGCAAAAGUCGAAAGAAGUAUAUUUGAUAUACAUGAUGUUGAUGUGUACUUUACUAGUACUCCAAGUAGCACGAGGGUAUUGGAUACCGGUUCGGUUGCUAAGUGAUUAGUAACACGAAAUGAAAGCUACGGCAUAAACGGAGACUAGCUAAAGGCGAGGUGACGAUACGUGUUGGAAGUGUUUCCAAGGUUGAUAUGAUCAAACGUCGCACACUCCCCCUACCAUCGGGAUUGGUGUUAAACCUAAAUAAUUGUUAUUUGGUGCUUGCGUUAAGCAUGAACAUGAUUGGAUCGUGUUUAUUGCAAUACGAUUAUUCAUUUAAAGAGAAUAAUGGUUACUCUAUUUGCUUGAAUAAUCACCUUCAAUGGUUUAUUGAAUCUCGAUCGUAGUGUUACACAUGUUCAUGAUAUUGGUGCCAAAAGAUACGAGGUAAUGAUGAUAGUACCACUUACUUGUGGCACUACCGCUUGAGUCAUGUUGGUAUAAAUUGCAUGAAGAGGCUCCAUGCUGAUGGAUCUUUAUACUCACUUGAUUUUGAAUCACUAGUGACAUGCAAAUCAUACCACAUGAGCAAGGCCGUAUUUUCAUUGAGAUGAAACAAGAUAGUAACUUGUUGGAAGUGAUACAUUUUGAUGUAUGCAGUCCAAUAAGUGCUAAGGCACGCAGUGGAUAUCAUUAUGUUCUUACUUCAUAGAUGAUUUGAGUAGAUACAUGAGUAUUUACUUGAUGAAUCACAAGUCUAAAAUGUUGAAAAGUUCAAAGCUAUUUUAGAGUGAAGAUCGUCGUGACAACAUGAUAAACAGUCUACAAUAUGAUCAUAGAGAUGAAUAUCUGAGUUACGAGUUUUGGUACGCAGUUAAGACAAUGUGGAAAUUGUUUCGCAGUUCAUGCCACCUCGAACAUCAUAGUGUGAUGAUGUGUCUGAACGUCAUAGCCACGCACUAUUUGGUAUGGUGCAUGCUAUGAUGUCUCUUAUCGAAUUACCACUAUCGUUUAUGGGUUAUGCAUUAGAGACAUCCGCGUUCACUUUAAAUAGGGCACCGCGUAUUUCCGUUGAGAUGACACAGUAUAGACUGAGGUGUAGAGAAAUCUAAACUGUCGUUUCUUGAAAGUUUGGGGCUUCGACACUUGUGUGAAAAAGUUUCAGUCGAAUAAACUCAAACCCAAAGCGGAUAAAUGCAUCUUCAUAGGAUAUCCAAAACAGUUGGGUACAUCUCCUAUCUCAGAUUCGAAAGCAAAGUGUUUGUUUCUAGAAACGGAUCCUUUCUCGAGGAAAGGUUUCUCUCGAAAGAAUUGAGUGGGAGGGUGGUAGAACUUGAUGAGGUUAUUGAACCAUCACUUCAACCAGUGUGUGGCAGGGCGCAGGAAAUUGUUCAUGUGGCGCCUACACCAAUUGAAGUAUAAGCUCAUGAUGGUGAUCAUCGAGCAUCGGACCAAGUUACUACAAGCCUCGUAGGUUGACAAGGUCGCGUACUACUGCAGAGUGGUACGGUAACCCAGUCUUGGAGGUCAUGUUGUUGAGCAACAGUGAACCUACGAGUUAUGGAGAAAGCAAUGGUGGGCCCGGAUUCUGACAAAUGGCUGGAAGCCAUGAAAUCCGAGAGAGGAUCCAUGUAUGAAAACAAAGUGUAGACUUUGGAAGAACUACUUGAUGGUCAUAGGACUAUUGAGUAAAGAUGGAUCUUUAAAAGGAAGACAGACGAUGGUGAUAAGUCACUAUUAAGAAAAGCUUGACUUAUCGCAAAGAUGUUUCCGACAAGAUCAAACGGUUGACUAUGAUGGGACUUUCUCACUCGUAGCGAUGCCGAAAGUCUGUUAGAAUUAUGUUAGUAGUUGCUGCAUUAUUUAUGAAAUAUUGCACACAUGAUGUCAAAACAUUGUUUCCUCGACGGUUUCCUUGAGCAAACAUUGUGUGUGAUACAACCAGGAGGUUUUGUCGAUCCUAAAGAUACUAGCAAGUAUGCAAGCUCCAGCGAUCCUUCAAUGGACUGGUGCAAGCAUCUCGGAGUUGGAAUAUACACUUUGAUGAGAUGAUCAAAGAUUUUGGGUUUGUACAAGGUUUAUGAGAAACUUGUAUUUCCAAAGAAGUGAGUGGGAGCACUAUAGAAUUUCUGAUAAGUAUAUGUGGUUGACAUAUUGUUGAUCAGAAGUAAUGUAGAAUUUCUGUGAAGCAUAAAAGGUUGUUUGAAAGGAGUUUUUCAAAGGAAUACCUGGAUUGAGCUACUUGAACGUUGAGCAUCAAGAUCUAUGGAGAUAGAUCAAAACGUUUAAUAGAAGUUUCAACAAGACGCAUGCCUUGCCAAGUUUUUGAAGGAAUUUGAAAUAGAUGAGCAAAGAAGGAGUUCUUGACUGUGUUGUAAGGUGUGAAUUUGAGUAAGACUCAAAACCCGACCACGGCAGAAUAAAGAGAAUAGACGAAGGUCAUGUUCUAUGCCUUAGCCGUAGACUCUAAACUAUGCCAUGCUGAGUACCGCACCUGAUGUGUGCCUUGCAGGAAGUCUGUUAAGAGGUACACAGAGUGAUCCAGGAUUGAAUCACUGAUCAGCGGUCAAAGUUAUCCUUAGUAACUAAAUAGACUAAGGAAUUUUUUCUCGAUUAUGGAGGUGGUUAAAGAGUUCGUCGUAAAGGGUUACGUCGAUGCAAGCUUUGACACUAAUCCGAAUAACUAUGAGUAGUGAAACGGAUUCAUAUAGUAGAGUAGAUAUUUGGAGCAUUUCCGAAUAGCACGUAGUAGCAGCAUCUAUAAGAUGACAUAAAGAUUUGUAAAGAAUGCACGGAUCUGAAAAUUUCAAAACCGUUGACUAAAACCUCUCUCACGAGCAAGACGUGAUCAGACCCCAGAACUAUAUGGGUGUUGGAUUCGUUGAAAUCACAUGGUGAUGUGAACUAGAUUAUUGACUCUAGUGCAAGUGGGAGACUAUUGGAAAUAUGCCCUAGAGGCAAUAAUAAUUAGUUAUUAUUAUAUUUCUUUCUUCAUGAUAAUCGUUUAUUAUCCAUGCUAUAAUUGUAUUGAUUGGAAACACAAUAGUUGUGUGGAUACAUAGACAAAACAGUGUCCCUAGUAAGCCUCUAGUUGACUAGCUCGUUGAUCAAAGAUGGUCAAGGUUUCCUGGCCAUAGGCAAGUGUUGUUACUUGAUAACGGGAUCACAUCAUUAGGAGAAUCAUGUGAUGGACUAGACCCAAACUAAUAGACGUAGCAUGUUGAUCGUGUCAUUUUGUUGCUACUGUUUUCUGCGUGUCAAGUAUUUGUUCCUAUGACCAUGAGAUCAUAUAACUCACUGACACCGGAGGAAUGCUUUGUGUGUAUCAAACGUCGCAACGUAACUGGGUGACUAUAAAGAUGCUCUACAGGUAUCUCCGAAGGUGUUCGUUGAGUUGUUUGGAUCAAGACUGGGAUUUGUCACUCCGUAUGACGGAGAGGUAUCUCGGGGCCCACUCGGUAAUACAACAUCACACACAAGCCUUGCAAGCAAUGUGACUUAGUGUAAGUUGCGGGAUCUUGUAUUACGGAACGAGUAAAGAGACUUGCUGGUAAACGAGAUUGAAAUAGGUAUGUGGAUACUGACGAUCGAAUCUCGGGCAAGUAACAUACCGAAGGACAAAGGGAAUGACAUACGGGAUUAUAUGAAUCCUUGGCACUGAGGUUCAAACGAUAAGACCUUCGUAGAAUAUGUAGGAUCCAAUAUGGGCAUCCAGGUCCCACUAUUGGAUAUUGACCGAGGAGUCUCUCGGGUCAUGUCUACAAAGUUCUCGAACCCGCAGGGUCUGCACACUUAAGGUUCGACGUUGUUUUAUGCGUAUUUGAGUUAUAUGGUUGGUUACCGAAGACCUAUCAUGGUGAUGUCCAUCUACGAGAGGGGGUAUUCGAUCUACGUACAUUUGUAGACCGCACAGCGGAAGCGUUAGUGAAUGCGGUUGAUGUAGUGGAACGUCCGCACGUCCCUCGAUCUGCCCCGCGAACCGUCCCGCGAUCAGUCCCACGAUCUAGUGCCGAACGGACGACACCUCCGCGUUCAGCACACGUACAGCUCGACGAUGAUCUCGGCCUUCUUGAUCCAGCAAGAGAGACAACAAGGUAGAUGAGUUCUCCGGCAGCGUGACGGCGCUCCGGAGGUUGGUGGUGAUCUAAUCUCAGCAGGGCUCCGCCCGAGCUCCGCAGAAACGCGAUCUAGAGGUAAAACCGUGGAGAUAUGUGGUCGGGCUGCCGUGGCAAAGUUGUCUCAAAUCAGCCCUAAAACCUCCGUAUAUAUAGGGGGAAGAGGGGGAGCCUUGCCUUGGGGUCCAAGGACCCCCAAGGGGUUCGGCCGAGCCAAGGGGGGCAACCCUCCCCUUCCAAACCGAGUCCAACUAGGUUUGGAAGGAGGAGUCCUUCCCCCUUUUCCCACCUCCUCUUUUUUUUCUCUUUGAUUUUCUUCCUAUGGCGCAUAGGGCCUUCUUGGGCUGUCCCACCAGCCCACUAAGGGCUGGUGCGCCACCCCCAAGGCCUAUGGGCUUCCCCAGGGUGGGUUCCCCCCCCCCCCCCCGGAGAACACCCGGAACCCAUUCAUCAUUCCCGGUACAUUCCCGGUAACUCAGAAAACCUUCCGGUAAUCAAAUGAGGUCAUCCUAUAUAUCAAUCUUCGUUUCCGGACCAUUCCGGAAACCCUCGUGACGUCCGUGAUCUCAUCCGGGACUCCAAAUAACAUUCGGUAACCAACCAUAUAACUCAAAUACGCAUAAAACAACGUCGAACCUUAAGUGUGCAGACCCUGCGGGUUCGAGAACUAUGUAGACAUGACCCGAGAGACUCCUCGGUCAAUAUCCAAUAGCGGGACCUGGAUGCCCAUAUUGGAUCCUACAUAUUCUACAAAGAUCUUAUCGUUUGAACCUCAGAGCCAAGGAUUCAUAUAAUCCCGUAUGUCAUUCCCUUUGUCCUUCGGUAUGUUACUUGCCCGAGAUUCGAUCGUCAGUAUCCGCAUACCUAUUUCAAUCUCGUUUACCGGCAAGUCUCUUUACUCGUUCCGUAAUACAAGAUCUCGCAACUUACACUAAGUCACAUUGCUUGCAAGGCUUGUGUGUGAUGUUGUAUUACCGAGUGGGCCCCGAGAUACCUCUCCGUCACACGGAGUGACAAAUCCCAGUCUCGAUCCAUACUAACUCAACGAACAUCAUCGGAGAUACCUGUAGAGCAUCUUUAUAGUCACCCAGUUACGUUGCGACGUUUGAUACACACAAAGCAUUCCUCCGGUGUCAGUGAGUUAUAUGAUCUCAUGGUCAUAGGAACAAAUAUUUGACACGCAGAAAACAGUAGCAACAAAAUGACACGAUCAAUAUGCUACGUCUAUUAGUUUGGGUCUAGUCCAUCACGUGAUUCUCCUAAUGACGUGAUCCAGUUAUCAAGCAACAACACCUUGUUCAUAAUCAGAAGACCCUGACUAUCUUUGAUUAACUGGCUAGCCAACUAGAGGCUUGCUAGGGACAGUGUUUUGUCUAUGUAUCCACACAUGUAUAUAAGUCUUCAUUCAAUACAAUUAUAGCAUGGAUAAUAAACGAUUAUCUUGAUACAGGAAUUAUAAUAAUAACUAUAUUUAUUAUUGCCUCUAGGGCAUAAUUCCAACAGUCUCCCACUUGCACUAGAGUCAAUAAUCUAGCCCUCACAUCAUCAUGUGAGUUACAUUGUAAUAAAUCUAACACCCAUACAGUUCUGGUGUUGAUCAUGCUUUGCCCGUGGAAGAGGUUUAGUCAGCGGGUCUGCUACAUUCGGAUCCGUGUGCACUUUGCAUAUAUUUACGUCCUCCCCUUCGACGUAGUCGCGGAUGAGGUUGAAGCGUCGUUUGAUGUGUCUGGACUUCUUGUGAAACCGUGGUUCCUUUGCUAGGGCAAUGGCACCCGUGUUGUCACAGAACAAGGUUAUUGGAUUCAGUGCGCUUGGCACUACUCCAAGAUCCGUCAUGAACUGCUUCAUCCAGACACCCUCCUUAGCCGCCUCCGAGGCAGCCAUGUACUCCGCUUCACAUGUAGAAUCUGCUACGACGCUUUGCUUGGAACUGCACCAGCUUACUGCACCCCCAUUAAGAAUAAAUACGUAUCCGGUCUGCGACUUAGAGUCGUCCGGAUCUGUGUCAAAGCUUGCAUCGACGUAACCCUUUACGGCGAGCUCUUCGUCACCUCCAUACAUGAGAAACAUCUCCUUAGUCCUUUUCAGGUACUUCAGGAUAUUCUUGACCGCCGUCCAGUGAUCCACUCCUGGAUUACUCUGGAACCUGCCUGCCAUACUUAUGGCCAAGCUAAUGUCCGGUCUAGUGCACAACAUUGCAUACAUGAUAGAACCUAUGGCUGAAGCAUAGGGGACGGUGCUCAUAUGCUCUCUAUCCUCAUCAGUUGCUGGGCACUGAGUCUUACUCAAUCUUGUACCUUGUAAAACUGGCAAGAACCCUUUCUUGGACUGUUCCAUUUUGAACCUCUUCAAAACUUUAUCAAGGUAUGUGCUUUGUGAAAGUCCUAUCAGGUGUUUUGAUCUAUCCCUGUAGAUCUUAAUGCCUAGAAUGUAAGCAGCUUCUCCUAGGUCCUUCAUAGAGAAACUUUUAUUCAAGUAAUCCUUUAUGCUCUCCAAAAACUCUACGUUGUUUCCAAUUAGCAAUAUGUCAUCCACAUAUAAUAUUAGAAACGCCACAGAGCUCCCACUCACUUUCUUGUAAAUACAAGAUUCUCCAACCACUUGUAUAAACCCAAAUGCUUUGAUCACCUCAUCAAAGCGUUUGUUCCAACUCCGAGAUGCUUGCACCAGCCCAUAAAUGGAUCGCUGGAGCUUGCACACCUUGUUAGCAUUCUUAGGAUCGACAAAACCUUCGGGUUGCAUCAUAUACAACUCUUCCUUAAGGAAACCGUUAAGGAACGCCGUUUUGACAUCCAUCUGCCAGAUUUCAUAAUCGAAUAAUGCAGCUAUUGCUAACAUGAUUCUGACGGACUUAAGCAUCGCUACGGGUGAGAAUGUCUCAUCGUAGUCAACUCCUUGAACUUGUGAAAAACCCUUUGCCACAAGUCGAGCUUUAUAAACGGUCACAUUGCCGUCAGCGUUCGUCUUCUUCUUAAAGAUCCAUUUGUUCUGAAUAGCCUUGCGGCCCUCAGGUAGUACUUCCAAAGCCCAUACUUUGUUCUCAUACAUGGAUCUUAUCUCGGACUUCAUGGCCUCUAGCCAUUUGUUGGAAUCUGGGCCCACCAUUGCUUCUUCAUAAUUUGCAGGUUCAUUGUUGUCUAACAACAUGAUUGACAUGACGGGAUUACCGUACCACUCUGGAGCAGCACGUGGUCUCGUCGACCUGCGUGGUUCGACAGGAACUUGAACCGGAGUUUCAUGAUCAUCAUCAUUAACUUCCUCCUCAACCGGCGUCGCAAUGACAGAGGUUUCCCCUUGCCCUGCGCCACCAUCUAGAGGGAUGAGAGGUUCGACAACCUCAUCAAGUUCUAUCUUCCUCCCACUCAAUUCUCUCGAGAGAAACUCCUUCUCGAGAAAAACUCCGUUUUUAGCAACAAACACUUUGCCCACGCAUUUGAGAUAGAAGGUGUACCCAACUGUCUCUUUUGGGUAACCUAUGAAGAUGCACUUUUCCGCUUUGGGUUCCAGCUUUUCAGGCUGAAGCUUUUUGACAUAAGCAUCACAUCCCCAAACUUUAAGAAACGACAACUUUGGCCUUUUGCCAUACCACAGUUCGUAUGGUGUCGUCUCAACGGAUUUUGAUGGUGCCCUAUUUAAAGUGAAUGCAGUUGUUUCUAAUGCAUAACCCCAAAACAAUAACGGCAAAUCGGUAAGAGACAUCAUAGAUCGCACCAUCUCUAAUAAAGUACGAUUACGACGUUCGGACACACCAUUACGUUGUGGUGUUCCAGGCGGUGUCAACUGUGAAACAAUUCCACAUUGUCUUAAGUGAGCACCAAACUCGAAACUCAGAUAUUCACCCCCACGAUCAGACCGUAGGAACUUGAUCUUCUUGUUAUGAUGAUUUUCAACUUCACUCUGAAAUUGCUUGAACUUUUCAAAUGUUUCAGACUUGUGCUUCAUUAAGUAGACAUAACCAUAUCUACUCAAAUCGUCAGUGAAGGUGAGAAAAUAACGAUAUCCGCCGCGUGCCUCUACGCUCAUCGGACCACACACAUCGGUAUGUAUGAUUUCCAACAAGUCACUUGCACGCUCCAUUGUUUCGGAGAACGGAGUUUUAGUCAUCUUGCCCAUGAGGCAUGGUUCGCACGUGUCAAGUGAAUCAAAGGCAAGUGACUCCAAAAGUCCAUCGGCAUGGAAUUUCUUCAUGCGCUUUACACCAAUAUGACCUUAACGGCAGUGCCACAAAAAUAUGGCGCUAUCAUUGUUAACUCUAAUUCUUUUGGUCUCAAUGUUAUGUAUGUGUGUAUCACUAUCAAGAUUUAAUAUGAACAAUCCUCUCACAUUGGGUGCAUGACCAUAAAAGAUGUUACUCGUAGAAAUAGAACAACCAUUAUUCUCUGACUUAAAAGAGUAACCGUCUCACAAUAAACAAGAUCCAGAUAUAAUGUUCAUGCUCAACGCAGGCACUAAAUAACAAUGAUUCAAGUUGAUAACUAAUCCUGAUGGUAACUGAAGUGAAACUGUGCCGACGGCGAUUGCAUCAACCUUGGAACCAUUUCCUACGCACAUCGUCACUUCAUCUUUCGCCAGCCUUCGUCUAUUCCUCAGUUCCUGUUUCGAGUUGCAAAUAUGAGCAACAGAACCGGUAUCGAAUACCCAGGCACUACUAUGAGAGCCGGUUAGGUACACAUCAAUAACAUGUAUAUCAAAUAUACCUGAUUUUUCUUUGGCCGCCUUCUUAUCAGCCAGAUACUUGGGGCAGUUGCGCUUCCAGUGACCCAUACCCUUGCAAUAGUAACACUCUGUUUCAGGCUUAGGUCCAGCUUUGGGUUUCUUCGUCGGAUUGGCAACAGGCUUGCCGCUCUUCUUUGAAUUACCCUUCUUGCCUUUGCCGUUUCUCUUGAAACUAGUGGUCUUAUUCACCAUCAACACUUGAUGCUCUUUACGGAGUUCAGACUCUGCGACUUUCAGCAUCGCAAACAACUCGCCGGUUGACUUGUUCAUCCCUUGCAUGUUGUAGUUCAACACAAAGCCUUUAUAGCUUGGCGGCAGUGAUUGAAGGAUUUUGUCAGUAUAGCCUCUUGCGGGAGUUCAAUCCCCAGCUCAGCUAGACGGUUUGAGUACCCAGACAUUUUGAGCACAUGUUCACUGACAGACGAGUUCUCCUCCAUCUUGCAAGCAUAGAAUUUAUCGAAGGUCUCAUACCUCUCGAUCCGGGCGUUCUUCUGAAAGAUGAACUUCAACUCCUGGAACAUCUCAAAUGCUCCAUGACGCUCAAAGCGACGUUGAAGUCCCGGUUCUAAGCCAUACAAGACUGCACAUUGAACUAUUGAGUAGUCCUCCUUACGUGUUAACCAAGCGUUCUUAACAUCCUGGUCAGCCGUAGCGGGUGGUUCAUCUCCUAGCGCAGCAUUAAGGACAUAAUCCUUCUUCCCAGCUUGUAAGAUUAGCUUAAGAUUACGAGCCCAGUCUACAAAGUUGCUUCCAUCAUCUUUCAACUUAGCUUUCUCUAGGAACGUAUUAAAAUUCAGGGUGUCUGUCGCGUGAGCCAUGAUCUACAACACAAAUAUAUUCAAAGUGGACUUAGACUAUGUUCAAGAUAAUUAGAGUUUAACUUAAUCAAAUUACUCGCUAAACUCCCACUCAAAAAGUACAUCUCUCUUAGUCAUUUGAGUGGUUCAUGAUCCACUUACACUAGCUCAAGUCCGAUCAUCACGUGAGUUGAGUAUAGUUUCAGUGGUAAGCAUCCCUAUGCUAAUCAUAUCAUCUAUAUGAUUCAUGAUCGACCUUUCGGUCUCAUGUGUUCCGAGGCCAUGUCUGCACAUGCUAGACUCGUCAAGCUUAACCCGAGUGUUCCGCGUGUGCAACUGUUUUGCACCUGUUGUAUGUGAACGUUGAGUCUAUCACACCCGAUCAUCACGUGGUCUCUCAAAACGAAGAACUGUCGCAACGGUGCACAGUCGGGGAGAACACAAUUUCGUCUUGAAAUUUUAGUGAGAGAUCACCCUAUAAUGCUACCGUUGUUCUAAGCAAGAUAUGGUGCAUAAAGGAUUAACAUCACAUGCAAUUCAUAAGUGACAUGAUAUGGCCAUCAUCACGUGCUCCUUGAUCUCCAUCAGCAAAGCACCGACACGAUCUUCUUGUCACCGGCGCCACACCAUGAUCUCCAUCAACGUGUCGCCAUCGGGGUUGUCGUGCUACUCAUGCUAUUACUACUAAAGCUACAUCCUAGCAAAAUAGUAAACGCAUCUGCAAGCACAAACGUUAGUUUAAAGACAACCCUAUGGCUCCUGCCGGUUGCCGUACCAUCGACGUGCAAGUCGAUAUUAUCUAUUACAACAUGAUCAUCUCAUACAUCCAAUAUAUCACAUCACAUCGUUGGCCAUAUCACAUCACAAGUAUACCCUGCAAAAACAAGUUAGACCUCCUCUAAUUUUGUUGUUGCAUGUUUUACGUGGUGACCAUGGGUAUCUAGUAGGAUCGCAUCUUACUUACGCAAACACCACAACGGAGAUAUAUGAAUUGCUAUUUAACCUUAUACAAGGACCUCCUCGGUCAAAUCCGAUUCAACUAAAGUUGGAGAAACUGACACUUGCCACUCAUGUUUGAGCAACGGGGUUACUCGUAGCGAUGAAACCAGUCUCUCGUAAGCGUACGAGUAAUGUUGGUCCAAGCCGCUUCAAUCCAACAAUACCGCGGAAUCAAGAAAAGACAAAGGAGGGUAGCAAAACGCACAUCACCGUCCAUAAAAACUUUUAUGUUCUACUCGAGAAGACAUCUACGCAUGAACCUAACUCAUGAUGCCACUCUUGGGAAACGUCGCAUGGGAAACAAAAAUUUUCCUAUGCAGAAAUAGACCGGCACGCAGGGCUAGGCAUGCAGCAGGUCUACACGUGAUGUUUGACGAGACAACACAUGGUGUGUGCAUGCGACCACCAGCAUCACUGAGACAUUCCCAUGCGCCACACGUUCUUCAUAGGUGUCUCAUUAAUUUCAGCUUUGUUGGCUUGGCUCCCCACGAAUCGUCUGUGAGCGGGCGCUGGAGCAUCGUUUCCUUCUUCUUUGUAAAGCAGUGAAAGUGACAGAAUGAUGGAAACAUUGUUUUCAUUGAUGAAGAUGUGGGUAUUUAUACCCGUGUUACAGAGGUGGUUUACAAGGAACGGUUGCCAAAACAAGGCAACCGGCAACGCAGGGAUUAUCCCAUUAAUUAAUACAUUUAAUUAAUUCCUAACACUCCCCCUAAUCCAUGAUUGUCUUUGUAAAUGUGCAUCAUCUUGAUAAAUAAUAAUCCUUGUAAAUUUUUCUCUUUAAGAAUGUUCCUCAUCUUCAUCUUGAAAAAUCGUUGUAUAAUCUUUAAAGUCUCCUCCAAAAACCCUGUGGGAAAAAUAUGAGGAGAAUAGUGUAGAUAUGUUGCUAAAACUCCUUUAAACCCAGUGGGAAAAUAAUAAAGAGAAAAUUGUGCAACAUAUAAUGAUUAUUGCCUCAUGGUAACUCAUUUGAGAAAACCUUUAUAGAGGGAUAAAACUCAUUUUUGAGUUUAGAGUACUUCCUUUAAAAACCCCGAUAGGGAAAAUAGAAAGUAUGAUAUAUGAUCAUUGAUAAGAUAUUGCUUCAUUAAAAACAUUAUGAGAGAAAAUGUCAAAGAAACUCAUAAUGAAAAGAGUGCAAUGAGAUGUGCCAUGAAAAACUCCUUUAAAACCUAGUAGGAAAAAUAUAAGGAGAAAUAUGAUAUGGCAUGCAUCAAUACUUGUAUUUAAUUGUCUCGUUAAAAACCUUAUAUGAGAAACCUGUUGGAAAAACUCAUAAAGUAAAAGAGUACAAUAUUCAUUACCUGAUGAUAAUUAAAGGGUUAUAUUUUCAGGAGAUUUCUCCCCUUGAACUUUGCAAAUCUCUUAAUCGUCUCAUACCAAUUCCAUGAAUGUAUUUCUGGAACGUUGAAUUUGGUAAAGACUUUGUGAACAAAUCUGCUAGAUUGUCACAUGAUUUAGUUUGUAAAAUAUCAAUUUCUCCAUCCUUCUGUAAUGCAUGAGGAUAGAAUAACUUAGGAGAAAUGUGUUUUGUGAUAUUACUUUUCACAUAACCCAUUUGCAUUUGAGCAAUGCAGGCUGCAUUAUCUUCAUAUAUAAUAGUUGGUGAUCCUAAUGAACCAACACCACAUGAAGUUUGAAUAUGGUUAAUCAUCCUGCGAAGCCAUACACAUUCUUUAGAUGCUUCAAAUAAUGCAAUAAUUUCAGAAUGAUUAGUGGAAGUUGCUACGAGAGUCUGUUUUGUUGACUUCCAUGAAAAAGCAGUUCCACCGUAUAAGAAUACGAAACCUGUUUGUGACCUGGCAUUGUGAGGAUCAGAUAGAUAGCCAGCAUCAGUAUAUCCUACCAUAGUCAUAUCUUGGGUUUUCUGAUAGAAUAAGCCAAGAUCUUUUGUGCCAUGUAAAUAUCUAAGGAUAUUCUUUACUCCCGUCGAAUGACGUUUUGUUGGAGCAGCGCUAUGUCUAGCUAGUAAAUUUACUGCAAAUGCAAUAUCAGGCCUGGUGCAAUUUGCAAGGUACAUUAGCGCACCAAUGGCACUGAGAUACGGGAACUCAGGUCCUAAUAUCUCUUCGUCAUCAUCCCGAGGUCUAAAAGGAUCUUUAUUCAUAUCAAGGGAUCUGACAACCAUGGGUGUUUUGGUUGGAUAUGAUUUAUCCAUAUUAAAUUUUUCCAAAACCUUUUGAAUAUAUGCAGGUUGGUAUACUAAAAUUCUGAGGGAAGAUGCUCUAGCUGUAAGCCUAAGCAGAAUUUGGUCUUUCCCAAAUCUUUCAUCUCAAAUUCCGUCAUUAGAUGAUUGCGUGCUUCUUCGAUAUCAGGUGUACUUCCAAUGAUAUUGAGGUCAUCAACGUACACUGAGAUGAUGCAAAAUCCAUUUGAGGAUUUCUUUAUAAAUACACAAGGGCAAUCAUCAUUAUUUGAGUAGCCUUUUUGAAUAAGGAACUCACUCAGUCGGUUAUACCAGAUUCUACCCGACUGUUUUAAGUCAUAUAGUGACUUUUGUAAUUUUACACAAUAUGCGUUGCGAUUUGCUUUUGGAUUCGGCAUUUUAAGUCCUUCAGGGACUUUCAUAUAUAUAUCCGAUUUGAGUGACCCAUAUAAGUAUGUUGUCACUACAUCCAUCAACUGCAUAGAUAAAUUCAUUUGUACUGCCAAAGAUAUUAAGUAUCGAAACGUUAUUCCACUCAUUACAGGAGAGUAUGUAUCAUCGUAAUCGAUGACGGGUCACUGCGUGAACCCUUGUGCUACAAGCCUCGCUUUGUAUCUCACCACCUCAUUGUUUUCAUUCCUUUUUCGAACAAAAACCCAUUUUGCUCCAACAGGGAAGACAUUAUGAGGAGUAGGUAUUACCGAGGAAAAUACCUCUCUUUUGUUCAGCGAGCGCUGUUCUGCCUCAAUUGCUUCCUUCCAUUUAGGCCAAUCAGGACGCUUGAGGCACUCCCUGACGGUCUUUGGUUCUGGAUCCAGUUGAAUGGUUUCAGCAAUUUCAGAGGCGAAAUAUAUGUCGACAAUUGUAGUCUCUCUAUUAUAUGAUUCUCCAGAUUCUGUAUAGUUUAUGGAAAUUUCUUUUAUACCUUCAGACUCUAUGUGAUUUCCCAUAACAAUAGAAUCAUGGUGUUCCGAUGUACCAGCUAUUAUGUUUUUAUGCGCAUUUAUGCUAGGUUCAAGAUGUUGAGCAUCUGGUUGGUGUCCUUCAACUUGAGGUUGAAUUGCAUUUACUGGUAGAGGAUUUGAUUUCCUCUGUUUCCGCGGAGGCUUUUGAGAAGCUAUAUUCCGACUAACCAGAUUUCUCCCCCUCUUACUCUCAUUUGGGGUUUGAGUGGUUUUAGUUGGUACCUCCACUCGUUCUGGUGCAUUAACAGCGGGAAUAUGUGAGUUAGUGACACCUUUAUGGUCAGUAAAUGCAUCUGGCAGAUUAUUUGCAAUGUGUUGCAAAUCUAUGAUCCUCUGAACUUCAGUUUCAGAUUCUUUAGUACGUGGAUCUAAGGACUGAAUGCCUGUUACAUUCUAAUCUAUUUCCUGGCAUUCUUUGUGGUUUGAUUCUCCUCCUAAUGCCGGGAAAUGGUCCUCAUCAAAAAUAGAAUCAGCGUAACGGGCAGUAAACAGGUCCCCUGUAAGAGGUUCAAGAUAUUUAAUAAUUGACGGAGAAUUAUAACCCACAUAGAUCCCUAGUUUUCUGUGGGGGCCCAUGGAUGUACGUUGCGGUGGUGAUAUCGGUACGUAUACUGCGCAACCGAAUUUUCGCAGAUGGGAAAUACUUGGCUGAGUGCCACGUACUAGUUGUAGCGGGGAGGUUGUAUGAUAUGCAGUUGGUCUGAUUUGUAUCAGAUCUGCGGCGUGUAAUACCGCAUGUGCCCAACAAGAUGCUGGUAAAUUACAAUUCUGUAAUAGUGGUCGAGCAACUAAUUUUACUCUUUUGAUGAGAGAUUCAGCCAAACCAUUUUGAGUAUGGACGUAAGGCACAGAGUGUUCUAAAUGAAUGCCCAUAGCCAUGCAGUAGUCAUUGAAUGCACGUGAAGAGAAUUCAGCGGCAUUAUCCAUUUGAAUUGUUUUUAUCCUAUUUUCAGGAUGAUUUGCUCUUAAUUUGAUAAUUUGAGCAAUUAUCUUGGCAAAAGCAUGAUUUCGUGUGGACAAUAGACAUACAUGUGACCAUCUAGUAGAUGCAUCUAUGAGCACCAUGAAAUAUCUAAAAGGUCCUGAUAGUCGUUGAAUUGGACCACAUAUAUCUCCUUGAAUGCGUUCAAGAAAGUUAAGUGACUCACUUUUUACCUUAAGAUAAGAUGGUCUUAUAAUUAAUUUCCAGUUGCACAUGCGGUGCACACAAAAUCUGAUGAUUUUGGGAAAUUUUUAGUUGAAAGGCUGUGACCAAUAGAAUUGUCAAUAAUUUUUCUCAUCAUCCCUACGCCAGGAUGACCUAGGCGAUCAUGCCAAGUCUUGAAUUUAUCAAGGUCUUGAAAAAUUAUUUUGUACGCAACAUGUGAUACGGGUUUUAUAUAACUGUAAUAUAAUCCAGAUGAAAGUGAUGGAAAUUUCUCAAGAAUUUGUUUCUCAGACCCAUUACUCUUUGUUAAAAGCAAAUGUUCAGAAUUAUUUUCAGAUAUUGUUUCCAAAUGGAAGUUAUUUGAUCUGAGGUCUUUAAAACUUAGAAGAAUACGUGUAGAUUCAGGAUACAAUAGUGCAUCCUCAGUUACAAUUGUACUACCCAUAGGUAGAACGAGUGUGGCUCGUCCUGAACCAAUAAUCGACGCAUCGCAACCGGCAAUGGUCAUAAUAUUCCCUUUUCUCUUAGUUAGAGUUUGGAAAUAUUUUAUUUUCCUUAAUAUUGUGUUAGUGGUACAACUGUCCACCAAACAUAUUUCUUCUUCCAUUGGAUUAUUUCCCCGUAAAAUCUUUCUCUUGACUCUCUGUCGCUCUCGGCAGAGCGAGCGCUGAUAACGUGUAAAGCAGUGAAAGUGACAGAAUGAUGGAAACAGUGUUUUCAUUGAUGAAGAUGUGGGUAUUUAUACCCCUGUUACAGAGGCGGUAUACAAGGAACGGUUGCCAAAACAAGGCAACCGGCAACGCAGGGAUUAUCCCAUUAAUUAAUACAUUUAAUUAAUUCCUAACAUUCUUCAUAUGCAUAGAGAGAGGAGCUGGUAUCUGCUCUAAGCAAGGUCACCACCGGAGCUGGUAACUUCUUCACCCUGGUUUUCUGCCGGCGCCGAGCGGAGGGGACAAGCGUGAGGAUGGGGAACGUCCAACCCGGCAUUGCUGUCCACCUGCAAGAGGACGGAUCGUCGUCUUCUUCUUCAUCGGUGUCGACGGAGAGAUCGCUUGUUCGUCGCAGGGCCACCGUUGUGGUGAGCUUUUCUUUUGCUCAGUUGUUCUAGUUGUGCUGUUUAUCUGGCUCUAAUAUGCUAUCCACAUCCAAGAGGACAGUGCAUCGGUCCAGGGUGCAUUUUUUGCGCUCGUGCUAUCAAGGCGGGGUAUUCCUCGACGCAACUACGGGCUAGAAGGAAAGGUGUGACGGAGCAAGUCGUCGCAGAGGUUCAGGCCGAGCCGCAACAAGACGUGGCUAGUCGGGUUGUUGAGAAGGGAUCAAACACUCUAGGGAGUGCCCCUGCGAUGCAAGCAGCAGUGGAAGGAACAGCAGAUUCGUCUCCAGGUCCGGAAUCAAGAGGCACGGCCAGAGCAUGGACGGGAGCCGUGGGUGCCGGCGCGGUGUCAGCAGAGAUGGACGCCGUCCGCUCACCUACGGGUCGCCGCGACUUCUUUGAUCAUCUCAAGCAUGCGAGACAUGAAGAUCCUGAGGCCGUUCGUGCAACUCGCGAUGCCAAGUGCAAGAGACUAUCUUCUUCAGAUGCAGACUCGCAUGUUGUGUCAAAGCGGCAGGACACGGCACAGGAUCAUGAGCAGGCGGCUGAGGGCGGUGUAGAACGGAUCGACCCCGACGUCGGGUUUUUUCAUGGCGGCCGUCUGCGUCAGCGUUUCUGUGUUGAAGUUCAUGCUGGCGGGUUGCUUGAGCUUAGAUUUCCAGCAAAAAUAGCUGACAUUAUACUUGUUUCAGCUCCAAGGAUCGUGCGGAUUAGCACCGCAGGCAAUCACACGUAUAAGGUGAGGAUGAGCAAGGACGUCGGAGGUGCAACAGUGUUCGACUACGGGUGGAACGAUUUUGCAGCUCGUCGCGGGAUUGAGGAAGGAGACAAGCUCAUGUUCGUUGUAUAUGGUGAAGGACAAUGGGAGCUGUCUGUCUUUGGCGUCGACGGAUGCGAGAAGCUACUGGAUGUCGCCGGUGAUGUGCUAUAAGGAAGUACCAUUGGCGUAUGAGUCCACACUGAUCAAUGGAGAACAUCCGUCUUCAUUUUGAUUGCUCUUCUCAGCAUUACCAAUGUCUUGUGAUGUAUGCUUGGUUCAGGAAGACAUGAAGUCUUGCUAUUUUAGAAACUGUGUAGGGAGGACCAAGUCCAUUUUUUUUGGACCCCGAUAAGUGCCACAUGUCAGGUACGAGCACAAUAUGACUUUGAAUUUUUUUAUGACAAAUUUAGUGAUGCGAGGGGCAACUUUUGUGCUUCAGUUUAUUUUUGACAGAAACUUGCCAUGUGUGACUGGAAUUUCCAUCGAAAAAUGUCAAGGACGGAGAUCAAGACUUACCAUUUUGGUUUUUUAUUUCUUUAGCAAUUUUUUUAUUUUCAUUUUUAGGGAACGGACCAAGUCCUUGUAUUCCUUCGCGUGUUAUAGGCCCAUCUUGUGGUUUCUGGUCUUUUUAAUUUUUUUUGGCCAGGCCGCUUGAAAGAAAGUGGUCUGUGUAGGUUCACACCCAAUUUCAACCUGGUUUUCUAGUUCUCCCAAAUAUAUUAUCAGCACGCAUAUUUUUUUAAUAAUACCUAUUGUCGCAAUGAUUCUUUUUCAGAAGAAGUAGCACUGCGCAUUACAUUAUUCUUCAUUUCUACAGAAGGGCGAACACACAAAUAGAAAUUAAAUAAAUCCAAUGAAUUCNNNNNNNNNNNNNNNNNNNNNNNNNNNNNNNNNNNNNNNNNNNNNNNNNNNNNNNNNNNNNNNNNNNNNNNNNNNNNNNNNNNNNNNNNNNNNNNNNNNNACGGCCGGUGGGCCAUGGUCAAUGAGUGCAAACAACAAUAGCAACCACAUGGGAUGAAUCAUGGAUAGAUAGCAGCUACAUCAAUGUUGCUGUCAUCCCGUUGUCAAGUGUCUCCUAGCUUCCUUUAGCCUAGUUCAAGUUAGUUGCGGAUACCUUCAACCUAGUGGCAUGCCAAGAAUGGUAAUCUGGUCCAAGAACCUGCCUAUAACUGGACAAUAACAAGUAUAAAAAAAUUCUGUUAGCAUGAACCAAACUGGGAUGAGAUAAGAAAAGGGUGUGUCCUACAAACUCUGCUUACCCAAGAAUCAAUCGUGUGGUAGCAUGUGAUCUAGUGGCAGGCAAAAGUUGUUAACUUUUUUUUUAAAUGAAAAGUUGUUAACUUGGUAGUACCAACAAACCAAAAACUAAAUAUUUUUUGUUAGAACCAACCAAACUGGGAUUAGACAAGGAAAAGGGCUGUCUUGUCUGCUUACCCCAUAGUUAGGUACACUAUUUAUUUGCUAUCAAUGAUUGAUACCUAGGAUUCUUUGCUGAAUAAUCAAUUAUUGUCAAUGGGUAAUUAAUGUUUUAUUUUGUGAUUGUUGCAGUCGACCCCUCGCACGGUGGUGCUGGACACUAAGACAGGAAGCAACCUCCUUCAGUGGCCGGUGGACGAGGUGGAGACGCUCCGGACCAACUCCACUGACCUUGGCGGCGUCACCAUUAGACCGCGGCUCCGUCUUUUGCACUCAACCUUCANNNNNNNNNNNNNNNNNNNNNNNNNNNNNNNNNNNNNNNNNNNNNNNNNNNNNNNNNNNNNNNNNNNNNNNNNNNNNNNNNNNNNNNNNNNNNNNNNNNNAAAUUGUAGAUCACUUUUUGUAAAUUAAGAGUGUGUAAUUAUUUUUUUCCGUUGCAACGCACGGGUCCUUUUGCUAGUUAGUAAGAUUACCCUCUUCCUCUCUCUCGCACUGGGAUGGAUCCGACCAGUUAAUCAUCCCAGCUGCGGUAUUUUCUACUUACCAAUAACCAUUGUUAUCUUUUAUAUACUUCAAUUGCUAUAAUUUUGUGCAUAAGCUAAACUUCCAUUAUCUAAUUCUCAUCGUGUAUGUGUAUCGUUUUUACAUAAUACUAUAUAUGCAUGCUCAACUAGCCAAGUUAAGAAAAAGCUUGAUUGGUGAUGCAUGAGAAUUUGCGUGUACAUCCACUAGUGGUGUACUGUGUGUAUUAUUCAUUAAUAUGGAGUAUCGCUAGUUUAGAAAUUUGUUUGUAUUAUUUAUUAAUAUGGAGUAUAGCUAGUUUCUCCCGGAAAAAAACGAGUAUAGCUAGUUUACAAUUUUGAACCGAUGUACCUUCCCAUAUGCAUAUAGGUUAUCAAGGUGGACAUGAUUAACACGACUAUUGAAGAGAUUCUUAAUAAACCUUUUAUACAUGGCGAACGCUAGGUGAAGGACAAUGGGCUCUCGGCAUCUUCCGUCCUACAAGGUGUAGCAAAAUGCCCACAAUGUCAGAUGAGCCGUCGACAAGGUUGACAAGGCCUUGUCAAAUCCCACGUCAUAUUUUUUAGAAAAAGAGGGUUACCUCCAGCCUCUGCAUCAGCACGAUGCAUACGGCCCCUUUAUUGCAAAAAAGAAACGGUUCAUAUAGUCUCCGAUAGUACAAUAAAUCUGAGAUAAAAAGGAAAAGAGCCACAACCGGCCAAAAUAGAGCUAGAUGCCUAUCCAUCUAUCCUAUUACUGGACUGUCAUCCAAACCGGUUGAAGAUAUCCCGCGAUACCAUCUCCCAUCGGAUAGACCCAGUAACCAAAGGCUCCCUGGUGUCCGCAGGGGUGAGUAAUGACCACGUACGGAUCAAGGCCGCCGCUCUGUGAAGUACCUGUAGAAAUUGUAUAUUGAUACAUCUGUUAAAAACCACAUCAGUCCUGCAAUUCCAUAUAGCCCAAAGAAGUGCACAAACUCCUAUACGAAUUUGUUUUGCAAUCGUCUUGUCAACUCCAUGAAACCACGUUCCAAAUAACGUGUCGAUGCUAUCUGGAGGCCUUAUGUUAAAGGCUAUAUGAAUUGUGUGCCACAUAAGUCUGGCAAGUGGACAUAGGAGAAAGAGGUGUGUAAUAUUCUCAUUAUUAUCACAGAAGCUACAUUUAGUGCUACCGCCCCCCCCCUCCCAAUUUCGUUUAGCCAAAUUAUCCUUAGUGAGGAUCACCCUCUUGUGUACAAACCACAUGAAGACUUUGAUCCUUAAGGGAACUUUGACUUUCCAAAUAUUAAUAGAUUUGGGGAUGAUGGUAGUGUCUAUAAGAUCAAGAUACAUUGGUUUUACCAAAUAAACUCCGUUAUUCGUGAGCUUCCAAUGUACCCUAUCCGAUUCAUGUGAUAAUUGGACAUCCAUGAGUCUCCUCACCAAGUGGAGCCAGUCAUCCCAACGGUGCCCUAUCACAUGUAUAGGGAGAAUUUCACUUCCCGGCCUCUGCACCAACUAGGGAUGCAUACAGCCAGAUUAGUAUGAAUACCAAGCGCAUGCCCAACCACUGAGCCAAGGCUCUCUUUGCAAUAAAUCUCAUGUUUGAAAUGGCAAGUAUAUUGUGGCAAGCAAGACAAUUCCCUUCAUCAAGAAUGAAAAAUCAUGACAAAAAGCUAACCCUAGCAAGGAUUUGCCAUGAUUGCUGAAAGAAAUUGUCAUGCUCGCGACAACAUAACUUCAAAUCCUAGAUGUUAAAUUUGUCAUGCUUAUAAAUAUGAGAUCUGAUUUGUAGCAAAAUCAGAUUAAUAAAGCUCGAUAUUUUCCCCUAAACAAUAUUCCGCAUACAACGCAUGGAAUAGGAGGACUUGGUCCGUCCGCAACUUCUAAUUAGCAAGAGCUUAUGUCCUAAUCCAAAAUGCCAUGUUCAGUUACAGUUUUUUAUGUUUUUGCAUCAACCAAUGGUGUUUUCAGGAUCCAGAUCCACCAGUUGGAGUCUAGGCUUGGGAGAUUUUUCCUAUUUUUGAAGAUCACCAGGUACAAUUUAAAUUGGAACCAGGAAUGCAUCAUCCAUGAUCCAUCACAGAACUAGGGUUCAAAAAAGAAAAUGAGAAACAUAGUAGAGAGCAGGUGGCUGAUUCCUCCGCGUCACCGGCUUCUUCAGCGGUGGCUGAUUUAUUAGAUUUCAGUGCAUGUGCGUAUUCUUGUUCCUUGCUAUGAUCUGCACAUGAUUUCUAGCUAGCUUUGCCUGCUUGCUUUGCUUGCACUCGAGACAGGGCACAACAAGACCACAGACAUACCCGCCAGAUAACUAGUUUAGAAUAGUANNNNNNNNNNNNNNNNNNNNNNNNNNNNNNNNNNNNNNNNNNNNNNNNNNNNNNNNNNNNNNNNNNNNNNNNNNNNNNNNNNNNNNNNNNNNNNNNNNNNAAACACAUACUCAUAAACAACAACACAUUCUGGAUGUUGGCUAGUURGGGGRUUUAUGUACUUAUAAUACGUCUAAUAUAUGGGAUAAAUAAUAUUUAAUGCCUAAUUUCUAGAUUAUAUGCGGGUAUAUGGGUACACGGGUAUGGGGUUAUACUAAACCAUACCCUACCCACUAUACCCCGAUGGGUAUUGAAAAUUUUCCAUUUAUGUACCCACGUGUAUUUGUUUGGCUCAUACCCUUGCCUUAAUAGAAUUUUUAUCCACAAGGUACACGAGUGAUGGGUACCCAUUGCCAUCCCAGCACAGCUUCACAAGUAAAAAAGAAAAAAAUAGUUGUAGCAAUUCAUUUCUUAAAGGUGGUAGCACAAUGUACAUGUGCUUUUAGACGAUGAAAUAAAAUGUCACUUUUAUUGCCUCUGCAUCUUGCAAUUGCACACAAUCAAACUUUAUUCCUGACAACCGGUGACUUACCAUACGUACCAAUUAGAGAAAACCCUGUUCGCCGCAUUUUACGGCAAAUAGGGGAGGCUCCGCUCAACCCCCGGGAAGAUUUGGGCCGGCCCAAUUUGGGUUACCAUCGAUUUUCAAAACCUUCUAAGAGGUUCUUGAACCGGUUUUAAGAUUUUUUAUUGAUUUUUUAAUUUUCUAUAUUUGUUUCUUUCUUUACUUUUUUUUACUUUCUAUUGUUUAUUCUUUUUUAUUUCUUUUUAAGGUUAUUUUAUAAACUAAGUUCAUGUUUGAAAAUAUUUUUAAAAUUUCAAAAAUGUUCUUCUUUCAUAAAAAUGUUCUAAAAUUAAAAUGAUUGCAGUUUUUUCACAACUUAUGAAAAAUGUCAAAACUUGUUCGGAACAUAUUUUAAAUUCCUGAACAAAUUUUGAGAACAGGAACAUAAUAAAACAUGAAAAUGAGAACAUUUUUUAGGAUUACUGGACAUUUAUUAAAACACGAACAUUUUUUAACUUCUAAUCAAAACUUUGUAAUUACUGAAAGAUGUUUUGAAACACGAGUAUUUUUUGAAAUUCCCCGAAACAAUUUUUUUUAACAAANGUUUGAACAAAAACUUCAAAAGGAGAACAUUUUUUUUUAGAAAUUUUUGAAAAACUGAAACAUUUUUAAGAAAAAAAUGAAAAGAAAAGAUAAAAACGCGAAUAUUUUUUUAAAUAUCUNNNNNNNNNNNNNNNNNNNNNNNNNNNNNNNNNNNNNNNNNNNNNNNNNNNNNNNNNNNNNNNNNNNNNNNNNNNNNNNNNNNNNNNNNNNNNNNNNNNNCCAAAAACGGUCUCUGCCACUCGGCAUUGCUUAACCACACACACAUCCUCUCCAUCUUCUAUUGUUUGUCGUCGUCGUUGGUUUAGAGAUGCAGAAAAGGAGGCUUUCGUAUGCGGAAGAGUGUGUAACCACGGAAGGAGUAGAUUACGGCUAGCUGGCUGGCUGCUGGGACCGCCAUGAGACCAGGAGCAGCCCAUCGGUUUCGGCUCGCUGAAUUAUUUGCGGGCCCCUUUUUCUCUCAACAGAAUCUAUGGCUUUACACAUGGCUCCUUUUGUUUUUGGAAAAGGAGGUUAAACUCCCGGCAUCUACAACAGUAUCUUUAUUAAUUAUUUCAUAAAUGUCUGACAAGAACAUACAACAAUUUAUUCGAAGUCGUCACUCAUACCUACAAACUCGAUAAUGUAGAGUGCUUUCACUCACCAUAUCUAAAAUCGGUGUCAUCGGCAAUCCAUCCACAUAACGUAUCGGAACCAUCAGCCGGUGCAACAAACCUAAAGUGCAAACCAAAUGCACAUUUUUUAGAGUUCGCCAUCAUCAUCAUACCAUUUAUCCAUCUUCAGGAGAGAGAUCCGCACUAUCUUUGUCAGGCCNNNNNNNNNNNNNNNNNNNNNNNNNNNNNNNNNNNNNNNNNNNNNNNNNNNNNNNNNNNNNNNNNNNNNNNNNNNNNNNNNNNNNNNNNNNNNNNNNNNNGGUAGAUGAGUUCUCCGGCAGCGUGACGGCGCUCCGGAGGUUGGUGGUGAUCUAAUCUCAGCAGGGCUCCGCCCGAGCUCCGCAGAAACGCGAUCUAGAGGUAAAACCGUGGAGAUAUGUGGUCGGGCUGCCGUGGCAAAGUUGUCUCAAAUCAGCCCUAAAACCUCCGUAUAUAUAGGGGGAAGAGGGGGAGCCUUGCCUUGGGGUCCAAGGACCCCCAAGGGGUUCGGCCGAGCCAAGGGGGGCAACCCUCCCCUUCCAAACCGAGUCCAACUAGGUUUGGAAGGAGGAGUCCUUCCCCCUUUUCCCACCUCCUCUUUUUUCUCUUUGAUUUUCUUCCUAUGGCGCAUAGGGCCUUCUUGGGCUGUCCCACCAGCCCACUAAGGGCUGGUGCGCCACCCCCAAGGCCUAUGGGGCUUCCCCAGGGUGGGUUCCCCCCCCCCCCCGGAGAACACCCGGAACCCAUUCAUCAUUCCCGGUACAUUCCCGGUAACUCAGAAAACCUUCCGGUAAUCAAAUGAGGUCAUCCUAUAUAUCAAUCUUCGCCGUACAUUACCGGAACCCUCGUGACGUCCGUGAUCUCANNNNNNNNNNNNNNNNNNNNNNNNNNNNNNNNNNNNNNNNNNNNNNNNNNNNNNNNNNNNNNNNNNNNNNNNNNNNNNNNNNNNNNNNNNNNNNNNNNNNCUGACAUGUCAUCUAGUAAAGUGUAAGGAGGAGCAAAAGUGCAUGGAUGCGUGUACUGACCGAAUGGCGCACGUCAAGGCGGAGCGAAAAAUUGGCGCCUCUCAUGGCCAGGGGUUGGGUUCGACAAAUUUUUGGGCCGCUUGAAUUAGGUGGAGUGGAUAAAUACCGACCCCUAGGAUAAUAUUAUUGCCAUGUCGAUGUUGAUGGGUCGAUAAUACCGCAAGAAUUGUUAGAGCAAAUACAAUAGAGUUGAGUCAGUUGGCUAUAAAGAAUACAGUAGUAUAUAUAUUUUCUUAGUUGAAGAAAAAARGAGAAGAAAGAAGGUAUGCGGCCUCUUAGUUAAGAACUAGCUUUAGUACGUGCUCCUAAACAUUUUGUGAGAAUAAAUGGUGGACCAUAUAAUUAAAAAGUAGUAUACUCUUUUAACCAAAUAUUAUACAUGUUAGUUAUAAGAUGAACUAUAAGUGACAUGUCAAUGCCUUAACCAUGCUCUUAUGGUGUUAAGUUUAUGCAAAAGGACAUAUAUCGAUCAUAUAUGGGUAGCCUAGGACAGUGACACACAUGGGCCUGCAUUUUCGAUGGUGCGGAUCUCUCUUCAUCCCUGGUUAUAGUUCACCUAUCGAUUCACAUAUUUGUUUUGUUUUUUCUUUUUCAAAUGAAUGGGUCGUUUUGUGCAUGUUACACGUACCUAGCUAGUAUUCGUCCCACGCCAUUGCUUCUUGUCGUCCGCAUCAUGCACGAUCAAAUGCANNNNNNNNNNNNNNNNNNNNNNNNNNNNNNNNNNNNNNNNNNNNNNNNNNNNNNNNNNNNNNNNNNNNNNNNNNNNNNNNNNNNNNNNNNNNNNNNNNNNGUUUAGUUGUGUGUUCGAUGCUUCUAUAAAGGAAUAAUAGUGUUGUGCUCAAUGCUAGAUAAUUCUUCUAGAAAAAAUCAUUUCGAAUUCACAUGUAUUCGCAAUAGAUUAGCUAGUUUGGUUGAUGGAUAGUUUAUUUUUCAUUGUCCCAGGACACUAGAUACUGUAGAUGCUAAGUUCAUGUGAUUUCAUCUGAAAAUACAGUUCCCUGGAAAAUAAAUCUAAAAAACUUUUCGCAUGCAAACCUAAGUAGUGUCUACAGCUAGNGUCGCCGAAGCAUUUUGCAAGCCAGCAGUUUAACGGGAACAAAGAUACAUGCGUGAGUAGAACUCAAAAAUUUGAUUCGAUGAACGGAUACUAGAAUUUGCACGAACUCGCAGAAAGUAUAUAUUAUUUUUUCCUUUUCUAUUUCGUGCCAUGUCCAGUUACAGAGUAUGUUGCAUCAAUAUGUGGUGUCGCAGCACCGGCAAGGCUGAUAGCCUGGACCAAACUGACAUCUCGAUGUAUAUAGCCAUAUCUUACAAUGUAGAUUCAUUCUUUUUGCUUUAUAUGUUAUCCGUAACAGAAUUUUUUAAAAAGACUUAUGUUUAGAAACAGAGGAAGCAUGUGCAUUUUCUCCAUGCAUGUGCUGAUGAUUACAUUGCCAGCGAGCUGGCGCCCGAGACUGGGCACAAGACACAAGUCCACAUACAUAUCUGUCAGUUACUUAGUUUAGAAUAGUGUAUUAUUGGCGAACAAUUAUCGCAGAGAAUCUACACCANNNNNNNNNNNNNNNNNNNNNNNNNNNNNNNNNNNNNNNNNNNNNNNNNNNNNNNNNNNNNNNNNNNNNNNNNNNNNNNNNNNNNNNNNNNNNNNNNNNNACCAUUGUAAUUCAUGUGCAAUAGACAUGGCAACUUUUAACCCAACAAAAGUCAUACGCAUAUUGAUAUGAGAUCUGGUUUUUGAAGAUCUCUACGCGAUGGAUUUAAUGGUGAAAACGGAUCUUUAAUUGGAUUUUUUCAUUGAAGAGAUAAAACAUUUUAAAAACUGGAAUAAAAAAAGAUCCUCACAUGCAUGCAUGCGGUAACGUGACGCAAUAUAUGUGUUAUAGGUGUAUGGGCGGAUGUUUCUCCCACCACACGUGUGAGCAUUAUUACAACCCUAAAAAAAAAUUCUUAUUCCGUCAUGCUAUUUUAUGGAAAACCCAUUGAUGUUUCUGAUAAACCCGUAAUACAUCUAUACUUAUACUAAUUUUUGACUCCCCAAAAAUUACCACGUUAAUUAGAAAUUACCAGCCGUUUAUCUGGUGGGGCCGAAUUAUAACGAUGGAGAUCAAUCAAUGAAAUCCUUGGCAAAAAAGUUGUCCAUCUGAUCAUGAUAUUAACUAUCUACAACCGUUGGUUGAGGUUUAAGAGUCCUCACCCAAUGUCCCACGUCCUCUCUACAGAUCUAUUCUACCAAUGCACUCCAAGCUGUCAAAAAGAAAAAUAUCCAACGAGUUUUGACAACUACUCCAUACAACUGUCCGAUGGGUGCUAGGGAAAAUCUGGAAUUUAUUAUCACAAGAUUGUAGCCUUUCCAUCACGUACAUAGUCUUUUCUUUUCACAUAGCGACGUUACCCAGUGCUCCAGCCCUUGUUCUUCAUCCUUUUCAACUGCGUGUGUCUUCAUCUGGGCUGCAGGUCCAUCCGGCAACCACCGCAUCCAAUUGCAAUAUUAGUAAAUCUCUAAAAAACAUAGUUUUCUAUUUCAGUUUGUAUUUUUCUAAAGCAGAAAAUUUUAAUGCUUCUCAUCCGACUUUGUAUGAUAUCUGUUUCCUUGUAGUAGGGUCCAUGAUUUACAUUCAUUUACUGCCGGCAUCGUCCGCUUCAACGAAUUCAUUGGCAACCGGAACUCUCAUCCGACUUUGUAUGAUAUCNNNNNNNNNNNNNNNNNNNNNNNNNNNNNNNNNNNNNNNNNNNNNNNNNNNNNNNNNNNNNNNNNNNNNNNNNNNNNNNNNNNNNNNNNNNNNNNNNNNNCAGCCCGCCGGUCUAAAUCCUAAGCACAAAGGGUUCGUGGGCCCAGUUCCCCUUCACGCUCCUGCACGUGGCGUGGGCGGCCGACGUCAGUCCUAGCAUCCCUUAAUCACAAGCGCGAUGCAUCUCGGGACCACUCGGGCGCGCGCCGCUACAUUGCUGGCAUCUGAAAAGCUUCGAAUGAUACCGCGACGCCGAGUACCCAUAAUUCUUCCCGCGUAGCCGGUUAGUGCGAAAAGGUCUCCGACCAACCCAGAUCAAAUACCCAAAUCCAUUAGCAUAAUUAGGCCAGCAACACAGUCUCACGGGAAUCCACCCGUCUUACAACUAAUCACCAAUGAUCCCAGUAACAUGGUCGAGUAACUUUGUGGUUGUAACAUCGGGGGGAAUCCGAGGUAUCACCCUCGUUGGAUUCCGAACGAUGUACCCGUCAAGGUGGGCUUAGAGGAAUCACCCUCGGGGGUCCCACACUCGCGGGGUGGCACGAUAGAGACGUCAUCGGGAAUGGUGAAAGAGGAAUCAUCCUCGAUAACCAUGACCGACUAGCUAUACUACAGAGAUAUCAUCAGGAGUACUUAGUGAGGUGUCACCCUCGGUACCCGAUAGUAUCUCUGUAGCGUCGUACAACAAAAGGGGGGUGAACGUGUUGUGUCGGGUCUGGCUCGUCGAUCAGAGAUCGAGACUUGAAAACAAGCGAGGCAACUGGACUACGGGGUCAGAGGGGAGGCGACUGCUCCACCUAUACUAGGCAGAUUAAAAGGUACAGGACUGAAAGUAGCAGUUCAUCAAAAACAGGCUAUGCAUCAGAUAUAGGAGCUAACUACAACAGUAGCAAAAAUACUAAUGCAAGCAGUAGGAAGAAAGACAUAGACGAUAUAGGAAUGAUCAAGGGGAGUUUGCUUGCCUUGCUGCUCUGCGGCAAAGGACUGAUCGGCAGGGUCGUAGAUGUACCCGGCAGCAGCGUCAGUCUCGGGGUCUACCGGUAAGAAGAGGGGGAAGAAACAAUAAAUAAUAGCACCGAUGCAACACAAAGCAUGACAUGGCAAGAUGCAGGCUAGACAUGAGCUAACACAGCAACAUCCGUCAUAGACGGGUCGGAAGAAUAUCUGACGAUANCCGGGUUCUCGGGCUACUACCGGUUAUACUGGAAACGAAGAAAAUGUUCCAUGUUUGCUAUGCUAGGGACGCGUGACAGACGAAUGGACCGUGUAUCCGGGUUCGUCUCGCUUUGCUGAUCAACUUUCAUGUUGAAAUUAUUUCGAUCUGACUUACGGAUUAUUUAAUAUUAAUUUUCAAAGUUUUAUUAAUUAUUUAGGAAUUAAAAACAGNNNNNNNNNNNNNNNNNNNNNNNNNNNNNNNNNNNNNNNNNNNNNNNNNNNNNNNNNNNNNNNNNNNNNNNNNNNNNNNNNNNNNNNNNNNNNNNNNNNNCUUCAUUAUCAUCCAUUUUGCCACGUCAAAACAGAUCACAUCAGCCAGAAUAUUUUUGGUUUUCGGCUUAAAAUGUUUUAUCUCCUAUUAAAAAUCCAACUAAAAUUUUGUUUUUACUAUUAAAUCCGUUUCGACGAGAUCUUCAAAACUAGAUUCUAUGUUGAUAUGCUUCGAUGAAAAAAAAAUUUGGCCAAAAGUUGUCAUGAUGUUUACACAGUGGUUGUCAUAGUGUUUACACUAAAAUUGCCAUGACAUGUUCUAUCUAUUUGUUUUCUUCUAUAUUUAAAGUUACCGUUAUAUUUCAACUACUUUUUAGGCAAUUUUUAUUUAUUGACCAUGGUAACUUUUGGUAAUUAAACACGGAAAAUUUAUUGCAUGGAUCAUGACAAUUUUUAGUGAUCCAUCAUGGCCAUGUCAAAAUUUACUUUUAAAGGUAGAAGAAAAAUAGUUGAAACAUAUCAUGACAAAUUCAGUGUAAACACUAUGACAAUUCAUGUAUAAUAUACAUGGCAGCUUUUAAUCCAAAAAGUCGUCGAAACAUAUUGAUACGAGAUCUACUUUCGGAGAUCUCGUCGUGAUGGAUUUAAUGGUGAAAACGGAUCUUCAAUCGAAUUUUUCAUUUAAAAGAUAAAACAUUUUAAAACUAGAAUUCAAAAAAUUCCCACAUGCAUGCAUGCGGUAACGUGACUGCAAUCUGUGUGUUAUAAUCGUGUGGGCGGAUGUUACUCCCACCACACGUGUGGGCGUUAUCAGGACCCAUCUUUUUCUAUUUUUGGCUUAAAAAUGUUUUAUGUCCUAAUUAAUAAAUCCAAUUUAAAAUUUGUUUUCACCAUUAAAUCCUUCUCGACGAGAUCUUCAAAACUAGAUCCUAUGUUGAUAUGUUUUGAUGAAAAAAAUUGGCCAAAAGUUGUGUUGUUUACGCUGCAGUUGCCAUAGUGUUUACAUUAAAGUUGCCAUGACAUGUUUUAUUUAUUUUCUUCUAGAUUUAAAGCUACCGUUAUAUUUUCAACUACUUUUAUGGUAAUUUUUAAUUGACCAUGGCAAUUUUAUUAAUUAUCCAUUGCUAAUUUAAUGCAUGGAUCAUGGCAAUUCUUAGUACUUCAUGAAAAUUACUUUUAAAUGUAGAAGAAAAAAAUACCUGAAACAAGCAUAGCAACAUUAGUGUAAACACCAUUGUAAUUCAUGUGCAAUAGACAUGGCAACUUUUAACCCAACAAAAGUCAUCGAAACAUANNNNNNNNNNNNNNNNNNNNNNNNNNNNNNNNNNNNNNNNNNNNNNNNNNNNNNNNNNNNNNNNNNNNNNNNNNNNNNNNNNNNNNNNNNNNNNNNNNNNCGUGUAGUGGUUGCAGAGCGGGCGGCUCAUAGCGAGCGGGAGCCGGCAAACCGGUGGGCUCAGGUGGUGUUUCUUUGCCCAGAGACUAACUAAAAUUCCCUUUUAGUCCCUAGAUAAAGAAACAUAAGGGACUUUUCCUUAAGGAAUUAAAAGACUCUAUUGAACAGACUUUUUCUUUAGUCCCUGAGACUAAAAAGUACUAGUCCCUGGGAAAAACGCCACCUCACUCGCGAAGCGCUUCGCGGUCAAUAUCGUGCGAGUUAUGAUGGGCGUAGCCGGUGCCAAACGGGGCCGGCACGGUAUGGUCCGUGCAGGCACGAACAUUAGCUCGGUCGUGCCGUUUUGAUUCACGUGCGCAGCUUCUAGACCCAAGCACGACACUGAACCUAUACAGACCGAUUCGUCGGCACGCUAAGCUCGUUGUUUAUUAGGCAUUUGGUUUUGAGAUCGUUUUAGACUGAUUUUGGUCUAUUAGGCUAUUAUAUAUAUGUAAUUUAAAAMYAAAAUAAAAACUAUAAAUGGGUCGUGCCGUGCUGGCUCGCGUGUCCAGCCUUCAGGCCCAGGCACGGCUCGAGGCGAACUGCGGACACGGCCCGAUUAGUCUUUGUCGUGCCUGGCUCGUAACGUGUGUCGGUCCGUCAUGCUUCUAGACCGCCCAGAAAGCAUGGCAUGUUUGGCCAGGACUGGGCGUAGCACUUGGGCCCAUAUCGACUGGGCGUAGCACUUGGGCCCAUAUCGCGUUAACGCAUGGGCAUGGGCUUCGAGUAAAAAAAAUAGAUCUGAUCAUAAACUCAAAUUUCAUCGGAUCCCAGCAAACACAAUAAAAAAGACUCACAUCAUAUGGAUCUUCAAAAGACCAUUGUAUUGAUAAUUAAGAAAGAGAGAGGAAGUCAUCUAGUUAAUAACUACGGACCCGUAGGUCUACAAAGAACUACUCACGCAUUAUCGGAGAGGCACCAAUGGACAUGAUGAACCCCUUCGUGAUGGUGUCUAGAUUGGAUCUGGUGUUUUUGUACUCUUCGGCGGCUGGAAUUGAUUUUCGUCCCCCUCCUUAGGGUUUCNNNNNNNNNNNNNNNNNNNNNNNNNNNNNNNNNNNNNNNNNNNNNNNNNNNNNNNNNNNNNNNNNNNNNNNNNNNNNNNNNNNNNNNNNNNNNNNNNNNNUUCUAGAUUAUAUGCGGGUAUAUGGGUACACGGGUAUGGGUUAUACUAAACCAUACCCUACCCACUAUACCCGAUGGGUAUUGAAAAUUUUCCAUUUAUGUACCCACGUGUAUUUGUUUGGCUCAUACCCUUGCCUUAAUAGAAUUUUUAUCCACAAGGUACACGAGUGAUGGGUACCCAUUGCCAUCCCAGCACAGCUUCACAGUAAAAAGAAAAAUGUUGUAGCAAUUCAUUUUCUUAAAGGUGGUAGCACAAUGUACAUGUGCUUUUAGACGAUGAAAUAAAAUGUCACUUUUAUUGCCUCUGCAUCUUGCAAUUGCACACAAUCAAACUUUAUUCCUGACAACCGGUGACUUACCAUACGUACCAAUUAGAGAAAACCCUGUUCGCCGCAUUUUACGGCAAAUAGGGGAGGCUCCGCUCAACCCCCGGGAAGAUUUGGGCCGGCCCAAUUUGGGUUACCAUCGAUUUUCAAAACCUUCUAAGAGGUUCUUGAACCGGUUUUAAGAUUUUUUAUUGAUUUUUAAUUUUCUAUAUUUGUUUCUUUCUUUACUUUUUUUACUUUCUAUUGUUUAUUCUUUUUUAUUUCUUUUAAGGUUAUUUUAUAAACUAAGUUCAUGUUUNNNNNNNNNNNNNNNNNNNNNNNNNNNNNNNNNNNNNNNNNNNNNNNNNNNNNNNNNNNNNNNNNNNNNNNNNNNNNNNNNNNNNNNNNNNNNNNNNNNNAGGGAGGACCAAGUCCAUUUUUUUUGGACCCCGAUAAGUGCCACAUGUCAGGUACGAGCACAAUAUGACUUUGAAUUUUUUUAUGACAAAUUUAGUGAUGCGAGGGGCAACUUUUGUGCUUCAGUUUAUUUUUGACAGAAACUUGCCAUGUGUGACUGGAAUUUCCAUCGAAAAAUGUCAAGGACGGAGAUCAAGACUUACCAUUUUGGUUUUUUUAUUUCUUUAGCAAWUUUUUUAUUUUCWAUUUUUAGGGAACGGACCAAGUCCUUGUAUUCCUUCGCGUGUUAUAGGCCCAUCUUGUGGUUUCUGGUCUUUUUAAUUUUUUUGGCCAGGCCGCUUGAAAGAAAGUGGUCUGUGUAGGUUCACACCCAAUUUCAACCUGGUUUUCUAGUUCUCCCAAAUAUAUUAUCAGCACGCAUAUUUUUUAAUAAUACCUAUUGUCGCAAUGAUUCUUUUUCAGAAGAAGUAGCACUGCGCAUUACAUUAUUCUUCAUUUCUACAGAAGGGCGAACACACAAAUAGAAAUUAAAUAAAUCCAAUGAAUUCNNNNNNNNNNNNNNNNNNNNNNNNNNNNNNNNNNNNNNNNNNNNNNNNNNNNNNNNNNNNNNNNNNNNNNNNNNNNNNNNNNNNNNNNNNNNNNNNNNNNAUUCGAGUAUUUGCGGCCCGCCGGCAAACGCGUGAUCUGAAUACCCGCGAUGCGGCUACUUAACCACACCUAUGAUGGAUUAAUUGACAUGUUUUUGGUUACGGCUGGUGCAAUACAAGUUGAAGCUUUUACAUCAAGCAUUGAUGGAGUCCGCUGCUACGUUAUGGCUGGCACAAUAUGAGCGCCGCAAGAAUGGCAUGGUUUUGAUGCAACAGGGUCAGGCUAGCUAUGUAUUGGGAGGCUACGACGAAUCUGACGAAGACCGAACCGGAAGGACUACAUCAUAUACACCAAGGAGGCCGUGGCUAGCUAACCUCACCGUUGUUUAUUUUUUUGCGAUGAUAACCUCACCUUUUUUUGCUGACAUACACUAGUGGGAACAAGGUCUAUAGCCCCGGCCCGUAAGGGGUUUUAGUCCCGGUUCACCAACCGGGACUAAAGGGGCGAGACUAAAGGCCUAACCUUUAGUCCCGGCCCUGUUCCAAGCAGGGACCAAAGGUGCUCCACGUGGGCGUCUCGGAGCGUCCUCAGGGGCAGGCCCUUUAGUCCCGGGUCUUAACACGGACCGGGACUAAAGAGUUUCUGCAGAUUUAUUWUAKKKUKKKAGGGUUUUUAAGGUUUAGGUGUUCGGGAGAUUAACGUGAUGCCUCGUUUGGUGUUCGGGAAUUAGUUUUCAUAUAAUUCUAAAUAGAAAUAAUUAUGCAUAUAUAUAUAAGAUUAAGUUAUNNNNNNNNNNNNNNNNNNNNNNNNNNNNNNNNNNNNNNNNNNNNNNNNNNNNNNNNNNNNNNNNNNNNNNNNNNNNNNNNNNNNNNNNNNNNNNNNNNNNUUUUGAAGAUCUCUACGCGAUGGAUUUAAUGGUGAAAACGGAUCUUUAAUUGGAUUUUUCAUUGAAGAGAUAAAACAUUUUAAAAACUGGAAUAAAAAAAGAUCCUCACAUGCAUGCAUGCGGUAACGUGACGCAAUAUAUGUGUUAUAGGUGUAUGGGCGGAUGUUUCUCCCACCACACGUGUGAGCAUUAUUACAACCCUAAAAAAAUUCUUAUUCCGUCAUGCUAUUUUAUGGAAAACCCAUUGAUGUUUCUGAUAUUAAACCCGUAAUACAUCUAUACUUAUACUAAUUUUUGACUCCCCAAAAAUUACCACGUUAAUUAGAAAUUACCAGCCGUUUAUCUGGUGGGGCCGAAUUAUAACGAUGGAGAUCAAUCAAUGAAAUCCUUGGCAAAAAAAAGUUGUCCAUCUGAUCAUGAUAUUAACUAUCUACAACCGUUGGUUGAGGAAGUAGUCCUCACCCAAUGUCCCACGUCCUCUCUACAGAUCUAUUCUACCAAUGCACUCCAAGCUGUCAAAAAAAGAAAAAUAUCCAAACGAGUUUUUGACAACUACUCCAUACAACUGUCCGAUGGGUGCUAGGGAAAAUCUGGAAUUNNNNNNNNNNNNNNNNNNNNNNNNNNNNNNNNNNNNNNNNNNNNNNNNNNNNNNNNNNNNNNNNNNNNNNNNNNNNNNNNNNNNNNNNNNNNNNNNNNNNCAACACUAAAACAAGUUAUCCAUAGCCCAUUAUACUCAAUCAUUGAUCCAUUCAUGAAACACACUCGAAUAUUAGCUACACCCAAAGCUCAAAUACGAUCAUAGUGCCCCUUAGUUGGUGCUUUAUGAGAGAAGAUGAAGACUCAAAUUCAAAAUAAAAAUUGCAUAAGUAAAAGAAAGGCCCUUCGCAAAGGGAAGUAGGGAUUUGUUGAGGUGCCAGAGCUCAAAGAGAAAAUUGAGAAAUAAAAACAUUUUGAGAGGCAUACUUUUCCCACCAACGAAAACGACUUAGAGCUCCCAACACUUUUCAUGCUAGAUACAUCAUAGGCGGUUUCCAAACAGAAAAUAAAGUUUUUUUCCACCAUUACUUUCACUUUCCAUGGCUUGUCCGUAUCCACGGAUGCCCUCCAUACCAACACUUUCCAAGGAAUUUAUUAUUUGACAACAAAAAGUAUUUUUUUAUUUCGGGACUGGACAUCCCUAAUACCUUUUGUCGUACUCUCGUGCAAUGACAAGUGAAUAAGCACUCAACGUGAAAAUAACACAUCUAGCAUGAAAAAUAUUGGCCACCCCUCACCGCCUCGCGAGCAGUKGAGCACACAAAAGAGAAAUUUAUUUURGAAAAUUAGAGACGGCACAUGCAAAUUUGCUAAGAACGGCAUAGAAAUACUGCAUAUAGGUAGGUAUAGUGGACUCAUAUGAUAAAACUGGUUUAAAGGAUUUUUGGAUGCACAACUAGUGNNNNNNNNNNNNNNNNNNNNNNNNNNNNNNNNNNNNNNNNNNNNNNNNNNNNNNNNNNNNNNNNNNNNNNNNNNNNNNNNNNNNNNNNNNNNNNNNNNNNGGCAUGUGGACUGCAAAUCAGUGAGAGCGUGAGGUUACCAAGGAUGCUCAUGAUAAUAAGAUUCUGGAUCUUCUCCACCACUCACCUGACGGCUGGAAUUAUUGGCCACCAGCAGCGUGGAUCUAGUAUCCGCCUACUCCAUGGGUGCUGUCAUGGAUACCUGUUCUUGCCUUAUGCAUGCAUGUUGGUUGGUGUGCUUGGUGUUUUAGAAAGGAAAAUAAAGUAGCACCCCAACCGGCUUAGUCAGAAUUUCAUGUAGUUUGCACAACUUCACCGUGUUCUCUUCAUGAAACUACAUGAAAGUUUGCAUAUGAAGCUAGUUGUUCAUAUGCAAACCUUUGUAGCGUCUACUACAUGCUAGUUUAUCGGAAGUCUGUAUUUCGUGAAACCCAAUUAAUCAGCAAAGAAAAGAAAAAGACACAUGAUCACAACCGGUUUGUGUGGUUCCUGCCUUGCUAUUGUUGUCCACAAACAAAACUGAAUCAUUGCCACGUCGAACAAUGCAUUAUUGCACAUGCAUUAGUUGCUUCCAAGUUUGCUCCAAAAGAGGUUAUAAUCGACAAAAGACAAAUAGACACAACCUGAGAGUCAACAAGGUAACAACACACACACACACCCAUGUGUGCAUGCCAAGCGGAUGCAUGGUUCAUUCUUAACCUUGUUGAGUUAUCCACACUACAUACAUAUUGAUCCACACGUCUAUACGUGUUGAUAUGUGGCGGGUAAGUGGGCAACAUCACACAAAAACGAGCAUAGGUGGUGUAAAAAACUAUAAGCUGGCUGCCAAGCAGUAGAGUUUGCCAUGUCAACUAGUAUUAUGACUGACUGCAAUAAUAUGUUGCCAUUUGUCACACGUCGCCUUGUCGGCGUUGAGCUCCAAGCAUCGAGGUUACAACGCCCAUGUGCGUUCAUUUCUAUGGCCAACUUUUCAUCGCAUUGGUAGAUAACUACGGCCGGUAGCCUCUUCACAUGACUUCCUAAUCAUUGGUAGAUAUAUCAACUAUAGCCACUUGUUAUGUUGCGCGAGCACGCAACGUUUUGUGUGCCCACCGCCAAAAGAGAAAUGACAUCUCACAUGGCAUGGAUCUUAUAGAGCGACACGUGGAGAGAGCCACGUCUAGAAGUUUGGAUUUCAUGGAUGGGCCGGGUUUGAGANNNNNNNNNNNNNNNNNNNNNNNNNNNNNNNNNNNNNNNNNNNNNNNNNNNNNNNNNNNNNNNNNNNNNNNNNNNNNNNNNNNNNNNNNNNNNNNNNNNNCGGACGGGGUCAUUGGAUGGAUCGUGAACCGAAAUCAAUGGGAUGAUUCUAUGUCCACAAAGAAAUGCUUACAAGAACACCUAUGGCAUGAGUUAUGGAGCUUUACCAGGCGAUUGUCGUCAUGAUUUCGGAGUGUGCAUGUAUGUCGUCUGCUCAACAAGCUGCCACACACGUUUCCCUAAAAAACAAGCUGCCACAUGACUCUCGCAGCACUGCCAAGACCGAGUACGCCGGCCAGAAGGUCUGGAGGAGGCAGAUGAACAGCGACCCAGCAGUGUUCCUCGUACCAUGGGCUCCAACGCAACACCAUGUUGGAGAUUAGAAACUACUCCCUCUGUCUUAAAAUAACUGUCUUAACUUUGUACUACCUCUAGUGCAAAGUUGUACUAAGCUUAUGACACUUAUUUUAGAACGGAGGUAGUACCUUUUGGUGGAAAGGUUUGAGGGUGAAGAGGUUUGAGGACUAAUGCUUCGUGGGGACAAGUACUAGGAAAUCAAAAGAUUUGAGGUCAUAGUGGCAUCGCACAGGGUUGUGAUGCAUGUGAAAUUUCCGUCACGGUUUUUCCCUCUACACGGUAUUAGGAUAGAAUCACAUGCUAAUUGUACCGGGUAAUCGACCACUAAUCGGGAACACGAUCCACGUUCCAAAAUAAAGUCCCGAAGAUGUAUACCCCCACGCCGCACCUCCUCCAGGAAGGGUGGCGAGCCACAACCCCGUUCCUCGUUCCACAACCCGAGCGACCCACAUUCCCUGACAAUCAUGGCUAAAACAUGGAAAUAAAAUUUUUUACAAACAAAAUACAUGAGAAAGCAGAUUCCAUGGAACCAAAAAGCAGGCCCCACAAAUAAUGCAGCAAACCGAAACCGAUGGUGUUUUUGUCGGACCCACCUACCUUACUCUCCUAUGACCUUUCUUAUUAUCUGCNNNNNNNNNNNNNNNNNNNNNNNNNNNNNNNNNNNNNNNNNNNNNNNNNNNNNNNNNNNNNNNNNNNNNNNNNNNNNNNNNNNNNNNNNNNNNNNNNNNNUUUUUAACUUCUAAUCAAAACUUUGUAAUUACUGAAAGAUGUUUUGAAACACGAGUAUUUUUUGAAAUUCCCGAAACAAUUUUUUAACAAAUUUGUGAACAAAACUUCAAAGGAGAACAUUUUUUGAAAUUUUGAAAACUGAAACAUUUUAGAAAAAAUGAAAGAAAAGAUAAAAACGCGAAUAUUUUUAAAUAUCUGAGCUUUUGAUGAAAAAAUAAAAUGAAUUCAAAAACGGAAAGAAAAUAGAAAAAAAGAAAACAAAAAACGAAAAGCGUUUAGAUCUCUAAGACUUUAGUGAUCUACUCUUAGUGAUCCAAACACUGAUAUUGUUUUUUACAGAGGGAGUAUUUUAUUGUUUUUAGAAUGUUCUAGUAUUAGUGUAUUAUGUUGUCAAUUUCCAAUGUCAGUAUGAUAAACCAUGUUAUUAUUGUUCACACGAGACUUCAAUUCUGGGUCAUGUACAUAUUUGUCGGUUGAGAUAUACAUAACAAGGAUUGUCAUGAUACAUGAGUGACUUUUACUUUUCAUGACCAAUUCUUAUUUUACUCUUAAGAUUUUGUAAGGAAAAAUAAGCCACAUUGGGACAUCAAUGCAGUUAAUCCGUAUUUCNNNNNNNNNNNNNNNNNNNNNNNNNNNNNNNNNNNNNNNNNNNNNNNNNNNNNNNNNNNNNNNNNNNNNNNNNNNNNNNNNNNNNNNNNNNNNNNNNNNNAAAACAUUAAUUACCCAUUGACAAUAAUUGAUUAUUCAGCAAAGAAUCCUAGGUAUCAAUCAUUGAUAGCAAAUAAAUAGUGUACCUAACUAUGGGGUAAGCAGACAAGACAGCCCUUUUCCUUGUCUAAUCCCAGUUUGGUUGGUUCUAACAAAAAUAUUUAGUUUUUGGUUUGUUGGUACUACCAAGUUAACAACUUUUCAUUUAAAAAAAAGUUAACAACUUUUGCCUGCCACUAGAUCACAUGCUACCACACGAUUGAUUCUUGGGUAAGCAGAGUUUGUAGGACACACCCUUUUCUUAUCUCAUCCCAGUUUGGUUCAUGCUAACAGAAUUUUUUUACUUGUUAUUGUCCAGUUAUAGGCAGGUUCUUGGACCAGAUUACCAUUCUUGGCAUGCCACUAGGUUGAAGGUAUCCGCAACUAACUUGAACUAGGCUAAAGGAAGCUAGGAGACACUUGACAACGGGAUGACAGCAACAUUGAUGUAGCUGCUAUCUAUCCAUGAUUCAUCCCAUGUGGUUGCUAUUGUUGUUUGCACUCAUUGACCAUGGGCCCACCGGCCGUUGCCAGCAAAGGANNNNNNNNNNNNNNNNNNNNNNNNNNNNNNNNNNNNNNNNNNNNNNNNNNNNNNNNNNNNNNNNNNNNNNNNNNNNNNNNNNNNNNNNNNNNNNNNNNNNUGUCAUCAUCCUCUUGUUCUUCAUUCUUUUCCAUUAGAACCCCUCUUUCUCCGUACUUGGUCCAACAGUCAUAGCCGGACAUGAAACCAGACGUAAACUGGUGGACUUGAAUGACUUUUGGCUUAGAGUAAAUGCUAUCAUAUUAACGACAUAUUUUCUAAUUUUUCUAAUCUUCAAGCGCAUUGCAUCCAUAUUGAUCUUGUUAUCAUCGACAACAUCGGAGACAUACAACUCUAUUUUCAUCUUCUCUUCUUCAAUUCUYUUCAAAAAAAAAUUCAAAUACUCGUUUUCUUUUUCAACUAAAUUUAACUUCUCAACAAGAGGGUCGGUUGAAAAUUUCCGGUUCACAUACCUCCUUGAUAAAAAUAUCUAUGUUAACUUGAUGGGCAUAAUUGUCAUAAACGAGAAAUGCAACAAAUACUUAUAGAAGAGAAUAUACCACAUCCGAAUUAUAAACCGGACGAGGGCCGACGGGAUGGAUAUCAAGACCAUGGCACUAUGUAUAACAAACAAUCAUACAUGUAAGAACACUAUUUAAAUCAUACAAAUAAGAUUUUUGAAUAAAAGGAUAAGAACAAGAGGAUCACCAAGGUGGUGCCGGCGACGGGACGGUGCGGACGAUCGAUGGUGGUUAGGACGGGGACGGGAAGGCACUAAGUAAUCCACAUGUGCAAAAUAAGAAGUUAAUUUAAUCUCAGAUUGCAUAUAAAUCAAAUAAACUCCCACAAAAAUUAUUCCCCAAACUAAAACCACAAAUCACUAUACUUAUAGAGCAUUGCACGAGCUAAUCCAGCAANNNNNNNNNNNNNNNNNNNNNNNNNNNNNNNNNNNNNNNNNNNNNNNNNNNNNNNNNNNNNNNNNNNNNNNNNNNNNNNNNNNNNNNNNNNNNNNNNNNNAAGCUUAGGAUCCCAAUGUGCUGGAAAGACUAAAUGGUCCAGGCCAAAGGCCCGUUUUCUACUAGUGCGGUGGAGUUGAGUUCUCAAAGGGAGCCCUACCAGGGUUUGGGAGUUAUGCGGCGGCACUCAUGACUUGGAGCCGGCUCGGCAUAGCCUACAUCGACAACCAGCGAUGGGGACCCGAAGCGAAUUCCCUGGAAUCAGGCUACAGGGUCCCCUUCGGCAAGAUCAACGUCUUCAUCGGCAUGAUCGGGUCAUCCGUUCCUGAGCCGGACAUCUCCUCUGACAUCGUCGAGCCGGCCAGGUACGUUCAUCCAGUCAUAACACGGAAUCUGACCCGCCCAGUCUUUGUGGGAUUCACGCAGGGGUCGGAGGAGCCGGAACACGCGGCGGCUCAAGGAGUCACCCCCGUCAACUCUGACGACGAGUCAUCCAUGGGCGAUUCAGACUCCAUCCAGCCCCUCCACGGAGACGGCCUCGGAGGCCUGUCAUUGGCCAUGCAUCCGGAAAUCCUCGAUCGAACCCGCCGCCAGAUCGCAAUCUACAUGGCCGGGGCGACUCAACCCGCGCACAAUCCCGCCGGGGGCGAUGGAACCGGCGGGACGUCCAAAAGUGCGUCGGCAAUCUUGGUGGAAUUAGCGGCGGAAAUCACAAGACUAAUGUCAACCCCCCUGACGCCGGAGAACCAAGAAGAGAUAAAUGCGGAGUUAGCAAAAUUGAGGGAGGCGGUGGCGAAGGCCCAUCAGGAUGCUGAGACAGAGUCCGCCAGGAUGGAGACUCGACAAGCCCAGAUUACGGCCGAGAGGAUGCGAUUGAACAUCGACAACUGGCGGCUUGAAAGACAGCAGCGCGCAUCCGACGCCGUCCAUCAACAGAGACACCAGGGACGCCUGCCCCACGAUCUCAAUCCGACUCGCCUGUUCGACACUCCCCAAACACCCGGGAUGGGAGCCGCCCCAGCAGGAGGGUUGGGCCGCCCCCCUAACCCGCCGAUUCAGCCAACCGAGGGUCAAAUCCCUCGGUUCCGUACCCCUCGAGGCCACUUCUCGAACCCGGUGGAUAAUGUGCUUGCCGCCACUCGCCAUCUGGAGUCUCUCCCGAUCCACGGCAACACCCCAGCCGAGAUCGAGGCGAGGAACGCCAUCGAGAUGUUGAAAACGGCGGUGGUCCAAAACGCGCAGUUCUCGCACAGCCCCGAGCGAUUGCAUUCCACCCCCAGGCGAGUUACACCAGGGGCUGGCCGGAGGAUCAGCCAGCCGUAAACAGCGCCCCGCGACAGGACAACCCGCCUGAGCGGGACCCGCCGGGCAGAGGUCCCCCUAACAUUCAAGAGAUUCAGACUCCUCCCGUGGGAACUGGAGGGCGAGUGGGGGUGCCCUGUUUGUCCCUGGCCCUUCAAAACGAAAGGAUGCCCAAGGAUUUCAAAGGACCAAGAAAGGUGCCUAAUUACACACCAGAUCUCGAACCAACGUCUUGGAUCGAGGGCUAUGAGAUCGCCAUGGAUAUGCUCGACGUGAACGAGGCGGUUUGCGCCAGAUAUUUCACCAUGAUGCUCGAAGGAUCGGCACGCACUUGGUUGAAAAACCUACCCCCCCCCCCCAAUUCCAUCCAUUCCUAGGCCGAGUUGAAGGAGCGCUUCAUCAAAAACUUCCGGGGAACCUGCAAACGGCCGAUGACGAUCGUCGACUUACAACACUGCGUGCAACGCCCGGAUGAGUCGGCGCACCAUUGGUCGCGGCGAGUCCCGGAAAUCAUUCAUUCAUCGGAUGGCAUCACGGCAGCACAAGCUAUGCUUAUCCUCGAGCACAACUGCCACUAUGAACCGCUGUUCCAGAAACUGGGGCGACUCAAGCGGAAGGUUCAGGAUAUGGGCGAGCUGAUGGAUACCCUCACUAGGUACGCCGAGGCUGACGAUACCAAGGAUCCCGGCGAGAAUGGUAAAGCUAACUCACCCAAGAAGGGCGACUCGACUAAAAGCCACACCCGCCUCCAAGGCCGGAACCGUCACAACCAGGGGACCAACGGCAAGCGUAGGCCGCAUGAGGAGCCCUCGGAUCUGGUUGCCAACACCAAUGCCAAUGACGGCAAAACGAAGAAUCGAGGCUUCAGUGGGAAAAGACCGCGUAACUACGAAGAGCUACUUAAACGCCCAUGCCCGCACCACGCCACGACCGACGGCCCGGCGGGUCACUCUUGGGAGAACUGCUUCGUGAUGCGAGAAUUUCGGGCCGAGGCAAUCAAGAAGAGCCAGAGCGAAGAUCCGAACCGUCGCCAGGACCAACUCGCCGCACCCAACCAAAGGCACAACCCCUUCGGCGGUUUUCCCGAACAAGAGGCAUAGGGGGGCCCGCAGCCAGGCGGCGGCCAGUACCCGGUGCACCACCACUGGCAGUACAACUCGCCGGGAGUUUUCCAACAGCCGCCCCCACAGGGGGCCCCGCAGGAUCAAGAUGACCAUGGGGGCUUCCGCAAUAAUCCUAAACAGCUAAGUAAUGGGCAAUAUCAUGUUUUUACCACUAAUGCCUGCAGGCACGAUAAAAAGGUACAUCACCGGGCGUUCAGCGUGAUUGAACCGGCAGUUCCCAGAUAUCUCCAUUGGUCAGAGCAGACCAUAACAUGGAGCAGAGAGGAUCACCCGCCACGAAUAGAUAACCCGGGCGACCUGGCAUUGGUCGUGGCUCCCCAAGUGGGGGGAUACACUCUAUCGAAAGUAUUAAUGGAUGGUGGCAGCAGCAUUAAUAUCCUAUACUUCGACACCUUCCGGAGGAUGAAUCUGUUAGAGAAAGACUUGAUGCCUUCAACCACGGUUUUCCACGGCAUCGUCCCGGGCAAGUCGGCCUAUCCCAUAGGCCGGGUUAGGCUCUCAGUAGCGUUCGGAACUGCGCAGAAUUACAGGUCGGAGUCUCUGAUAUUUGAGGUGGUCAAACUAAAAAGCCCGUACCAUGCGUUGUUUGGGCGACCGGCUUACGCUCGGUUCAUGGCCCGCCCGUGCUACGUUUACCUCAAGCUCAAAAUGCCGGGUCCUAAUGGGCCUAUCAAAAUUGAUGGAGAUAGAAGGAUCGCAAAGGAGUGUGAGGAAGGAGACGCGGCCUAUGCGGAAGUCGCCUGCGCGGCAGAAGAACUCAAAAACCACCGGGCUAAUGUUAACCCGGCCGACAUGUCGCCGCUGAAGAAGCCAACUACAGAUUCCGAGUCGCCCCUCAAGUUCAAAGCAACGGAUGACACGAAGACAGUCGACUUCGUCCCUGGCGAUUCAUCCAAGCAGUUUACCAUUGGGACGGGUCUGGACCCCAAAUAGGAAAGCGCGCUCAUCGAAUUCAUCCGUGAGAAUCGGGACAUCUUCGCAUGGAAACCCUCUGACAUGCCGGGUGUACUGAGAGAAUUCGCUGAGCACCAUCUUAAUAUUGACCCAAAAUGCAAACCUAUCCAACAAUACCUUCGCAGGUUUAAUGAGGAGCGACGGAAGGCGAUUGGAGAGGAAGUCGCCCGUCUCUUAGCUGCUGGGUUCAUCGUGGAAGUUUUUCACCCCAAAUGGCUAGCUAACCCGGUGUUAGUACUCAAGAAUAAUGGCACGUUCCGUAUGUGUAUUGAUUAUACGGACCUCAACAGAGCUUGUCCCAAGGAUCCUUUCGCUCUUCCCCGCAUCAACCAAAUUAUCGACUCGGUGGCGGGAUGCGAACGAUUGUGCUUCUUGGACGCCUAUUCAGGCUAUCAUCAGAUCAAAAUGGCUGUGAAAGAUCAGGAGAAGACUGCUUUCAUAACCCCCUUCGGGGCCUUUUGCUAUGUAUCCAUGCCAUUCGGGCUCAAGAGCGCAGGGGCGACUUACCAACGCUGCAUCCAGAAUUGUCUUCAUAGCCAAAUUGGCCGCAACGUCCACGCCUAUGUUGACGACAUUGUGAUCAAAACUCGCCGGGAGGAGACACUUCUCGAGGAUCUUAAGGAAACCUUUGAUAAUUUACGGGUAUAUCAGAUGAAGCUAAACCCUACCAAGUGCAUUUUCGGCGUACCUGCGGGAAAACUACUGGGUUUCUUGGUAUCAGAGCGCGGCAUCGAGGCUAACCCGGAAAAAAAUGAAGCAGUUACUUCACUCAGCAAGCCGACGAACGUUAAUCAAGUUCAGCGAUUGGCGGGUCGUGUAGCGGCUCUCAGCCGUUUCGUGAGCCGCCUCAGAGAAAAGGCGAUUCCUCUUUAUCAACUGUUGAGAAAGUCUGACCGAUUCGGGUGGACAGAGGAGGCUGACGAGGCGUUUCAGGCCUUGAAACAUCAAUUGGUUAACCCGCCGGUCCUGGCGGCCCCGACUGAAAGGGAGCCUAUGCUCCUGUAUAUCGCCGCAAAUUCCAAAGCGGUCAGCGUGGCUGUGGUCGUCGAGAGAAAGGAGGAAGGAAAGGAAUACCCGGUACAACGCCCGGUGUACUUCGUCAGUGAGGUGUUAACCCUUUCCAAACAGCGAUACCCACAUUGGCAGAAGCUGGUCUAUGGGGUGUUCAUGGCGAGUCGAAAGCUCAAACAUUAUUUCCAAGAACAUCCGAUCACCGUGGUCAGUUUCGCACCCCUUGGUGACGUCAUCCAAAAUCGCGAGGCAACGGGGCGAAUCGCCAAAUGGGCAAUAGAACUUGGGUCGCAUCACAUACAGUAUACCCCCCGCACGGCCAUCAAGUCCCAGGCGCUAGUUGAUUUCGUCAAUGAUUGGACGGAGCUUCAGGUUCCGGAGGAUCGGCCUGACCUUACCUAUUGGACCAUUUAUUUUGAUGGAUCCAGGCAGUUGGAGGGUUCGGGGGCGGGUGUGGUGUUAAUAUCCCCCCAAGGAGAUAAGUUCUGCUACGUCCUCCGGCUCAUGUUCCCUUGCACAAAUAAUGCGGCAGAGUAUGAAGCCCUGCUUCACGGUUUGCGACUCGCAAAAGAGAUGAACCUAACCCGAGUCAGAUGCUUUGGGGAUUCAGAUUUGAUGGCGCAACAGGUUUCGGGCGCUUGGGACUCUCGAGAUCCUAUGAUGGCGGCUUAUAGGCGGGCUGUAUCUAACGUGGCGGGCUAUUUUCAUGGGUACCAGGUUGAUCAUAUUGAUCGGCGACUUAACGAGGCAGCCGACGCCCUCUCGCGACUCGGCUCACAGAGAAAGCCGGUUCCCCCUAAUGUGUUCCUGGAUGUCCUGCAUAAACCGUCCGUGACUGUUCCCACGGAGGAGGAAUUGGCGAUACCAGAUCCCGAGUCUCAGCUUGUGGCGGCUCUCCAUGUUGCUCCGGAUUGGGCUCUGCCUUACUUAGCUUAUCUUGCUCGUGGCGAGUUACCCACUGACGAAGUUCUGGCUCGCCAGAUUGUUCGGCUUAGCAAGUCCAUGGUUAUCAUUAAUGGCGAGUUAUAUAAGCGAAGCACUUCGGGACUCUUUCAGCGGUGCGUUUCUUCCGAGGAAGGGUGCGUGAUCCUAAAUUACAUCCAUUCUGGGGACUGCGGGCAUCACGCCGGGUCACGUUCUUUGGUAUCAAAAGCUUUCCGACAUGGUUUCUUCUGGUUGACGGCUCACGCAGACGCAGAAGACAUAGUGCGGCGGUGUGAGGGGUGCCAACGAUAUGGGAAACAGGCUCAUGUGCCGGCUCAAGAAUUAAGGAUGAUCCCCAUUACUUGGCCUUUCGCGGUCUGGGGGCUGGACAUGGUCGGUCCCUUUAAGGUGUCCUCCAACAAGAAAACUCAUUUGUUGGUGGCGGUUGAUAAAUUCACUAAAUGGAUUGAGGCGGAACCGGUCGGGGCUUGCGACGCGGAGACCGCGGUAAAAUUUCUGAAGAAGUUGAUUUUCCGUUUUGGAUAUCCACACAGCAUCAUCACGGACAAUGGUACUAACUUGUCCCAAGGAGCGAUGCUGGAUUUCUAUCGCCGCGAACACAUCCGGCUUGAUAUCUCGGCAGUCGCUCACCCGCAGUCGAACGGGCAGGCCGAGCGGGCGAAUCAGGAAGUCUUGCGAGGAAUCAAACCUCGGCUCAUACCUCCCCUAGAAAGAACUCCAGGAUGUUGGGUGGAGGAGUUACCUUCGGUAUUAUGGAGCAUCCGGACCACCCCGAAUCGGUCCACGGGGUUCACCCCUUUCUUUUUGGUAUAUGGAGCAGAAGCCGUUCUCCCUACCGACAUAAGGCAUGAUUCUCUUAGAGUCGUCACAUAUGUGGAGCAAGACAACGAGCUGACGCGUCAGGAUUCUUUGGAUGCUUUGGAGGAGGCACGCGACUUAGCAGCGGCUCGUUCGGCGAUCUAUCAGCAAGAUCUGCGGCGUUAUCAUAGUCGCCGAGUGAAGAGUCGGAUUUUCCAGGAAGGCGAUUUGGUGCUUCGACUGAUUCAAGAUCGGGCAGGCAUGCACAAACUUUCGUCCCCGUGGGAGGGGCCUUUCGUUGUCAGCAAAAACCUCCGCAAUGGCUCUUACUACUUGAUGGAUCUUCGGCCUGAUCGACCGACUACGGGGGCUGAGUCAACUCGCCCUUGGAAUAUUGCCCAUUUGCGGCCCUACUACACUUGAGUUCUUAAAACUCCAUGCUUUGUAAGUUUUUCAGUUUCACUAUGACGUAAUAUAAUGUUUCCCUAUCUUGGGGGCUUCUUUAAAAGAAAGCAAUGUCAUGACAUCCUGUUGCGACCUUAUGAGCUGACAGAACAUGCAUGAAGGGUGGGUGCACGAGNNNNNNNNNNNNNNNNNNNNNNNNNNNNNNNNNNNNNNNNNNNNNNNNNNNNNNNNNNNNNNNNNNNNNNNNNNNNNNNNNNNNNNNNNNNNNNNNNNNNNNNNNNNNNNNNNNNNNNNNNNNNNNNNNNNNNNNNNNNNNNNNNNNNNNNNNNNNNNNNNNNNNNNNNNNNNNNNNNNNNNNNNNNNNNNNNNNNNNNNNNNNNNNNNNNNNNNNNNNNNNNNNNNNNNNNNNNNNNNNNNNNNNNNNNNNNNNNNNNNNNNNNNNNNNNNNNNNNNNNNNNNNNNNNNNNNNNNNNNNNNNNNNNNNNNNNNNNNNNNNNNNNNNNNNNNNNNNNNNNNNNNNNNNNNNNNNNNNNNNNNNNNNNNNNNNNNNNNNNNNNNNNNNNNNNNNNNNNNNNNNNNNNNNNNNNNNNNNNNNNNNNNNNNNNNNNNNNNNNNNNNNAGCUUUCUGACUCGCCUUCCCCUGUCGCGACUGUAUGAGCCGACAAAAUUACUCGUGUUAUGGUUUGACCUUGGCAGACUAAGCACUGCAACCAUUUUUGAUAAGGAUUAACCAAAUAUUUUAACCCGCCUCAAGAGCGGUACAAGGGUUUUUUGCAGAUGUCAUCAAAGGAUAGUACUAGCUAUUACAUGGCUCUUGGGCCAAAUUCAAGGAAAAUUUAUUUCGCUAAGUCCUGGUGUGAGCUCUGACCAGCCUCGAUCUGUAAGUCGCCCAGAACCCAAUUGCAUCGGGACAAAGAGGCAAAAUCAUCUUCGUCGGUCAAGAUUGAUGCCAGGUCUGCUUCCCAGUCAAAGGGAUUUUUGGGUCGCCGAGGGAUCAGAUUGGUCACCACGAAGGUUGGCGGGCUGAUUUUCUUAUUCUUCUCAUCGUAAGCCGCCUGAUAUUUCGUCAAGUCAAGGCUGGCGGGGAGCUGAGUGGCGGCCAACCGAGAGUCUUUGACAACCUUCUGGUAGUCUUCUUCCAUGAAUUCCGAGCCAUCAUCUUUGAGCUGAGAGAAGCCGGCAACCACCUCUUCCAAAUUGAUUUCCGAAGCGUACGCCGAGCAGCGACUCAGAGCCGUCAGGACACCCUUUCGGGCGGCUGAUCGGGUUAACUCGCCGAUCUGGGGAGGCAGCGUGGAUAGAUAUUCAAGGACCUUUUUGAUGGAAGUUAUGGGCUCCUUUGCACCUAUCAUGGCUUUGACGGUCAGUACGCUGCCUGUGUACAGUUGUUCCGUCAGUGUAUAGAUCGCCUUCAGCAUCAACACGCAGUCAUCUUGAAGAUUGGCGACUCUCGAGCCUGGGAUUGAAUAACCGGUAAGUUAGCGGUAAGGAAUUUGCUCAAAGAAGAGGAUAGGAUUCGAAAGUUAGAUAAAAAGCUUACCAAAGAUGGCUUGUGUCAUGUUGGAAAUAUGGCGCUUUAAGCCGGAUAGCUCUUGCUGCACAGUCGCCAGUUUGGCUUCUGCUUUUUCGGCUCUUGUCAAGGCAGUAUUACGGUCAGCCCGAGUUCUUUCUAACUCGGCUUUGAGCUUUUCCAUUUCAACUAGAGCCAACUUGUAUUUGUCUUCUGAUUGAGUUCGGGCAUCCUGCUGGUCCGCCAAAUUUUUCUUUAAAUCACCCAGGGCCAGUUCGGUUUGGACAAGGCUUUCCUGUUUAAAUUUUUUUUUUUAAAAAAAACAAAGACAAGUCUCAGAAUUAUUGCAAGGCAAUACCCCUGACACUUGGGGGCUAAUGUAUAAUUUCUCAAAGGAAAUUAUACAGAAAUUGAGACCCGGCUCAUCAUUUUACUGAUGACCCGGCCCCUGGGGGUUACUGGUCGUGAAGCUUGUUAAAAAGACCCGGCUCAUCAUUUUACUGAUGACCCGGCCCCUGGGGGUUACUGGUCGUGAAGCUUGUUAAAAAGACCCGACUCAUCAUUUACUGAUGACCCGGCCCUUGGGGGUUACUGGGAAUAGUAAAGUAUAAAAUUUACCUCAUGCUUGUGAUUUAACAUCUUCAGCAGAUUCUUCUCCAUCUCAUAACUCGCUUCCAGGCGACUUGCGAAGCCGGAACAGAGUUCUUUGAAUUCCAGACCUGCGUAGUCAGAAAGUUUCGCCUUGGAAGGCCCAGACUCGGGAAUCGAUGGAGGAGGUGAUGCUGUGUGCUUGGAGAGGAUCGUCGUUGCCGGCUUGGAGAAACCAAAACCAGUAACGACUACAGCAUCUGGUUCUUCAGCUGUUGCCAUUACGACCGGUGAUCUAGGGACAUCCGGUGACCCUUUGGGCGACUCAGGAAAGUCCGCUUGAAUUGUCGGCUCGUCUUGACUCGGGCCAUCUUGGGUCGGAGUAGUUUUCAUUGGAGGCUCAGAAGUGGCGUCAGGGAUUGAUCCACUGGUCUUCCUUUUUUUGGCUUGCGCCCUAAUGAAAGAGAUAGGUAUGUUUAAAAAUUAAAAAGCAUGCUUUCUCAAGGAUCAAUAUAAGAAAAUUACCCUGGGACUCGGAUCAUUGGUGGAAGGGUCGACAUCACUGAGUCGCCAGAAGUAGGGGGAGAAUCCUGCAGAAUUUGUACAUCGAUGAUACAGGCGGGUUAUGAUUAUGAUCCAAAGCAGCACAAACAAUGGUUGCACAAAUAAGAAAAAGGGGGGAGGUACCUUGCUUGGUUUUCUUUUGCUCGUUGUUGGCAAGCCAGGUGUUAAGUCGCCGGAAUGACUUCGUGUUUUCCGUUUCGAGGCAUGCUGCAUUUUCUUCAGUAAGAAAUUUGGGUCCAAAUGGGCAUUUGGAUGUGAGAGAGGUACUUUCCCACAUAUUCGCCGGGCCGGCUUAGGUGGUGAAGGAGAUGAAUCGGAGGAGACGGAAAUUACCUCGACAGAAUCUUCCUGGCUUUCGUUAUCUUCAUUCUGUUACGAGAGGAGUAAGAGAUGUAAAUGAAAGUUGGAAAGGUGAUAGGCGGCGAGUGAAAAAGAGGACGGAUUGGUACCUCUGAGAGGGCGUCGCCGGCUUGGGAUUCGUCGACUUCAGAUGGCUCGGCCGCAGUGGAUUUACCUUUGCCUUUGCUCUUCUUGGAAGGCGGCUUAGCACUUUUCAUGGCUUGCUUCUUAGGUCUCCUAGACCAGAACUUGUCGCCUUUCUGGAAAGGGUAUGGCAUAAAGUCAUGAUGGCAGUAAGGCGGAUGAAAUAAAAUGGCGAGUUAGCUUUGGUUACCUUGGGUGCCGGGUUAAUCUUGCAGAAGGGCUUAAGGCCGAUUUGGCCGCACUUUGCUGCAGGUUCACCAGUCAAUUUCCUGAUGAUGGCGACGAUAUCUUUUUCCGUUAACUCUGUGUGGAAAUAGCAUCGGGGAUGAUCCAGAGUGCCGUCAAAAUCGCACAUCAGGCCAUCUCGGCGACUCAGAGGAAGGAUCCGCCAUUCGACCCAGCAGCGGAUCAGGUCGAUCCCGGUGAGACCAUUGUUAGUCAGAGAUCUCAACUCGGACAGAACUGGGAUAAAGUCCGACUCUUCUUCUUCGGUGAGCUUGCCAGGGAGCUUAAAGUUGACUGGAAGGCGGGUUGGCCUAUAGCCCAGCAGUUUGCUCUCGCCAGCAGGGGAUGUUUCCUUGCAGUAAAACCAAGAUUCACCCCAACCUUUGGGGUGGCUAGGCAUAGUGAGUGAAGGAAACGGACUGUCCCUGCGACGUUGAACGUUGACCCCGCCAAGCUCCAAACUGGGGCCAUUGUGGAACUCCGUCUGGCGAUUCAAGUGGAAAAAGUCCAAAACAGAGGGACGGAAGGCUCGAUCCGCAAAUAAGCUUCGCAAAGGACUUGGAAUUGACAUAGGUUGCUUAUGGAAUUGGGUCCCAAAUCCUGGAGUCGGACAUUCAUGAAGCUCAGGGCGUCCCUAAGGAAUUUGGAUCCUGGCGGCUUGAAACCCCGUUCCAAGUGUUCCACGAAAACUACUAUCUCCCCUUCCUUGGGGUUGGGGAGGUCCUCUCCUAACCCGGUGCGCCAUCCGAUGACAUCUUGGGGAUCCAAGCAGCCGGUUUUCACGUAAUUCGCCAACACAGCAUCGUCGACCUUGGUGGGAAGCCAGUCACUCUUGAAAACGGCACCCAUGCUACAAAUAGGUAAGAGUGGCAUUACAUGUCUCGAACAUUUACUAUGUGAAUCGGGGUCGGCUCUCCGCUUAACCCGCCGGACUCGAUAGCCGAGUCAGGCCGAUGUGGCGACUUAUCGGAGCAGGGCUAUUCUCGAGAGUAAUCUAUUCUUUACGAAACGCUAAGGAAAAGACGGAGUUCCCAAACAACUUUCUACAAACAGUGAAUGAGAAAUAGAUCUGUUGGACAGUUAUAAGGGUUCGUCAGCGUGGCUCAAACAUGGACGAUGUGCUGUCGGGGUGGUGCCUCAUGCUUAGAGAAACUAGUACAUCUAGAAAAACCGCAAGGGCGUAGAUGGAUAAGGCUGUCCAAAACGCCGGAGCCCUAAUGGCAUUUGGACCAAUCAGUUCGGAGGUGACAAUUUGUUGCAAGCAAAGGUUUUUUUCUCGGGAGCAUGGCAAUGGCGGAAGCAAGAACAGGGGACAAAUCUGCCCUUAAAAGGAGGGGAGAUGGUGGCCUAACCUGGAGAUCUUGGUCGGAGAAGGCCGACGAUGACCGAGGCUGUAGGAGAGUUGCGGGGACCCUCGGCGGCGACAGAGCUUGGCGGCGGCGACGGUUCGCAGGCGGCGUCGGAGCUCCUCGAGCAGCGACGGCUUGCGGGCGGCGCUGGAGUUCCUCGAGCGGUGGCGGUUUGCGAGUGACGCCGGAGUCCUCGAGCGGUGGCUGGUGGCGAACGGCACCGGAGUUCUUCGGAUAAGGGCAGAAGUUGCGGUCGGCGGCGGAGUCUUCGGGAUGCGUCGCUCGUAUUUCCUCGCUGUGAUGAUGGUGGAGAGAUCGACGGGACUGGUAGGUGGAUGCUGUCAGCCCUGUCCCCUCCGCCUAUUUAUCAGGAGGGGCGCGGGAAUCGAGGCGCCGUGAGCGGGAACCGUUGAGAAGGAAAAGAUUCGUUUUGAUGACGUCCGAAAAUUUUGGGAUAAUGAUGCGCCCGAAGGAUCCGUUGGGAUUGUGUUGGAGUUCCCAAAAAUCGAGGGUUAAGGAAGGCGCCGAGGGGAAAUGCGUUGGCGGUUCAAAGAUUUCUUUCAGUAUCGUUUGGCGAGUUAAAAUUUCUGGCGCAUGGAGAACGUCGAAGAGUGAAUCACCUUCAAUUAAAAAUAAAGCAUUGGCAUGAGGAUUCAAGUUAAUUUGGGGCCUAAUGUUGGGGAUAUUACCUAUUAAGUGACCCGCCGGAUAUGGGCCGGGUUACUUGUAGGGCGAUUCACCCUUUAAGGCUAGUUGGGCCUCAGCCUGGGCGGUUCAAAGUCCCAAGAUGGUUAUGAUCUAUGGCAGGUUUCCGGGUUUUGCAAGGCGGCGACUUAGAGACCGUAGUGUUCAUGAUUUGUAAAGAGGAAAGGACUCUUGUAAACCCUAAGGCCUCGACCUAUAUAUAAAGGCGAGUUUAGGGAGGAAGAGGUAGGUUAGAAAUCAUCGAGUACUAGGUAAGGCGAGUUACACCUUUCUUGUAAUCGAAUCCACAUCAAUACACACCAAGCAGGACGUAGGCUUUUACCUCCACACGAGGGGCCGAACCUGGGUAAAUCGCCGUAUCUCUCCCGCUUAACCCCUUUGAGUCGCCACCAAGGUGCGAUGGCUCCAGUACUAAGUCCUUUCACGAGGACAUCUGCCGUGACAAAACCACGACACGUUUGGGCCAUUAAUCCCGGGUUGAGCCACCNNNNNNNNNNNNNNNNNNNNNNNNNNNNNNNNNNNNNNNNNNNNNNNNNNNNNNNNNNNNNNNNNNNNNNNNNNNNNNNNNNNNNNNNNNNNNNNNNNNNNNNNNNNNNNNNNNNNNNNNNNNNNNNNNNNNNNNNNNNNNNNNNNNNNNNNNNNNNNNNNNNNNNNACCAACCGGGACUAAAGAGGUAUACCAAACGGUUGCCACCACUACGGCAGGGCACGUGUUAGGCUUUUAGUCCCGGGUUAAGCCACCAACCGGGACUAAAGAGGUAUACCAACGGUCGCCCCACUACGGCAGGCCACGUGUUUAGUCCUUUAGUCCCGGGUUGAGCCACCNNNNNNNNNNNNNNNNNNNNNNNNNNNNNNNNNNNNNNNNNNNNNNNNNNNNNNNNNNNNNNNNNNNNNNNNNNNNNNNNNNNNNNNNNNNNNNNNNNNNNNNNNNNNNNNNNNNNNNNNNNNNNNNNNNNNNNNNNNNNNNNNNNNNNNNNNNNNNNNNNNNNNNNNNNNNNNNNNNNNNNNNNNNNNNNNNNNNNNNNNNNNNNNNNNNNNNCGCGUAGCCCUUUAGUCCCGGUUUGGGACACGAACCGGGACUAAAGGCUCCUUACGGGUCGGGACUAAAGCCUCGAGGGAGGCAUUGAGAAUUGGGGCGACGUGGCCGGGCCUUUAGUCCCGGCCCAGAGGCACUCCGGGACUAAAUGGUCCAGGCCAAAGGCCNNNNNNNNNNNNNNNNNNNNNNNNNNNNNNNNNNNNNNNNNNNNNNNNNNNNNNNNNNNNNNNNNNNNNNNNNNNNNNNNNNNNNNNNNNNNNNNNNNNNCGUCACCCCUAUGUCGGAGAGCAUUCUCAGAUACUUUUCAAUGAGUGUCUUUGUAUGAACAUCGAGGAUGUUGAUCAGCUCUCUUCUUAGAAUUUCUCAACAUCGUUUGCUAAAAACACAGAAGAUUUACUAUUAUUUAUCCUCUUAUUAUUUAUCCUCUUACCUGAAGCCUGACAAUAAGAAUUCAGUAAUUUGACACCUCCAUUGCCCCUCAACCAUUAGCCUUGAAAAAUACCAGGCUAUCAUCAACAAAGAGAAGAUGGUUUACUAGAGGCGCCGAGGGGACCACCUUAAUUCCACCAACAUGCAAUGACUGAACUUUGGAUUUGAGGAGACUUAAUAGGCCGUCUUGUGCUAAUAAGAAAAGGUAGGGCGAUAUUGGGUCUCCCUGCCGAAUGCCUCUUGUAGUUUUAAAAUCCUCCAGUUUCUCCCCAUUAAGGAGAACUGAGGAAAAUACCGAUCUUACCAUGCUCACUACUCUAUCUACCCAAAUGGCCGAGAAGCCCAACUUAAUCACUAUAGGUAUUUGCACUCGAAUCGGUCAUAAGCCUUCAUCAUAUCAAACUUCAGCUUACAAUGGCGAUGCUUAAGUGCUUUGUUCCUCUUCAUGAAAUGAAGGCAUUCAUACUCCAUUAUGUUGUUAUCUGUAAUGAGCCUUCCNNNNNNNNNNNNNNNNNNNNNNNNNNNNNNNNNNNNNNNNNNNNNNNNNNNNNNNNNNNNNNNNNNNNNNNNNNNNNNNNNNNNNNNNNNNNNNNNNNNNCAAAAUCGCCACGACACCUGAAGAGGCCGCGGCUGCCAAGCAAGAUGGAGCAAAAUCUUCUUCUGCUGCAUCAAAGUACAAUGCCAUCUCUCAACUGGAAACUAGUAAAGGUUCUUCUACCUCCCCUGUCAAGAAAGAAGCCGCCGCUACUUUAGCCGCUACGCAUUAUGCUGCCGCUGAGAAGUCCAUCAAGAAGGCCGAAACUGCCAGGACCCCUGAAGAGGCCGCGGCUGCCAAGCGAGAUGCAUCAAAGUCUGUUGCUGAUGCAUUGAAGUUUGGCGCCAUCUCUCGGCAAGGAGCUGGUACAAGUUCUUAUACCUCCCCCAACGAAAAAGAAGCCACCAAUGACUUAGCAGCCAUGCACAUUGCUGCUGCCAAGAUGUUCACCAAAAAGGCUGAAACUGCUACCACACCUGAAGAGGCCGCGGCUGCCAAGCGAGCUGCAGCCAAGUCUACUGCUGCUGCAUCCAAGUAUGGUGCCAUUUCUAAGCAAGCAGCUCGUACAAGUUCUUCUACCUCCCCCAAGAGGGAAGAAGUUGUCGAGAAGUCCAUCAAGAAGGCUGAAACUGCCACCACAUCUGAAGAUGCCAUGGCUGCCAAGAAAGAGGCAACAAA